UUCUUCAAACUUAUUUUACUUAUUUUCAUUUAUUAUAUAAAGAUUAAAUAAUUUUAAAAUGUACAAUUUUUUAACUAAUUUUAAUUAUAUUAAAUUUUCGUUAGUGUUUUCCAUGGUAAAACCAUAUAGGAGAAAACUAUUUUCUUUGCAAUUUUUUUUCUUUCCUUAAUACUUUUUAGGAACUAAACAUAGCCAUAAUGAUUAUUCCGAACCCUAGAGGUUUAGUUAUUUGAUCACAACUAAUAUUAAGAUAAACAAGUAAUUAACUCACGAGUCUAAUAGAAUCCAUAAUAGUAAGUAGUAGAGUCUUUGGUCAUGUUUAUACAUAUCUUGGAUUUGAUCAAUUUCUUUAAAUUUUUUGUUGAUUGUGAAUCUAAAUAUGAGGGUUGAAGCAUAAAUUUAACAAGGGAAUUGAAUAUAUUAAUGAUUAAGUUAUGAUCAAAAUAUAUAUUAAGAAGAUUGGACUGAAUUUAUUUUCCUUUUAUUAAUCUUAAAAAUCGUGACAACUUGAAGAAUAUAGUGGUAGGUGAUGGGAUAUGUACAAGAUGCUAAGUAUGAGUCAUGUGAUUUACUAUUUGAAAUUGAUGGUAUAUGGAUUUCACUACAUUAAAGUAGAUAAAAUAUUUUAGCUGAUGAUCUUAAAGUUAAUUUAAUCUAAUAAACUAAGUAACUCAUUUAAAAUUUUCUUGCUUAAAUUAAGUUGGGAUUUUGAGUGUUUUUGAAAUGGUACCAUUUUAGUAUAUAGCUAAAAAAAUUUUAAACUUAAAUAAUAUUUACUGUGUAAUGAAAAUGAAGUAUAUAACUACUAAAAUUUUGGAAAUAGCAAAAAAUAGAAGAGAUUAUGUUAAAAUCUAGUAAGAAUCUUAAUUUAUGAAGUUUUUAGUUGUGAAUACCUUUUUUAUUUGAACUUAAGUUAGGGUUACAUAAGGAUGGCGAUAGGGUGGGUUCGGGGCAGGUCGCCCCCAUCCCAACCCCACCCCGUUUAUUCAAAAUAAUUCUUAUCCCCGUCCCAUUUAAAAAAUUAAACGGGGUGGGAUGGGUAUGAGAAUUCUCAUACCCACCCAGCCUCUUUUAAGUUUAUUUUUUUUUAAUUUUUAAAUUUUUAAGAUUACUUUAAAAAAAUUUUAAUUACAUUAAAAUAAAUAUAUUUUAUAAAUAAUUAAAUUAUUAUAUUUUUUAUAACUUAUUUUAUUAAAAAAAAUAUUUUAUUAUUAUCUAUAUAUUAAAAAUAGUAGUAAAAAAAUAAUUUAAUUUAAUUUUAAAAAUUAAUUUUAUAUAUAAUUGGGGUAGGACGAGGCGAGAUAAGACAAUACUCGAACCCAAUCCAGGUUUUAAAAAAAUUCUCAAACCCGUUGCAAACUCAUUUAGUUAAAAUUCAAACCCAUCCCAUUAGGGAUAAGGUGGGGCGGGUACCCAAAAAAACCCGCCCCAUUGUCAUUCCUAGAGUUAUGAGCGUUUGGAGGCUAGGGUAAUAAUAUGUUAGCAUAAAAAUUCUAGAUUCUUGUUUGAAAUUCAAUAUUAUUUAUUAUGUGAUGGGAAAGUUAAGCAUGUAGAAGUAUCCUUGCACUAAAAUUUAAUUUGAUUGACUAAUUUGAAAUUUCAAUGUUGAAUUGAUUAUACAACAGAUAAUUUUAAGAAUAUGUAAAAAACAUGGGAGAUUAUAUAAAAAUUAUUCCUUUUCAUUUUUGUUUUAUUUUGUUUUUUGUUUUGUUUUCAUUCAUGGGAGAAGAUGUUAGAGCUCCAAUACAAGCCGGUAGCAGAGGGAGUAUGGCAAUGACUAAGGUGGAAAUUUGUAAGAAAAAAUUUGAGGCAUAGAUCAAAAUAUAUAAGGGGCUUGGUUUUUGGCCAUAAACCAUUUAAGUUUUCUAGAUCACCAUCAUCUUGCCAACAUGAGGUAGAGUUGGAGCAUGGACUUGUGGAGACUCAACAACAAUAGCUUGAUAUCCAAUAUGAGCUAGUUAAUUGACCAAUUGGAAGCAAACGAAAUCAAUAACAUCAACCAUUUGAAGAGAUUUUACGUCAUCUACGAUUUAGCCAAGGAUCCUGAUGAUCCCUCACGAUGUAGCCAACAAAAUCAAUAACAUCAACAACAAUUCGGAACAUAGAUUUUUUCUGUCACAUAAACUAUUCGUUUUGGGUGAGAAUAGGACCAAACAAGCCCCAGUUAGACAUGAGAAUAGAUUUAUAAUAUUUUGAUCGGCCACAUCCAUAAAUCAAAAUAUCUUUUAUAAAGUCAAAAAAAUGUUGGAAUCUGAUUGAUUGCCAUGGUAAUGACAAAAAAUAUAAAUAUCUUUUAUAAAGCCAAAAAAAUGUUGGAAUCUCAUUGAUUGCCACGGUAAUGACAAAGAACAGGGAUAAGACACAAAGACGCAAUAAUUUCAUUGAAGGCCCCUUCCCCCGAGUGAUGUGCCAUUUUGUAGAAUCUGUUGCUGCCAAUGCGUGCACAAUACUUGUUGUGAUAAUGGCAAGCUGGAUUCUUGUCGUUGUAACACCUGUCUCGACUUCAUUUCUCAUGUCAACAGCAACAACAGUGUAUCAUUUAUUUCCCUCCAUUUAUAAUUAACAAAUAAACCUUCUUUCCUCCCCCACCAUCUUCAUCUUCAGCCUAUUCUCUUCUUCUCCUCGGUUCCACAUUAUUUUUUUCCGUCCUUUUUCGAACUCACCCAAAAUUGAACAUGGAGCAAAAAAUCCCAAUCAACGGAAAUUGUAGGGAAAAAAUUCCAUAUGAAAUACAUAAGUAUCUUUAAGGUUGCAAAUUUCAACAAUUUUUUUCCAUGCACUUUCUAGGAAACCAAACAAUGAAAAAACACAAGAGAAUAUAAUCCGGAAAAUUACCUGAUAACGAUAGGGUUUCAAAAUGUAAUUCUAUUGUUCUUCAUCGCCUCGAUACAUUGCCUUCUCUCCCCAGCAUCAUAGGCCCUUUUCAACCCACAAAGUGGGUUUGCAUUUGCAUAAUCACCUAGAUUUUCUCCCCAAUAAAAAAGAAAAAAAUAUAUAUAGAAGGAAAGAAAAUCUGACCUCCCCAAUCACUCCAAAACCCGCUUCUCUCUCUACUAUCAUUUUUCCCACUCCCUCUACCGUUCUUCUUCCCACUACCUUUACAGGUCUCUAUUGAGACCCACUACUACACCAAAUUCUGAUUUUCAAGUUAAAAAUAAAUAAAAAUUCCCCUUCUUAGUAAACAAUGUGAGUUCGCAUCUCAUUAGAGAGGAUCCAAAUCCCAACUGGUGUACCCCACUAUCUUUCUUCCUAAACCCCCUGAGUCAUAUUCCUUAUUUAUUUAAAAAUAAAAUUUAGAAUAUUUACAAAAAAUUUAACUUUUAAUUAGAAAAAUAAUUUAUAAUAGUUAAAUAAAGAUAAGUUUUUUUAUGUAAGGUAUGGAAAAAAAUUAUUAUCAAGUAUUUGCUAUGCUAUAUUAAUGAUUUUUUUAAUAUUUGCAAAAUUGUUUAGUGUCCAAAUCGUAAUAUUUAAAAUAAAUAAAGAAGAAAAGUAGAAAAAAGAGCCAUAGAAAAAAUAAUUUAAUAAAAAUAUAUAAAUAAAAAUAGUGCAUGUCUUACAUUAAAAAAAGUUUAUCUUAUAUUUAAGUAUUAUUUUUCCAUUUAUAAUUACUUUUUAGGUGUCUCAUUAAUAAUUAUUUGAACAACCCAAAAUAUUCAAAAAAAUCAAAAUAGAUAAAAUGUCCAUGAUAUUAAGAGAAUCUAGAGUGUUAAAAACAUUAAUGUAUAUUUGACUAUUAAAGAAGUUACAAUUAUUUGUGAUAAUGAAAAAAUAUUUUAGGAAUGUUAUUUUUUUUUUCUUAUCAAAACUCUCUAAUAGUUUUAAUUUAUUAAACUAUUAAUUAAAUAAUAAUAAAAUAGUAAUUUUCAAAUAGAUCAAGAUGGUCGAAUGUUUAAAAUGAAAAGUCAAUUUUUCUUUAUGCAUAUAGAUAGAUAUAGGAGAUCAAGUGAAGAGAUAUUAUUUUAGACAUAAUCAAUUGACCAAUAUAAUUAAUAAUAAUUAGAUUUCUCAUCUAAAUAAGAUUAUUAUUUUACUUUUCUAAAAUGUUUAAAAUAUUGUAUCUAAAAAAAUUUAUUUAAACAAAAUUAAUAAUUCUUUUUUUUUUUUCAAUUUCUUGAAAUUUUUGAAAAAAUAAAUCUUGUAAAAAAAAUCCUAUUUAAUAAAACUAUAAUCCCUAACAUAGAACUUCAACAAAUAAUAAGGUAUGCAUAUUUGUUAAAUAAUAAAAAAUUAAUUAAGUAACAAUAAUAAUUUUUUAUUGACAUCUAGAUUUUUUAUUACAGAACAAAUAUAUAAAUAAACUUGUCACGACAUUACAAUAUAUUUUUGAAAACAAAUGCUAAAAAAUUUAAAUAUUUUAUUUUAUCUUACUAAAUUAUUUUCUCAUAAUUUUUAUUAAAUAAUUAAACAAAAUCUAAUAUUAACUUUAUUACUUCACGUUCACAUGCCUUGCAUGUGGAACGAGCCUAAUUAUACUCAAGGAUGAAAAUAUCUAUAAUCACGGAUAUAUCGGUACUUCGAUUUUACGGAUAUAUCGACGGAUAUUUUGAAAAAAAAUAUCGAUAAGCCUAAAAUUGAUCAAAAUUUAUAAAAAUAUAAGAAAAACUUCAUAAAAAUAUAAUUAGAAGUAUAAUGAUAUUUUAAAAUUUUUUUAAUUAAAUAAUUUGAUAUAUGUAUAAUAUGAUUUAUCAUAUUUGAUAAUAAUAUUGUAUGUGCUAAUAAAAAAACUAUAAAUUUCAUAAGUAUAUAUUUAUUAUUAAAUUAUAUCAAUUAUUAUUCAUAAUAAUAUUUGUGAUAUUUGAUUAUAAUAUGUCUAAUUUUAAAAUAUAUUUAAUAUUAAAAUUAUAAUUCAUUUAAUUUAAUUGUAUUAAAUGAUAUAAAAUAAAUGAUGAUAUAUGUAUAAUUUUUAAUACUUAAUUAAUAUAUUAAUAAUAUUAAAAACACUAUAAAGAAAAUUAUCACGAUGAUUUUUAUAUUUUUGGUAUUCAAAUAGAUGAAAAAAAUUUAUUUAAUUAUAAUUAAUUUGUUCUUUAAAACAUUUUUUUAAAAAUUAUGUUUAUAUGAUGAAUUUAACUUUAUAUAUAUUUGGUGCACAAUAUAUAUCAAGGGGCAAACUUGCCCUUGCGGUUGGCUAGUUAUACUUAAACAAUGGUAUCGUGUUUUUCUUUUUUUAACUAGAAUACCAUGUUUAUACCAUGUUUUAUAUUUAAAUUUUUGUUUCUUUAUACUUUUAUCCCACUUAAACACUUUUGAGAGUGUUUCUAAGAAUUCUUUUUAAUUGAAGUGUCAUUUUCUUCUUAAAUAUUUUUUAAAAUUUUAUUAAAUACUAAGUGGAUGUUUGGUAAACCAACUUAAUAACUUAAUUUAAGUUAUUAAGUAAAUUAAGUAUGUUUAGUAAAAUAACUUAAUAAUGUGACUUAAAGUAAAAAAAUAACUUUAAGUAAUAAAUAAAAAUAAUUAACUUAUUCUUAAACUUACAACUUUAUUUUAUAUUUUUUUACCCUUAUUUGUCUUAGUUACUUUCACGAUCUCUUUUACUACUCUACAACUUGGUGUUUUGCCAACUGGAUGUAGGUCUAUCUAGCUUCACUAGAGUCAAACAGACUUUUUCCCUGUACAAAAGGAUGUUCGGAUAGGUGGUUCAAGUACGCUCCUUUUAAGCUUAAGUCAAAAUCUAGCGAGAGUGAAUCCAACUUUUUGAAUGGCUAUGUGCGCGUACCUUUUUCAUCCUUUUGGAGGGGUUUUUAUAGAACAUUUAGCGUCAUCAUCACAACAUUGAUUGUGCAUUUAUGCCUUUCUUCCGUUGAUGAUCGCCGUCAUGGGGGAUAUUAUGCCUUAAUAAUGUAGUCAACGCCAUCAUCUUAGCAUAGAUUAGGUAAUCAUAACAAACAAGAACCGUUGAUUGGUGCCAUUUGUAGGCUGUCGUGCAAGAAUCUCACACCAUGUCAUUAACUACGCAUUUACAUUUGUCAAUGUCGCUGAUUGCAUUUAAUGAUUGAUUGACAUUGAUUUUUGGGUGUAAAUGUCAUCUAGAUUGUCGCUUAGGCAUUGACAAUGAUUAAUCAUCUGUCCAGUGCUUAGAAUUUUCAAUUGGGUUGGUUUGUCCGUUUGGAAGUCCCUAGUCGGCUUGUCUAUCCAUUCUGUCUAGCAUUGGGGAAAAAAGAAAUUUGCAUUUUCUCUUGCGCCAAGCGGAGCUUGUCUUAGUCUAGACGGAUUACUUCCUAAUGGAUUAUCUACUUACCUUGGACAGCCAAAGGGUCUUGAGCUUAGGAAUGACACGUGAAGAGAAACUUCCCACACAACCUCCAUAGUUAUUCGAUUUCGCCUAAAUUAUAAUUUAUGAGAUAAAAUAUAUCAAUUUGAUGAUUUAAAAUAAAUUUUAAGUUAAUUUUAUCAAAUAACCUUAAUACUUAAAGUAAAAAUUAAGUCAUAAGUUUUAAGUUAACUUAAGUGUAAUUUAACUUAAAAUCAAUUUAAACUAUUAAGUAGUAAGUAUUAAAUUUUAUCAAACACCCACUAUUUUUUUUUUUUUUUUGAAAACUUUUUUCUACAUGUUUUCUUAAAGAUUUUUUUGAACUUUUUUUAAAAGUGUUUUAAAGUUUUAUCAAAUACUUCGUUUGCAUUUUUUUGAAAAAAAAAAUGUUUUUUUUUAACUUAGAAUUAGUGGAUAUUUGGUAAACCAACUUAAUAACUUAAUUUAAAUCAUUAAGUAAGUUAAGUAUGUUUCGUAAAAUAACUUAAUGAUAUGACUUAAAGUUAAAAACAACUUUAAGUAAGAAGUAGAAACAAUUAAUUUUUUUUUAAUGUUCAUAUCUUCAUUUGACAUUUUUACCCCAAUUUGCCUUAAUUACCUCUGCAAUCUCCUUUGCUAUUACUCAACUUUCUCUAUCCUAAUUAUAAUUUAUGAUGAUAAAUAUGUCAAUUUAAUGAUUUAGAAUAAGCUUUAAGUUAAUUUUAUCAAACAAACUUAAUACUUAAAGUAAUAAUUAAUUAAUAAAUUUUAAGUCAACAACUUAAAUAUAAUUUAACUUAAAGUAAACUUUGGUUAUUAAGUAAUAUAUAUUAAAUUUUACCAAACACCCUCUUAGUUUUUUCUGAAAUAACUAUCGGAAGAUUCUUACUCUUAUUUAAGUGUUUUUUUUUUUCCCCUCAAUGAUCUUGAUUAGUCAUACAUAUCCACACUUGAUAUUAAGAGUUGGUUAUCCUUUAAUGACAUUGGAUCAACCUUUUUGAGCUUUACCGUCUCAAUGAUCUUGAUUAGUCGUACAUAUCCACACUUGAUAUUAAGAGUUGAUUUUAAUGACAUUGGACCAACCUUUCUGAGCUUUACCGUCUAACUAAAGAUAAGCACCAAACGGUUGUUGUGAGACUGACAUUUGGAGCCCUUCCACUUGCCUACAUAUACCCCAGAAGUUGGCUUUAGGUUUACCAUCUUCAACCUCUCCUUUUGCCCAAUCUUUUAUCAUUGAAUAACAGACAUGGAUCUCUUCUUUUCAUAUCUACUAUACUUUAUACUAUUCUCCAUAUCACUUCUAAUAGUCUUCCUUAUUACUUACAGGCACAAAUCCUCCUAUCCAAACCUUCCCCCUGGGACAAUGGGAUGGCCAAUCAUAGGAGAAACUUUGGAAUUUGCUUUGUCUUGUCAAGGGGGGAACCCGGGGAGAUUCUUGAACGAUAGAAUGAACAAGUACUCCCCUCAAGUGUUCAAGACCUCCUUAUUGGAAGCGAACAUGGCUGUGAUGUGCGGCCCUUCGGGGAACAAGUUUCUUUUCUCCAACGAGGACAAACUUGUAGUCUCAUGGUGGCAGCGUUCAAUGAAGAAGAUUUUGUGCUUCCCAUCUGUCUUCAACGAAACUUUAACAGGAGAUAAGUUCAGACCCCCUACCUUCCUUCCUGAAUUUCUCAAGCCAGAAGCUCUGCAACACUACAUAGCCACCAUGGAUUCGAUGGCAAGCGAACACAUUGAGUUGAAUUGGUCUCCUAAUAGAGAGGUACUGGUUUUUCCGCUUGCAAGGAAGUACAGCUUUGCGUUGGCUUUCCGGCUCUUUAUGAGCAUUGAUGAUCCUGAGUAUGUUGAGAUGAUUUCUCAUCCCUUCCAGAUUUUGAACGAAGGAUUCCUUUCUGUGCCUAUAGAUAUUCCUGGGACGACAUUCAACUGGGCUCUCAAAGCCAGCAAAUUCAUUCACAAUGAGCUUCUAGCAAUCAUCAGAAAGCGAAAGAUGGAGUUAGAGCAGAAGGGAGACUCAGCUGCUAGAGACCUACUGUCUCACAUGCUCUUAGCAUCAGAUGAAAACUGUUAUGUUAAGAGUGAGAUGGAGAUCAGUACUCAAGUUAUUUGUCUGCUUUUUGCUACCCAUCACACCACAAGUUCUGUCAUCACAUUCAUCCUCAAGUACCUGGCCGAGUUCCCUGAUGUCUAUAGCAAAGUCUUAAAAGGUAAUACCUAAAAAACCGGCUGUCUCCUUUCUUUUGAAUCCAUUUCAAGCUUACAUGCAUUGUUGUUUGAUAGUGUUUUCAUUUGAAGUAUUUUUUUAAAAAUGUUUAUAGACGAGAUAUAAAGUAUUUGUCUUUUCUUUUGUCUUGGCCUUGAUCCAUGGGGUAGGUGAAUAGAUUCUUUGACGAAAAAUUUUAAAAAUUUUAAGAUAGUUUUUCUUCCUCAUCUUUCCCCAACUAUUGUGAAGGGUUGUUCAUUAACAGACCAAAUUUAAAAUUAAUUUUUUUGAUUCAAUAGAGCAAAAGGAGAUUGCAAAGAGCAAAGGUCCGGAAGGGUUUCUGAAGUGGGAUGACAUUCAAAAGAUGAAAUAUACUUGGAAUGUGGCAAAUGAAACAAUGAGGCUAACCCCACCUGUGCAAGGAACUUUUAGAGAAGCCAUAACUGACAUCACUUAUGCAGGUUUUACAAUUCCAAGGGGAUGGAAGGUAUGUCAUAUAUAAAGUGCUGUUUUGUAAAAUCAAAUUGUGUGUGGUACACUCACGAAACUUACUGGAAAAUUUUGUCCUGCAGAUGCAUUGGAAUGUAAAUACAACACAUAGAGAUCCCAAGUAUUUUCCUGAUCCCGAGAAAUUCAAUCCCUCGAGGUUUGAAGGAAAAGGGCCUCAACCAUUCACUUUUGUGCCUUUUGGGGGAGGGCCUCGGAUGUGCCCCGGAAGGGAAUAUGCUCGAGCGCAGGUACUUGCAUUCAUACAUCAUGUGGUGACAAGAUUCAAAUGGGAGAAAGUAGAUCCCUGUGAAAAGGUUGCAUAUAAUCCAUCACCCAUUCCUUCUAAGGGCUUCCCAAUUCGCCUCCAGCCUCUACAAAAUGGAUCUAUUUAAGAUUUGGUUUUUUAAGAAGCUAUAUUUGUGGUGCAUUUGAAUGUUUCAAUAAGAUGGCUGCAUGCACAAGUUUCAGUUCCUGCAAAAUAAAGUGGACAACUAAUAUAGCAAAAAAAGAAAAAAAAAUUAAAAUGUAUUAAUUCCAAUAAUCAAUGAAAGGACAUGUUGGAAAGUAUCCCAAAUUCCUAAUUAGCAUAGAUUACUUUUUGUAAAUAAUAUUAUAUACAAUAUUUUCUAAGUUGAUAUAUUAUUAUAAUAUUAGAUUUCCUUAUAGAAUAAAAAAUGUUCUUGGAAAUAUCUUUAUAAAUAUUUUAGGUCAUGAAAAGAAAAUGUUAUGAGAUGGAGACGAGCCUAUAAAGACCAUACGAGGUGGAUAGAUGUGAGGGAGAACCAUACAAGGUGGAUAGAAAUAUGAGGGAGAAUGAGAGAUACCCGGUAAAGUGAGAGAGUUUUUGGUAGGGUAUGGAUACAAAGAGUGGAGAAAUAUGAUAUGUUUGGAUGACUCAAUAGUUGUAUCUAGUUCUAUAAUCUAUAAUGUUCUAUAUUGUAUAGUGGAAAGAUUCUCUCCUUUGUGAAUGUAGGCAUGUUUGGUUAAACCACAUUAAAAUCUCAUGUAUCAGGUGAGUAAUUGUUUUAUCUUUCUGUUCUUGAAUGGUAUCAGAGUUUUUGCUGACACAACAUGUACAAUUUUUUAUGAUUCACAAGAAUAAUAUUUUCCUCUCAUUCAAUCUCCACUACGUAUAAGAAAAAUGAGAAAAGAUGACACCUUAUAAUAAAAAUAAUGGCGCUUUUUACAAGCCCCAACAAAUCAAGCAUUCUUAUAACCAUUUUUUGUAGUAGAAAUCUCUUUCUUGAUUUCAAACCAAGGGCAAUGGAAUUGAAAGUUUACUUGAGGGCUAGAGGUGACUUAUUUUUUAGUAACCUUGUUCAAGGUGGAUGAAGAGCGGGUGUGGAGUGUAUGGUAUUCCUUCACAAGUGUGAUGAUUGGUUCAAGAUUUGAAUUGAGUGCCACGCAGGCCAAAGCUAGUUGUUUCUAUUAGAAGUUGUUACAUAAAUUAGUUUAUAUGCUGCAUAUAUUCAGGGGUAUAAAGGAGACUAUUGUAACAGAAUAAGACUAGACUUCAGGAAAGGUUUUGGGGUGUGUUUGAGAGAAAAUAGAGCUUCGUAUUAUGGCCACACCCCGUUACUUUGACCAGUCAAAGUCUUUCAAUACUACUGUCAAGGGCCCUUUUCUCUUCAAGGGAUCAACCCAAUAAUUUUAAUUUAAGCCUUUCAAACCAAUUGGGCAAUUUAAUAUAUAGUCUAUUCCUCUGUCCUAAAUUUUAACUUAAAUUCAAUUAAUUUUAAUUAUUUUAUUUUUAUACUCUAUUUAAUAUAUUAUUAAAAAUAUAAAAAUAUCAUAAUAAUCUUAUCAAAGUCUUUCUUUAUUAAAAAAAAAUAAACUUUAGGUAUAAAAUUGUUAAUAUUUUUAAACAUAAAAAUUUAUGCAUAUAUCAUUAUUAUUUUUUAUAUUUUAAACAAAGAUCAUCAUUUUACUAUGAAUAAAAAUUUACUUAUUAUGAAAAUGUAAAAACCAUAAUAAUGAAUUAAUGAAAAUAAUCUUUUAUGUUUUUUGUAUGAGGGAGUUUAAAUGAGGGCCUAAAGACUUAUUCUUAUUAAACUUAUGAAGAAAUUUUUUUACUGUUUCAAUGAACUAAGCAGUUUCCUUCUAGAAGUUGUUAUUUUCUUAAUUUGCGUUGAACUUACGAAAAGAAUGCUUUAGAGUUUUUGGUUGUAUUAGAAACUGUUCUUUUCUUUUGGGUCCCCUCACCAAACGGGCAUUGAAGGAUAAUAUCUGUAUUCAGAGGUGAAUUGAGGCACUUGAUCCCGCCCCUUAGAUUUUCAUCUCCUAAUUUGGCUCCUUGAUUGCAAAUCCCUUUGCAACAUUUUUUCAAAAAGAGAAUAUGUUACUUUAUUCUAUUUGAUCAAUUCAAUGGCCAUUUGGACCUAUUUUUGGUGUCUACAAGAUGUCCAAACACUAGGAGACAACAUGUGCAUGUCAUUGUUAACCUAGUUGGAGCUUGAAAUUGUUUUCUAUUGACGAGUUAGGCUUGGGUUGCGGUGGACCUUGGCAUGAUUUGACGCUUAUUCUAAUCCAAGUUGGGCCGUAAUUUAACAAACUGGACUGAGGGCUUGAGCACUUUGUGGGAUUGAGGAAAUCUUCUUGGGGAAGUGGACCUUGAAGCUUGAAACAUCAAUUUUUGAAGAUGUCAACAAUUUGGAGACGUUCUACGUACUAGAUGCUUAAUAUGAGUCAUCAAAGAAGUUUUGAUGAAGAUUCAAAGACAUCCAUGAAAGCUUGUUUUUUUGGCCUUCUUCCGGUGUAUAAUAAGCUUCGCUUUUGCUGGCCAAACUCUUUAAUAAAAUACGAUUUGCCGGCCAAACUCUUUAAUAAAAUGAGACAUUUGCUUACCAUGUCUUGUUUCUUUCUUUUAUUGUAUAUUCUGUCAUAGCACAUGGUUGAGAACUAGUUGACCUAGUUUGUCAAAGCCAAUAAAUUAUUUUUACAUAUUUCUUCAAACUUAUUUUACUUAUUUUCAUUUAUUAUAUAAAGAUUAAAUAAUUUUAAAAUGUACAAUUUUUUUAAUUAAUUUUAAUUAUAUUAAAUUUUCUUUAGUGUUUUCCAUGGUAAAACCAUAUAGGAGAAAACUAUUUUCUUUGCAAUUUUUUUUCUUUCCUUAAUACUUUUCAGGAACUAAACAUAGCCAUAAUGAUUAUUCCGAACCCAUGAGGUUUAGUGAUUUGAUCACAACUAAUAUUAAGAUAAACAAGUAAUCAACUCACGAGUCUAAUAGAAUCCAUAAUAGUAGGUGGUAGAGUCUUUGGUCAUGUUUAUACAUAUCUUGGAUUUGAUCAAUUUCUUUAAAUUUUUUGUUGAUUAUGAAUCUAAACAUAAGGGUUGAAGCAUAAAUUUAACAAGGGAAUUGAAUAUAUUAAUGAUUAAGUUAUGAUCAAAAUAUAUAUUAAGAAGAUUGGACUGAAUUUAUUUUCCUUUUAUUAAUCUUAAAAAUCGUGACAACUUGAAGAAUAUAGUGGUAGGUGAUGGGAUCUGUACAAGAUGCUAAGUAUGAGUCAUGUGAUUUACUAUUUGAAAUUGUUGGUCUAUGGAUUUCACUACAUUAAAGUAGAUAAAAUAUUGUAGCUGAUGAUCAUCUUAAAGUUAAUUUAAUCUAAUAAGCUAAGUAAUUUAUUUAAAAUUUUCUUGCUUAAAUUAAGUUGGGAUUUUGAGUGUUUUUGAAAUGGUACCAUUUUAGUAUAUAGCUAAAAAAAAUUUAAACUUAAAUAAUAUUUACUGUGUAAUGAAAAUGAAGUAUAUAGCUACUAAAAUUUUGGAAAUAGCAAAAAGUAGAAGAGAUCAUGUUAAAAUCUAGUAAGAAUCUUAAUUUAUGAAGUUUCCAAUUGUGAAUACCUUUUUUAUUUGAACUUAAGCUUAGGGUUACAUAAGGAUGGUGACGGGGUGGGUUCGGGAUGGGUCGCCCCCAUCCCAACCCCACCUCGUUUAUUCAAAAUAAUUCUCAUCUCCAUUGCAUUUAAAAAAUUAAACGAGGUGGGGCGGGUAUGAGAAUUCUCAUACCCAUCCCGCCUCUUUUAAGUUUUUUUUUUUUAAUUUUUUAAUUUUUAAGAUUACUUUUAAAUUUUUUAAUUACAUUAAAAUAAAUAUAUUUUAUAAAUAAUUAAAUUAUUAUAUUUUUUAUAACUUAUUUUAUUAAAAAAAUAUUUUAUUAUUAUUUAUAUAUUAAAAAUAGUAAAAAAAAAUUAAAUUAAUUUAAUUUUAUAUAUAAUCGGGGCAGGACAAGGCGAGAUAAGGCAAUACUCGAACCCAACCCAAGUUUUAAAAAAAAUUCUCAAACCUGUUCCAAACUCAUUUAGUUAAAAUUCAAACCCGUUCCAUUAAGGAUGAGGUGGGAUGAGUACCCAAAAAAACUCGUCUCAUUGCCAUCCUUAGGGUUAUGAGUAGUUGUAGGUCAGGAUAAUAAUAUGUUAGUAUAUAAAUACUAUAUUCUUGUUUGAAAUUUAAUAUUAUUUAUUAUGUGAUGACAAAGUUAAGCAUGAAGAAGUAUCCUUGCACUAAAAUUUAAUUUGAUUGACUAAUUUGAAAUUUCAAUGUUGAAUUGAUUAUACAACAGAUAAUUUUAAGAAUAUGUAAAAAAUAUGGGAGAUUAUAUCAAAAAAAAUUAUUCCUUUUCAUUUUUGUUUUAUUUUUUUUUAUUUUUUUUUCAUUCAUGGGAGAAGAUGUUAGAGCUCCAAUACAAGCCGGUAGCAGAGGGAGUAUGGCAAUGACUAAGGUGGAAAUUUGUAAGAAAAAAUUUGAGGCAAAGAUCAAAAUAUAUAAGGGGCCUUGGUUUUUGGCCAUAAACCAUUUGAGUUUUCUAGAUCACCAUCAUCUUGCCAACAUGAGGUAGAGUUGGAGCAUGGACUUGCGGAGACUCAACAACAAUAGCUUGAUAUCCAAUAUGAGCUAGUUAAUUGACCAAUUGGAAGCCAACGAAAUCAAUAACAUCAACAAUUUGAAGAGAUUUUACGUCAUCUACGAUUUAGCCAAGGAUCCUGAUGAUCCCUCACGAUGUAGCCAACAAAAUCAAUAACAUCAACAACAAUUCGGAACAUAGAUUUUUUCUGUCACAUUAACUAUUCGUUUUGGGUGAGAAUAGGACCAAACAAGCCCCAGUUAGACAUGAAAUCAAUAUUGGGAGCCAUAUUAUUGAAACAUUAAAAUGCACCACAAAUAUAGCUUAAUUCUUACAUGGUUCCGUUAUCAAGUCCUAAAUCAAUAUAUAUUUUCUAGAGGCUGGAGGCAAAUAGGGAAGCCCUUUUCUGGAAUGGGAGACGGAUUAUAAGAAAUCUUUUCGUUUGGAUCUACUCUCUCCCAUUUGAAUUUCGUCACAAUAUUAUGUAUGAAAACAAGUACUUGAGCUCGAGCAUAUUCCCUUCCUGGGCACAUCCGAGGUCCUCCCCCAAAGGGUACAAAAGUGAAUGGUUCAGGUCCUCUUCCUUCAAAUCUUGAGGGAUCAAAUUUCUCAUGAUCUGGAAAGUAUUUGGGAUUUCUGUGUGUUGUAUUCACGUUCCAAUGUGUCUACAAGACAGAAAAAUUUGCAGCAAUUCAUGACUAUAUAACACAGAACUUUCUUUAAUGGAAGCAUAUUUAUGGCAAAUUAAUGUACCUACCUUCCAUCCCUUUGGCAUAGUAAAACCUGCGUAAGUGAAGUUUUUAAUGACUUCCCUAAAGGCUCCUUGAACAGGUGGCGUUAGCCUCAUUGUUUCAUUUGCCACAUUCCAAGAAUAUCUCAUCUUUUGAAUGUCAUCCCAGUUCAGAUAUUCUUCUGAGCCCUUGCCCUUUGCGAUCUCCAUUUGUUCUAUUUGAUCAAAGAAGUCAAAUCUUAAAUUAGGUAACGUCACAAUCCAUAGCUAUUAGGCAAUCUAAUGCCAUUGAACAUAAACUACAUGAAAUGAACUCUAUCUAGAUCAUCAACACCAUUUGAUAGAUCCUAGCUUGGAUUACUUGUGGAGAAUUUUCAAAAUGGGAUUAUGGACUCGACAGAUUACUUGUUAAAGCCAUGCAUGCAUGCAUGCAUGCUUGAAAGAGAUUCCAUGGAGAGGAGGCAAAGAUACUUUGCCUGGGAUUACCUUUAAAGACUUCAUUAUAGAUACUGGGAAACUCUGCCAGAUACUUGAGAACAAAUGUGAUAACCGCACUUGUGCUGUCAUGGGUUGCCAGCAGUAGACAAAUAAGGUGAGUACUGAUCUCCGUUUCACUCAUAAUCUCACCAUUCUUAUUUGCUUCUAAAAGCAUGUGGGACAGAAAGUCUCUGGCUGCUGAGUUUCCUUUCUGUCCUAAUUCCAUUUUCCUCUUGUUGAUGAUUGCUAGAAGCUCUUUGUGGACGAUGUUGCGUGCUUUGAUAGCCCGGUUGAAUGCUGUACCAGGAAUAUCUAAAGGUACAGAAAGGAACCCAGCCAUAAUAAGUUCGAAAGGAUGAGAAAUUCUGGCAACACACUGAGGAUCAUCAACCUUCAUAAACAACCGGCAAGAUAAUGCGAAGGCAUACUUCUUUACGAGUGGAAAAACCUUCACUUCUCUAUAAGGAGCCCAAUCCAUAUCUAUGUGCAUACCUGCCAUCAAAUCCAUGAUGGCUACAUAGUGUUUCAGAGCUUCUGGCUUGAGAAAUUCUGGAAGAAAGCUAGGAGUUUUGAUCUGAUCUUGUGUUGCAGGGUUAUCAAAAAGCGAGGGGAAGUACAAAAUCUUCUUCAUGGAGCGGUGCCACCACGAGGUGACAAGCUUAUUCUCAUUGGAGAAGAAAAACUUGUUCCCUGGUGCACCACACAUCACAGCCAUGUUCUCUUCCAUCAAGGAGAUCCGGAAUACUUCAGGGGAGUACUUGUUCAUUCUAUCAUUUAUGAACCUCUCUGGAUUUCCCCUUUGAGCUGCUAAGGCAAACUGCAUUGUUUCCCCGAUGAUGGGCCAGCCUUUUCUACCAGGGGGAAGCUUUGAAUUGGAAGAUUUGUGGUGAUAAGCAAGGAAGAUUAUGCCAAGAGAUAUAGUGGAGAGUACUAUAAGGUAAAGUAGAUAUGAGAAGAAGAGAUCCAUGUCUUUUACUCGAUGAUAACAAUGAGGACAAAGAGAGGAUGGAAAUAGAAAAUCCCAAACUAAUUUGGGAAUUUAUAUAGGCAAGUGAAGGACUUUGAGAUGGAAGUUGCAUGCUUGGCUCAUUACCUUUACUGAACUUCCCUUCUACUAAGAUCACAUUACAGUCUGUAUUCCAACUUUUUUCUUCUCUUUUUUGGUGCUCUAAUUUUUCUCUCAUUUUUCAACUGUCACGCUUCAAACUAAGAAUCUGUUUGAUAAUGAUUUUAAAAAAAUGUUUUUAACCUAAAUAGUAUUUUUUAAAAUAAAAAUAAGUAUUUGAUAAAAUUUAAAAUAUAUUUUUAAAGAUCUAAAAAAUCAUUUAUAAUAUUAGAAAAUCACUUGUAAUUAUUUUUGAAGAAACACUAUGAAUGUGUUUGGUAAGUGGUUUAUGGUAAGUGGAAUAACAUUGUAUUCGCAUUUUAAAUGGACAAAUUGCAUGUAAGAAUAGCUCAUUGUGGUGUAACUCAUUUUUUGAAAAUACGAAUUUCGUCUUUUUACAUUAAAUUUACCUUUUAAAAAGAGUUCAUUGAACUUGUUUUUGAAAAUUUGAAUUCAGUAUUUUUACAUUGAACUUGUCUUUAAAAAAAAAUAAGUUUAGUAUAAUUGACAUGUCUUUUUAUUGUGGUGUAACUCAUUUUUGAAAAUAUGAAUUUAAUCUUUUUACAUUAAAUUUAUCUUUUUUUAAAAAGAGUUUAUUGAAUUUAUUUUUGAAAAUUUGAAUUCGGUAUUUUUACAUUGAACUUGUCUUUACAAAAAAAAAGGGUUUAGUAUAAUUAACAUGUCUUUUCAUUGUGGUGUAAUUGAACUUGUCUUUACAAAAAAUAGGUUUAGUAUGAUUAACAUGUAUUUUCAUUGUGGUGUAACUCAUAUCGGAAAAUAUGAAUUUAGUCUUUUUACAUUAAAUUUAUCUUUUAAAAAAAGGAGUUUAUUGAAUUGGUUUUUUUAAAUUUGAAUUCGAUAUUUUUACAUUGAACUUGUCUUUACAAAAAAAAAAGGUUUAGUACGAUUAACAUGUCUUUUCAUUGUGGUGUAACUCAUUUUUGAAAAUACGAAUUUAGUCUUUUUACAUUAAAUUUAUCUUUUAAAAAGAGGAGUUUAUUGAACUAGUUUUUUUAAAUUUGAAUUCGAUAUUUUUACAUUGAACUUGUCUUUACAAAAAAUGGGUUUAAUAUGAUUAACACGUCUUUUCAUUGUGGUGUAACUCAUUUUUUAAAAUACAAAUUUAGUCUUUUUACAUUAAAUUUAUCUUUUAAAAAAAGGAGUUUAUUGAACUGGUUUUUUAAAAUUUGAAUUCGGUAUUUUUACAUUGAACUUGUCUUUACAAAAGACAGGUUUAGUAUAAUUAACAUAUCUUUUUUGUAAUCCAUCUUUGAAAGUAUGAAUUUAAUCUUUUUACAUUAAAUUUAUCUUUUAAAGAAAAGAAGUUUAUUGAACUUGUUUUUUAAAAUUUGAAUUCAGUAUUUUUGCCUUGAACUUGUAUUUACAAUAGACAAGUUUGAUAUAAUUAACAUGUUUUUUCAUCGUGGUAUAACUCAUUUUUUAAAAUAUGAAUUUAGUCUCUUUACAUUAAAUUUAUCUUUUAAAGAAAGAAGUUUAUUAAACUUGUUUUUAAAAUUCGAGUUUCGUAUUUUUAUAUUGAACUUGUCUUUUGAAUUGGAGAGUUUAUUUCAGCAAUCACAUGGAAGGUGGAUGGGGUAGGCACGUGCAUGAUUUAAUGUACAGUUUACUUGAGCGUGCAUGCACUAAAAUUUCGCCAAAAAUGGACGAAAUUUUGGAAAAAUAUCGGCAUUUUAGGAGCCACCAACUAAAACCAUAUAUAAUGGAGGGGAUAAUUAUGUGUAUGUAUUUUGAUGUGGUAAGAAUUUCCAAGUGGUUAUAUGUGCCUCGACUGAUUACUUGUAUGAGAUAUAUAUGUAGUCUAAAGUUCCUAUUAAUAUGAAUAGAAAGAAAUUAAUACUGCAUGUGACCACACCUACCCGCCUUGCAUGUAAAUACUCAAACAAACUCUCUACUCAACAAAAAUUUUAGUGAAAUGGUCAGGCUUUGUAACAUGCAUGAUGAUAUAUAUACAUUCUUGUCCUUUGUGUUUUAUUUCUUUUUUAAUUAUGUUCUAAAGUGUUACAUCAGUUACCUUUGAAGCUUGUUACGCCAAGUUUCUCAUAUGCAUUAUAGGUUAGCUAAAUGCUAUCUUGUGUCCUACAAGGAUUUUUAAGUAAUUAUAUACAUUUGAGUAAGAAUGCGUUUGAUAGUGAUUUUAAAAAAUAUUUUUGAAUUUUUUAAUAUUUAAAAAUUUUUAUCUUUUAAGUAUUAGAAAGAUUAAAAACACUUUUUAAAAUGACUAUCAAACACACUCUAUAUUAAAUAUCCAUACGCCGAGUUCUUAUUGAGAUAAAUAGAAAGUAAUUAAUCCUACGUGUAACUACUAAUACCCUAACUCUCAAUUAAAUAUUAUAUGUGAUCAUUCCCAUCCACCUUACAUGUGAAUGGUUAAAUAAACUCUUCGUUAAAUGAUACCAUAUAUAGAUGACCAAAGGAAAAGAAAAAAUAAAAAAUAAAAAAUAACCUGACACAUGAAAGGAGCUUACAUGAGGGUGGUGCGCUCGAGAAGUUUUUAUGCAUGCAGGUGUAGACAUGAGAAUAGGUGAAAGAGUAGUAUCAUAUUAUCAUGUCCAAUAUUUUUAAAAUUUACUCGAAUCUACUAAUUGGUUGAACCAUCAAUCAUCGAGUGUUGGACCUUUUAACCCAAUUCUUGAAAUUGUUGUACCAACAGAAGGCUCAACAUAAAUAUGUUAGUUUAAGAACACAGAAAAAAUAAUUUACACAAAGGACACAAUCUUUUAACGCGGUUUGGUCAAUUUUACAUAUAUCCUUAAAUGAGAAAGAAGUAUUUUAUUAUACCAUAAAGAAUAUCAUAGAGAAUAAAAAUUAAUUACAAUUAUUAAAUUUUAAAACUAUCAUAUAUUUAUUCACUCUUUGUAUUUAUACUCUGAAUCAUGAACUCUCUCUCUCCAAUGGGUGUCUUUCAUUUUUUCUCACAUCUCUAUUCAUUUUGUAUAGUAUUUAAGUUUAUCUUCAUCUUAUUAUUUUUUUCCGUCAUGAUCUAGAAUAUUUAUAAAGAUAUUCCUAAUAAGUUUCCUUAUUUAAUAAAGAAGCCUAAUAUUACCAUAACAUAUCAAGUUAGGAAAUAUUUAAUACACUUUCCAAUAAUCUCUACCUUAAAUCAAAUUCUACUAAUCUUCCAUCUCUCUAUGAUACAUGUUUUUUGUAUCAAUCCCAAUGAGAAAACAAUCGACUUAACCUUUAACAAAAAUUCCUUUUGUCAUCUUCUUACGAGUUUUGUUUUCUUUGGCUCUUCUAAAAAUCUUCAUCCUAGGUGUUGAGACCAAUUUGUUUUAUCAGUGGACACUUCAAUAUAAAAAUGUUAGUUUAAGAACAUAAUGAUAAAAUAAUUCACAUAUAGGAACACGAGGCUUUAAUAUGGUUUGAUCAAUCAUGCUUACAUUCAUAGAUAAAAAAGAAUCAUUUCGCUACACCAUAAAGAAUAUCAUAAAGGAAAAAAACCAAAUACAACUAUUAAGUUUUUAAAAUAUCUUAUGUUUCCCCACUCCCUUUAUCUACACCUUGAACCAUAAGUCCUCUCAUUCUACCAAAUGUCUCUCAUUCUUCUUCAUAUCUCUAUUCAUCUUGUAUAGUUUUCAUAAGUUUAUUUUCAUCUCGUGACAUUUUUUUUGUAUGAUUUAGAAUAUUUACAAAAAUAUUUCUAAUAAUUUUUAUUUUAUUUUAUAAGGAAAUAUAAUAUUAUAAUAAUAUAUCAAGUUAGAAAAUAUUUUACACAAUAUUCAUGGAGUGUGUUUGAGUGGUUGGAAUUGAACAUGAGUAUUCUUUGAAACCAGAAAAGAAUAAAAGAAAUGGGCCACCACUGCACCCACUCUCCUAUGAUAAUAAUAUUAGUUUAUAUUAUAUAUAUUAAACAUUCUGAAUAAAAAAAUAAAUAAAUAAUUAACUUGUCCAUGAUUUAUAGCAAAGCAUGGUAAUAUUCGUUUGAUUUCUCCAUAUUUGAUUCAUGCUCCCCACUCCUCACUGUCAUCACAACUUUGACCUCUUCAGUCGUUCCCAACUCUGCUACCUCACAAGCAUUCUUUUUGUUUUGUUGUGGUUGAGAUGAAAACUCUCUUUUCUCUUGAGCCAAGUUGGCUGAGAUUUGUCUCAAAGUAAUGUGAAUAUUGUAGAUGGCUUGAGAUAUUUGAGAAUUAAAUAUCUUCUACUCUGAUCUUUCCCCUUAUUGUUGCAAAAAAUGCUGAAUCAAAGUUUCCAGAUUUGAACUUGAUGAUGCUAAGUUGAUGUUUGAAAUCAUCAGAGGAGCUCCUUAGAGCAUUUCCAAGCCGAUUUCCUUGCUGUAUAUAUAUUGGUUCAUUGGCCCAGUUGAUUGUUUCUCUUGCAAUAUCAAACAACUAAAAUGAGAGCAAUCCGACACUUCGAACCAGAGCCUCCCAGUUUAAACUGAUAGCUUGAGAAGAAUAAUUCAAGCCUAUGUUUUCUAUUGGUUGCUUAGCAUUAAAUCCAUUACAAAUUAUGAACGUGGAAACUAACAAUCCCCUAAUCCAAGGAAUUAUUUUAUCAAUGGUUCUUUGUCUUAUUCAGAGGAGAUAAAAUAAAAAAUUUAACACGGAAUAAUAUUCAACCAAACUACCCCUCCACAUGUCCAAGUGGUUGCAAAAUUAAAGGAAUUCCACUACCAAGAUUAUCCAUGUAUUUCAUGAGCUAUAUCACAGUAAUAUUCGUGAGUUAUAUGAGGACUAAAUUUGAAAUCAUGGUAAUAUUAUUUAGCAUUUAGAAUGUUGUACUAUAAAUAUGCUUGACCUAAUAAAACUUGUGGCUUGUGAACUCCUGUUGAUUCCCAUGAAAGCUUUGACAUUGAGGGCAUGAUUCAGGAAUGAGGAUUUUGAAUAAGAAUGAAUUUGAUAAUUCCAAUUUUUAUAUUUGAAUGUGUAUAGAAAUGUGGAGUUGAAAUGGUAUAUAAUUCAGUUCUAUUUCAAUGUUAAGUAAAAAAAUAGAAAUAAAAAUGAAAAAAAUUAUUAAUAAUAUUGAUAGACCUGGUUUAAAAUAGUUCUUUAUUUUUACUUUAAAAAAAAAAAACUCACAUUGUACAUAGUUUGAAAUAAUUUUUUAUUUUCAUUUAAAAAAAAUCCUUCAAGGUUUUUUUAUUAAAUAAUAAAAAUCUAUUUGGGUCUGUGAUUAAAAAACAAAAUUAUUUUAAAAAUUUAUUUUAUUAUUUGGUUAUUGUUCUUUAAAAACAAAAUAAAAUAGAGAACUUUUCUUCCAAAUUUUACUCAAUAGAAAAAAUGAAUUUCAAAUCAAAUGAGACUUUGUAUUGAAUUUAUUGAUAAGUUUAAUAAUUUUAAAAAAUGAUUUUAAAAUAAAAACCUAUAUAUAAUGACUAUAAAAUUCAAAUAAUAGACAUAAUUAAGGCUUUAAAUUCUUUUAUAAAUCUUGCAAUUUUUAAGAAUAAUUUAAAAUUCCAAAAAUUUAUUAAUUAAUUAUAAAUUAAAUAAAAUAAUUCAAAAUAUCAUCUUUGUAAUUGAAAAAUAAAUGUAUGCAUAUAUAAAAAAAUUUGGUGUAUUUAUACCUUUAAAAAAUUAAAUUUUAUUUUUAAAAAUAUUUUUAUAUUCAUUUAAAACGGAAUAGCAUUAGAAUUUAUUAAUUUUGAAUAAUUAUUCUUUAUUUUAAAUAAAAUAAAUUAAUUAUGCUUUUGUAAGAUAUUAAUAUCCAUAUUUUAUCAUAUUUAUAAAAUCAUGUAAAAAGAAUUAUAAAUUAUUCAUUUUGAAUUAUUAUUAUUAUUUAUUUUAAGAAAAUAAAUUAAUUUAUGUUAAUAUCUAUAUUUUUAUAAUAUUUAUAAAAAUAUAUAAUUAUGAUUUUAUUACAUUAUUAAAAUUAAUAUUUUUAUUAAAAAGCAUUNNNNNNNNNNNNNNNNNNNNNNNNNNNNNNNNNNNNNNNNNNNNNNNNNNNNNNNNNNNNNNNNNNNNNNNNNNNNNNNNNNNNNNNNNNNNNNNNNNNNAAAUCAAAAUACCUCGUAGUUAGAGAUAAUUGAAAUCAUUUAUAAAUGAGAUUUCAUUUUCAUUAAAGUCGUUUUUUUAGUCUAUUCCCAUCAAGAUUUAAGUUAUCCAAAUAUGGGAAUGAAAGAAAAAAUGAAUGAGAUACUCAUUCUCACUCCUCAUUCCCGCAAACAGGCCUUAAAAUUGUGUGAUAACAAUAAAGAUAAAAUUAAUCAAAUAAUUACAUAAAUGGUAAAAUUAGGUGUAUUAAUUCAUAAUAUAGUUGCAAUUAGAAAGUUAUGUACUAGUUAGGUUAAAUUUCAAAUGAAGUGUGACAAAAGGAUACAAAUGGAUUAAAUUAUUUCCUAAAUUUGAAAACUUAACCCACUAGCAUGAUUAGAUUAGCCUUUUAUGAUACCAUAUUGAAGAUUAUACUAUUAUAAAAGCCAAGUCAUUUGAAAUUUUUUUUUAAUGGUAAAAGGAACAUGUUGAUUUUUUUUUUACUUUUUAAAACUUAAUAAAAUAAAAUAUUAAAAAAAUAAAUAAUUUAAUUCUUAACACUAUUAAUUACUAUUUAGUUUUAAAUUUUAUUUAGAAUUAAGUAGAAAAAGGAAAAACAAACACCACCUUAGUUUGGUUCUUAGAAAUAGAAAUAUUUGGUAUUAUAUGCAAAAUAAGCUCUAGGAAUAAAUUGACUUUCCCAAACCACGAAAUAAUCACACUUAAUUUUUAAUUUCAACGCAAUUUCUUCAUUUAGAAAUAAAACAAAUUUAAAAUUUUUCUUGGUUUUAAAAAAUGCAUUUUGAGAUCUCAGCUCAAACUUGAACAACCAUUGUUCUUCAAUAUUGUAUUUUCUAUUCAAAAAUUUUCAAGAAUAUAAUCCCCACUAAUUAUUUGGAGAUGAAAGAAUGAAUUGAAUUUUUGUUGCAUUUAGCUAUUAUAGAGUUAAAGAAAAAUACUAGAUAAGGAAAACCGAAAGGGAAAAAGUAAAAUAAAAUAAUAAAAAAUAUUUGAAAAAUUAAAUUACCGAAAAAUAUUUGAUUGAAUUAAUAAAUAACAAGUAUUUGCAUAUGAAAAAAAAUAAACAUAAUGAAGAAUUUUUUUAAUAAUUAGUGCAUAAUAAUUUUAUUUUCCUUUUAAUAACAAAUUAACUUAUGGCAAAAUGUUAUAUUUGUUGUAGUGACUGUGUUCUCUUACAUUCUUCUUUCAUGAUAGACUCAAAUUUUAAUUUAAAUGUAGUACAAAUAUAUAAUUAGAUUAAAAUUUCGUCCACGGAGAUUGAUUAGGUCUGAAUUUGGGUCAUCCUCCCAUCCAAUCCAAACUUGGGUCAUGCGCCCUUAGUUUGGGCUGGGCUUGAUAAUCCCCAGGCUAUGCAGGCUUAAUAUUGAUUGGGUUUGGGCUUCCAUGCAUUUGUAAUUAGAUUCUAUGUUUCCUAGUAUUAAUACUAAAUUAGUUUUAAUUUAUAAUUGAAUAUAAUUAGAAGAUGAAUGAGUUAGGUGGAUAUUUCAUUCGAAAAGUCUAAUGUGAAAGGUGGUCCACGUCUAUUAAGUUAUGGACAGUUGUUUUUUAUGCAAAUUUUCUAUGAAGUCCUAAUCUUAAAAAGUAAUAGGAAAUUUAUUACCAAGAUUUCUAAGAAUAUAACUACAUCAAAGCGUAAGAAAAGUAUCAAACAAGAAUUUCUAAAAAAUGACGACUCAAAGUGUAAGAGAAGGACGAAGUAAUAGGCCAAUUGCAAGGAAAAAUAGGUUUUAGUCACGAAUUUCUUAUGUCAUAAUUAUGACCUCUAGAGGCCACAUAGGUUGUUGGCCUUGGAGUGACAAUAUGGAUGGUUGAAGAAGUAAAAGACAAUAUGAAUAUUGGACUUUUACUUGUGACAUUUAUUUAGAAAUUUUUUAUUUUUUAUUUUUAAAAAAAUAGUAAAGGUAGUAAAGUCUUGUUAAAGGUUAUUUUGUGCCCUAAAAACAAAUUUUAAAGGCUUGCUAAAGAUUAUUUUGGAUAUAUUUUAUGUAUUAAAAUUCAAUUUUUUUCUUUUAAUACCUCAAUUUUUAAAAGUUAUUAUCUUUUAAAAUGUAUAUCUCAUAGAGUUUUUGCAUUAUAAAGGAAUUACUAUCAUUUUUUAACAAAAAAUGAGAAAUAUAUUCAAAUAAUACCUUCAUUUUUCAUUUUCUAUUAUAAGAAAAUGAUUAUAUCUCACACAAACCUGUUGAGACACAUAUUUCAAAGUGAGAAAAAAAAAAUCUUUAAGAGAAGAAAAGUCUUUCAAAAAGAAAAAAUGUGGUCUUUAAAGAAGUGCCAAAAGAGUUCAAGCUAAUUUUGAUGUUAUUUGGAAAAGAAGGAAGAGUGAAUUCAAUCUUAUAAUCCGCUAACGUGAUGUUGUUUGGUUACAUUUUUUAUUUUUAUAAAUAAAAAUAAUAAUAACUCCUAUAUGAAAUAUAGAACUCUUUCAAACUUGCUUUAAAAACAUGAUAAUUUUUUAAAAGCUAAGAUAAAUUGAGAUACUAAAAAAAAUUUACUUCUUCAAAUUUUAAAAAUUACAAAAAUAAAUUUUGAAAACAUAAGAUAAGUCCAUAUUUUUUACGAUGUCCAUUGACACAUUUAAAGAUAUAAACAUCAAUAAAAAUGAAAAGAAUUAGAAAAGAAGGAAAAGAUGUACUAAACAAGACACGUCUUUUGUUAGGAAGGCAUGAAACCCAAAAAUAAAAUUUAAAAGAAAAAGCAGAGAAAAAAUCAAAUCAGUAUUAACCAAGGUGCUUUGAAAAUGGUGGUUGUUGAAUGGAGAGAGAGAGAGGGAAAAGUAAAAGUAAAAGAAAAGGUCAUAAACAAGCUUCUAGAGUGCAAAUAAUAAUAAGAGAUAGGUCCGGGCUCUUGCGAACCUAUUGAUAUUUGAUGCCAAAGGAUAUAACCAACUACCACAAAUAAUUGAGAAAAAAGAAAGGGAUAUCCUCACCACUAUGUCCAGAUUUCUUUAGGAAGACCAAGAAAAGUCACUCUACAUCUAAAGACUCAUUUGUUGUUAUAAUCUUAAAGAGACGAUUUCUCCCCUAUAAAUUGUUUUUAAAAAAUUUUAGAAAUCGUAUCUUGAAAAUGCCAUUUUUUUGCUAUAAUUUUUUUAAAAAAAUGAAAUAAAUCGUUUUUUAAAAAGACAUUUUAAAAGAAAAUAACGAUUUUUAUUUUUCCUUUUCUUAUUUGACAAAAACUAUGAUAGAUUUGGAUUUAUUUUUUUCACUACGAUAGUUUAUGAAUUAUUUUUAAAAACUAUCUCAAAAAUCUUAUUUGAAAAUAUAAAAAAAAAUGUUAUAUUUGAUAUUUACACAUUAUACAAAAACAAUAUUUCCAAAUGAUUUAAUACAAAAAAUAAAUUAUGAAAAUGAAAAAAAUUAUGUAAAUAGAUAUAUGUGAAAGGUAAGGAGUGUUUUUGUUCAUAUAUUUUCAUGUACUUAAAUAUCAACUACGUUUCUUUUCACAAAUGUUAGCCAAAUAAUGAACCUCAAACACAAUUAUCCUACAGAGAAAAGUGAAGAAGAAGAAGAUGAAUGGUAGUUGUAUGAAAAUAAAAAAAUAAAAUCAUUGCCUCUUGACUCUACCAUACCAACCCCACCAUCGACCAAUGAAUAAAAAGAAAAUAAUUAAAAUUAAAGAAUAGCCCAAGAAUCAAUGACUUUCUAACAAGUCCAUAUAACCACAAAAAUUUUAAUUUUAUUGCCUUAAAAGUUAAUUGAAAUGCCAAAAAAAAAAGACAAAAAUAAAAUGUUAAGAUGUAAAAAAAAGAGUCAGAAAAAGCUUCAAAAUUGCAGUUAAUAAUUGAGGUAUUGGAUAUUGAAUGCCCAAAAAAGAAAAAAUAAAAUGGAACCAGAGUUUCUUAGCAGGAAAUGGAGUGCGUGUGUUUUAGGAUAUUGGCGUUAUUUGCUUGUGCCCUGUUUUUGCUGAGAAAGAGUGGAAGGAGGAUGGAGAAUUAAAUAAUUUUCAAUCUAAGCAAUGAGAAAUUAGAUUUGGGUAUUUGGGCCAUUGGAGUUAAUUGCUCUUACUCAGUUUGGUUUCCAGGAAACUGCAGGCAAAGCAUGGAAAAUAAAGUAUUUUUAAAUUAAUUACCAGGAAAUGGAAUGUACGUAUUUGUCUCUUUGGAAUAUAAACAUCAGUAUUCACUCUUCAAGAAUGUAUAUAUGGUUGUUGUUUUGGAAUUUUGAAAUCACUUAGCAUCAGACAAUUUCUAACUUGGGAUUUGGAUUGGGAACCAUAAGUUAUCCUUAGAGAGUAUAUGAGAAGGAAUUUUAGAGCAAGACAGGGUGAUGCAUGUUGAGGGAUGAAAGAGGGAUGUGUCUCACCCCUAGAGUUCUUUGGAAUAAUUAUAGGAUUUUGUAAAUAACUUUGGACUUAUUCGCAAUGUUCUGGAUUUGUGAAUAAUUUAUAGAAUACUUGGGUGUUUUUUUUUUGGUCCAUUAAAAACUUCAAGAACUUUGAGAGUGAAUAAUGUAUGACUGUACUCUUCUCUAUCUCUCUGGUCAUAGCACACGUAUGAUUUGGUGCUUUUUUGCAGGCUUUCAACAGCAGAAAAGCAUCUGGAGGCUUGCAGUACUAAUCUCUUGCAUUAUAUUCUCUGUUUUGCAAUCAUUUGGUACUUUUUGUCCCAACCAAGGAUAGCUCUGUGCAAGCAGUCUCGACUGUGGAACAAGUAAAACAAAUGGUACCUGCUGAAGCUGAGAGGGCAGAUGAUAAAUUGGUGCGGAAGUUGGUCAACCAAAAGAAUCAGACAGCAAAAACUAAAAAGCCCAUGAAGCCUGCUACUGAAGCGAUCUCAGCACCUGUUUCUAGGAGGGGUGAGAUUGAAGCGACUGAAGAAAAGGAGCAUGAGCAAACAAAGAAGGAAGAGGAGUUGGCCAGGAAGGUAGAGGAAUUGAGAAGUGAAGAAGAAGCAGCCAUGUUGAAGGAGCAAAGUCUGUCGGAGGAGAAAGCCAACGUUAAGGAGGCACUGGAAAGGAAACAAGGAACUGCAGAAAAGGCCAAUUUCUCUGUGAGUGCUGCCACCUUUUCAUAAUAAUGGAUGUUAAAAGCAGUCUAACUCUACAUGGCGUUUAUUUUCCCCAGCCAUGGAUUGGAAUCUGCCAGUCUAACUCUCAUAAGAAAGAAAAUUUUCCAUCCUCGUAUGGAUUAUUGGAGAAGAUUUUAACAUGGAGUUCACUAGAGAGUUUCAAACACCCACUCAAAAAGGACAUUUUAGAGAACUUAUUGAAAAGUUACAUCAGAGUACAUAAAUUUUUAGAUAUUUUUAAAAAUAUCUGAAAAAUUAAAUUAACUAAAAGUAUUUGAAAAAUAUUUGAUUGAAUUAAUAAAUAACUAGUAUUUGCAUAUGAAAAAAUAGUAAACAUAGUCAAUAAUAUUUUUUUUUUAAUAAUUAGCACAUAAUAAUCAUAAAUUAUUUUAUGGCAAGACCUCAUAUUUGUUGUGGUGACUGUGUUGUCUUACCAUUCUUCUUUCAUGAUGGGCUUAAAUUUUAAUUUAAAUGUAGUAUAAAUAUAUAAUUAGAUUGAUAUUUCGUCCACUAGAAUUGAUUGGGGCUGAAUUUGAACCCUGGUUCGAGUCAUACUCCCAUCCAAUCCAAACUUGUGGUUGGGCUUGAAUUUCUUGGCCCAACCAGCGAAAUCAUUGACCAACGGCCCUUAGUUUGGGCUGGGCUUGAUGGUCCUCAGGUUAUGCAGGCUUAAUACUGAUUGGGUUUGGGCUUCCAUGCAGUUGUACUUGGAUUCUAUGUUUCCUAAUAUUAACACUAAAUUAGGUUUCAUUUAUAAUUAAAUAUAAUUAGUUUGAGACUAACUCCAAUCUUUAGUUAAACCAACUAAGUUUUAUGCAAAGGUUUAUAUUCCUAAUACCAUUGAAAAACUAAAUUUAUGUGGAAGUUUGACUAAGUGAUACCGACAUUAAAUUAUUAAGAUAAAUUGAAAAAAAAAAAAUCAUGCUCGUAUGUCCUGUUGUUUGUCAUAAGAAAAUUUCUUUUCAGAUUUUUUUUUUCUUUUAAUAUAUCUUUACUUUUUUAAUAACAAUCCAUAGGAUUGUUCCCAAACAUAUAUCAUAUAAAUAUAUCUUUUUUGGAUUUUUAAGAAUGUUGUCAAACAAACUCAUAAUACCAUUCUUUCUUAACAAUUACCAAUCCAUAUGACGAAUUUAUUACUUUCAAUAACUGACAUCAUCUAAUCAAAAUUAUAAUUAUAAUUAUAAUUAUAAUUAUAAUUAAGUAUUAUAUUAAAAGAGUGUUUGAUAAAUCAAUUUAAUAACUUAAAUUAAUUUAAUAACUUAAUUUAAAUUAUUAAAAUAAUUUGAUGUCACAAUUUAAAGUUAAAAAUGACUUAAUUUAUUUUUAUUUAAAUUUAAAAUUAUGUUUACAAAAAAGGUUUAAAAUUCAUAUCAAUUAAGAGAUUAAGUCAUUGAAUUACUUUAAGUCAUUAAAUUGAUCUACCAAUUAAAGUUCACCUCCUACAUAUCAUGAAAAUUAAAAAUUAAUUACAACAUCAAGAAUCUUUAGUUCCUAAUCGAUAUAAUAUUUAAUCCUUGGUUGUAAAUUUCUUUACAUAUGUAGAUAUAUUUUUAUAUUGCAAGUGGGUUGCCGACUUUUCAUUUUAUACUAGUUUUGAAAAUAAGAUUGUAGUUUUUAUUUUGUCCAAAUCUAAUUUGGAGGGAGAAUCUUUUAUAUUCAAAUAGGAAAAAUUUAAGUUUAAUAGUCCCACCUUAUAAAGGCAAAUAUCUUGGACCCUACAUGGGUGCCUCUUACAUGCACAAGGACAAAGACUUUUCAAUUUCUUUCUAGAUUUUUUUUUUCUUUUUGUUCUUUUCAAUUCUAGAUAUUUUAAUAUAUCUUUACUUUUUCAAAAACAAUCCCAAACAUUUUUUAAGAUUGAUUUUUAAGAAUGUUAUCAAACAAACUCAUAAUAGCAUUUUUUUCUUUACAAUUACCAAUUCAUAUGAUGAAUUUAUUACUUUCAAUAACCGACAUCAUCUAAUCAAAAUUAUAAUUAAGUAUCAUAUUAAAAGAGUGUUUAAUAAAUCAAAUUUAAUAACUUAAAGUGAUUUAAUAACUUAAUUUAAAUUAUUAAAAUAACUUGAUGUCACAAUUUAAAGUUAAAAAUAACUUAAUUUAUUUUUGUUUAAAUUUAAAACUAUGUUUACAAAAAAAGGUUUAAAAUUCCUAUCAAUUAAGAAAUUAAGUCAUUAAAUUACUUUAAGUCAUUAAAUUGAUCUACCAAUUAAACACCCUUUAAGAUAUUAUAUAAAGCUCACCUCCUACAUAUCAUGAAAAUUAAAAAUUAAUUACAACAUCAAGAAUCUUUAGUUCCUAAUCAAUAUAAUAUUUAAUCCUUGGUUGUAAAUUUCUUUACAUAUGUAGAUAUAUUUUUAUAUUGCAAGUGGGUUGCCGACUUUUCAUUUUAUACUAGUUUUGAAAAUAAGAUUGUAGUUUUUAUUUUGUCCAAAUCUAAUUUGGAGGGAGAAUCUUUUAUAUUCAAAUAGGAAAAAUUUAAGUUUAAUAGUCCCACCUUAUAAAGGCAAAUAUCUUGGACCCUACAUGAGUGCCUCUUACAUGCAUAAGGACAAAGACUUUUUGAAAGCCUCCCCCAUUCAUAUGGAUGCCAUCAUUCAUCGAAGUUGAAACACGAAACCCAAACAAAAUAUUUGAGCAAAAGCAACUUCAAUAUUUUUUUCAUAACUAUAGCUGAGAAUCUCAAUAUUAUUAAAUAGUGACAAAAUUAAUUUCAAUAUUUUUUUUCUCUUAUUUUUUCCUCCUUGUGGUUAUAUUUUCAAAUAGAAAGUAUUAAAUAUUUAAAAAAUAAAAAAAUCAUAAAAAAUAAUUUUUCAUAUUUAAUUAUUCUAUGAAAAAUAUAAAGUAAAAUAAAAUAUAAUUAAAAUUAGUUAAAAAUUUAUAUUUUUAUGAAAUUAUUUAAAUUAUUUAUAAAAAUUUAAAAUAAGUGACAUGAGUUUGAAAUAGUAUAUAUGUUGACUUUAAUUAUAUUUAGUUAAAGUUUUCUAUCAUGCCUAAGUUUAAUUAGUUCUACUUAUAUGAAAUUUAUACAUCGAAAUGAAAGUAAGCAUAUAUUUAAGUGGCCCAUCAAAUUUGAAACUAGUCUAUUGUAAUUACAUUCAUAUCUAUAUCAUUUAUAUUAUACAUAACUUGAGUAUAUUAAAAAUUGUACAAAAGAUCCAAAUCACAAGAAAAUUUAUAUAAAUUCUCUUAAGGGUUUAGGAUUAGACACUGUUAGCCAUUGUCUUCUAAAAAACUUUCAUCGCUUUCUCUCUCAAGAGGUUUGUAGCCACUUUACACAAAUGCCAAGACUCAAAGGAAUGAUCUAGUGAAAAUGAUGAGGUGAUUGAGAUCCUCUUCAUAAACUAGAGUUUGAUAUGGGAACAUUCAUAUUGAAGGUAAAAACUUUUAUCAACACCUAGACUUACUAUUAUAUUCCGUUAUAAUUAACCCCAAUAAUCCUAGGUUGUUAGAGAGCAUACACCUAUGAUCCAAGGGUUUUCCCAACAAAGAUAUCAAUAAAUCUUUCUAUUCCAUUGAUGGUAUCUUGAAUUCUUUCAAAUUAAUCACUUCAUUGUAAUCGUUAUUCACUUCAUUGUGAUUUGUCAAAUAAUAAUUCAUUUAUGCAUCAUGGUUGUGCCUUGAGGUAAGGCUUUAGAGGCAUAAGCCUCAAAAGCCUCUUAAAAUUGGUUCUACUUAUGCCUCUAUAGCCUCUUAAAAUUGGUUUUACAUUUCUUGCAUGAUGAAUGCAAGUUCCAAAUUUUGAUGACUUGGUAAUGUUGGAGUAAUUGGGUUGAAAGGAGUUAAACACAAACAAUUAUUAAAGAAGAUAAAAAUUUGGAAGAAUUAAAAUUUUAUUGUAUUCUACCACUCUCUUUUUUAUUCAAAUAUUACAUAACCUUUUAUUUAUAGAUGCUCACACUUAACUAAAAAUGAUAUAAUUAAAAGUAAAUUAUCAUUUGAUUGCAAUGGAUUCAAUAGAAUAUGGUGGAUAUGCUAAAUUUUUGUCUGUCAAUAAAAUUUGAUUUGAGUGAAUAUAAUUAGAGUAAAAUAGUCUUUUUUAACUGUCACUUUUACAAUAAAAAGUGUUUUAUUUAAAUAAAUAUUUAAUAAAAAUUUAAAAAAAAUUUAAAAAAAUAAUUAUAGUGUUUUCUAAGAAACAUUUGAUAAAUAAUUAUUAUAAAAACACUUCCUCGAAAAUACUUCAAAGUUAGUUGGAUGGUAAGUUAUACAUCAAGAUCUUAAUGAUGGUCCAUGCAACCAUCACCAUUGAUUGUUUUCGAAAACACAACUUCAAUUUAAAUAAUAUUUUAAGGCAACUCCUAGUUAUCAUAUUUUACAAGAUAUUUUUUAAAAUUAUUGUUCUUUUUCUUUCAAAAUCCCAAGAGAGAGGUCACCAAUAUCAAAAUAAUGUGACCCAUCUCUAUACUAUUAUCUCCAUUAUUUGGACUAUAUCAUAAUUUCCUUAUCGACAACAUGGUAGCCACGAUUAAAUACCUACAACUUUGAAAACAAGAUCUCAAAACUAUGCUUAUUUGAUUAUAAGGCUUAAUUAUUAUAGUUUAUCAUUUCCUAGCAUAGUUCUUAGCAUCUAGGUAUUUGUUCUAUAAUAAUUUUUCUCAUUUUUCAAGCUUGCAUUUUGUUUAGAAUUUUUUUGAGUUGUUUACAAUCAUUUUGAAAAUGUCAACUCAUAAUUGUAUACAUUUUAGUUCUUGAAGGACUAAAAUCACUAAACAUCAUGGUAAUACUAUUUAAGGUAAUUUGCUUUAAAUGAGAAUGAACUUAUAUACAACUUACGAUUUAAGGUAAUAAUAGAGAUCCAAUUUAAAAAUACAUAAGUUUUCAAUUAAAUAUUAGUAUAUUUAUGUUUCCCUCUUAUUUUUAAUCCUAAAACACAUUAAAUGUAUGUUCUUGAAUUCCUCCAUGUUUUUGAUGUAAUGCGAUUUGAUAUAAUGAUAAAUCAACUAUUAUGAUUUAAUAAUAUGGAGCUUUGACUUUUGACAUUUAAGUAACACUGUCAAUGAAAGCUCCAUUAUUUUUGCUUCAUGGAAAAACAAAUGAUGUGAUUGAAUUACACUUCAAUUAUGUUUGAUUCUUUGAAAAUACUCAAGAAAAAUAAAUAUUUUUAAAAAUAAUUUUCUCAUAUUUGAUUUUGUUAGCCCAAGGGUUCUCCUAAUUGGGUUUUGAUGAUAACAAACCAUGGUUAAGUGACUAAUUGGUUUAAUGAUUAAGAACCUCAGGUAUAAACUCGAAAAUUCAUCAAAUGACCAAAUGGAUACAAGAUCGAGACGCUUGGAAGACUUGUGAUCAUAGGAAAUUAAUGUAAGAUGAAUGCAUAAGUGCACUUAGGAUUUUCACACGUUUCAUGCAUUUUAGAAAACUCGGUUUAGUCUUUAAAACGUCGAUUUCAUUAAAACCCGAGUUUUUAACUAAUGUACCUUAGGAAAAUUGUUUUAUAAUUGGCUUAAUAAUUUUCCUAAAGACAUUGCCUAAGUGUUAGAAAAGAAAGGAAUAAAAAAAAAUAUAGGUUUUUGGGGCCAAAAAGGCUUAACCAGUCGAGGUUAUGGCCAACCGGCUCAACCGCUUGAGGAACCGGUCGACCGGUUGACCUCGUUCGGUCGAGGAUGCACCAAAACCUUCUCUCUUUCCCAGUGGCCUUCUCUCGUUCGGUUGACCGCUUGAGGUGAUUUUCUUACCGGUCGAGGUCCGGUUGAGGCAACGGUAAUCUGUCAUGCAUUAUAUGCUCCAAUGGCUAGUGAACCGAUCGACCCUUAGCUCGACCAGACGAGGUUACCUUUUGCUAUUUUGGACUCCCGAGCUUAGAAACCUAUAAAUUGAGAGCUCUAAUUCUUUUAUUGACAAGAGAACACUUGCAUUCAAUAGCCUACCUACCUGUUCUUGAUCAAAAAGCUCUCAUUUAUUUCAUAGUGCAUUAAAUCACCACUUGCAUAUCCUUUAGUGCACUCUUGUGUGUCAUCCUAGCUUUAUCUUGUAUUUGAGCUAUCCUUAAGUUAGGUUGAGGGAUUAUAUCUAGUAAAAAUCUGAGUGUUAAAGCCUUUAAGAGGGUUGAAUCUUGAAGUGGUUGUGGAAGAGCCCAUUGGAGCCGGAAUCCAAGUGUAAGAAGAUUGGAAGCUUAGUUGAAGCUUUAAGUUAGUGGAACCCUCACUCAGUUAGGAGGUUGAGGAGAGUGGAUGUAGGCAAGGAAGUUCUGAACCAUUAUAAACCCGAGUUUGAAUUCUCUAAACUCUAUCUCUUUACUUUGCUUAUAUUGUGUUUGAAUUUUUUGUGAUUAAAAAUAUUUUAAAAACCCAAUUCACCCCCCCCCCCCCCCCCCCNNNNNNNNNNNNNNNNNNNNNNNNNNNNNNNNNNNNNNNNNNNNNNNNNNNNNNNNNNNNNNNNNNNNNNNNNNNNNNNNNNNNNNNNNNNNNNNNNNNNCAUAUAUUAAAUCAUAAUAGUUGAUUAUCAUUAUAUCAAAUCGCAUUACAUCAAAAACAUGGAGGAAUCCAAGAACAUACAUUUAAUGUGUCCCCCCCCCCCCCCCCCCUUUUGGGUGUUUUUCUUAACUAAGCAUGGCCUUUGUUUUCUCAAUUGGCAUCAGAGCUAGACCUCUUGUGUUUUAAAAGACUUAAUCGUCUAAGAGGAAAUGACUAUUCCAUCAAGCUCAUCCUCAGUUAAAAAUUUUUCAAAACAUAAAGCUCCAUUCUUUACGAGAACCGACUAUCCCUAUUGGAAAACCAGAAUGACUUGGUAUUUGCAAUCUACUGAUUUAGAUGUAUGGGAUGUCAUUGAAGAUGGCCCAACUUUUCCUACUAAACUAGUUGAUGGAGUUUUGGUUCCAAAACCCAAGCAAGAAUGGAAUGAGCUUGAUAGAAGAAACUUUCAAUUAAAUGCUAAAGUCGUUUUUACUUUGCAAUGUGCUAUGGAUAGAAAUGAAUAUAAUAGAAUAUGUCAAUGCAAAUCAGCUAAAAAAAUUUGGAGGUUGCUUGAAAUAACUCAUGAAGGAACUAAUCAAGUGAAAGAGUCAAACAUCAAUUUACUUGUUCAUAACUAUGAAUUGUUUUCAAUGAAAGAAACUGAGACUAUUGUUGAGAUGAUUACUAGGUUCAGCGACAUUGUCAAUGGUCUUGAAGUUUUGGGAAAAACCUACAAGGAAUCCGAGAAGGUGAUGAAGAUAUUGAGGUCUCUCCCAUCAAAGUGGCAUACCAAGGUCACCGCAAUUCAAGAAGCAAAAGACUUGACUAAGCUACCUAUGGAAGAGCUCAUAGGGUCAUUAAUGACAUAUGAGAUCAAUUUGACAAAGAAGCUACAAGAGGGUGAAGACAAAAAGAAGAAUAACAUAGCCCUUAAAGCUACAACCAAGGAAGAAGAAGAUGUUGAAGAAGAAAAGCCAAGUGAUGAAGAUGAUGAUUUAGCCCUUAUCACAAGAAAGCUCAACAAAUACAUAAGAGGUGAAAGGUUUAGAGGAAGGAAAUUCACCUCUAGAAGGGAUCCUUCUAAAAAAGGAAUCUUCAUCCCAUAGUGACAAGGAGAAAUGGGAAGAGAAAAGAGAUUUGACAUGCUUCAAGUGCAAAAAGCCGGGACACAUUAUAUAUGAUUGUCCUCUCUACAAGAGUAAAGCCAAGAGAAGAAUGAAGAAGGCAAUGAUGGCCACUUGGAGUGAAAGUGAAGAAUCCUCCGAAGAAGAAAAUGAGGAAGGAAGUGGAAAACAUGUGCUUCAUGGCAAUAGAUGAUCAUGAUGAGGUAAACUCUAACUUUAGUGAUGAAGAUAUGCAUGAUGUUUUUGAAGAAUUAUAUGAGGAUUUUGAAAAACUUAAUUUGAAAAAUAAUUCUCUUAAAAAGAAAAUUGAAGAACUUGAAAAGGAACUUGAAGAAGUGAAAGAAAAAUUUUCAAUUGUUGAAAUAUCUAAAACUCAUCUUGAAAAAGAAAAUGAGAUUUUGAGAAGUGAAAAUGAGAUUUUGAAAAAAAAAAAAAAUGAAUGGUUAACCUUCUCUCUUUCAAUUUUCUCUUGUGGACAAAAAUAUUUUGAAAUGAUCUUAGCUAGCCAAAAAUGUGUCUUUGACAAACAAGGGCUAGGAUUCAAAUCAUCAAAAAAUCAAAAGUAUUUAAAAACUACUUUGUAAAAGAAUCCACAAGUGCAAGUCCUUCCACCAGUUGCAACUUUUGUGGAAGAGGAGGGCACAUUAGUAGUACAUGUCCCUUAAGAAAUGGUUCUCAAAAGAAUUUAAAUGCUAAAGCUAAAAAGGUUUGGGUUGAGAAAUCCAAGGUCACUAACUCUCAAGGACCCAAAAAAAUAUGGGUGCCUAAAUCAACUUAAAUUUUAUUUUGUAGGGAUCAAAGAAGGAUAAGUGGUUCUUGGAUAGUGGAUGCUCAAGACACAUGACCGGGGAUGAAUCCAAGUUUGCUUUCCUUACAAAGAGAAAGAGAGGAUACAUUACCUUUGGAGACAAUUCAAAAGGAAGGAUCAUUGGUCAAGGCAACAUUGGUAAUGCCACAUCCUCCCUUAUUGAAAGUGUUUUAUUAGUGGAUGGUUUAAAACAUAGUCUUUUGAGCAUAAGUCAACUUUGUGACAAAGGUUUUAAAGGGAUUUUUGAAGAAUCUCAUUGCAUCAUCAAAGAUAUUCAAAAUGAUAAAACCAUCUUCAUGGGCCAUAGAUGUGACAAUGUUUAUGCAAUAAAUAUUUCAAAAUAUGAUGGUCAUGAUAGAUGCUUUUCAAGCAUGCAUGAUCAAAGUUGGUUGUGGCAUAGGAGGUUGGGACAUGCUAACAUGAACCUCAUUUCCCAACUCAACAAAGAUGAACUUGUUAGAGGCCUUCCCAAAAUAAAUUUUCAAAAAAAUAAAGUUUGUGAAGCUUGUCAAAUCGAAAAGCAAAUAAAAAACUCUUUUAAAAACAAAAAUUUCAUUUCAACAACUAGGCCUUUUGAAUUGUUGCAUAUAGAUUUAUUUGGUCCCUCUUGGACACCAAGCCUUGGAGGAAAAUCUUAUGCUUUUGUUAUUGUAGAUGACUUCUCUAAAUACACUUGGGUCUUAUUUUUAAGUCAAAAGAAUGAAGCCUUUUAUGAGUUUUCAAAGUUUUGCAACAAUGUUCAAAAUAAAAAAGGUUUUACAAUUACUUGUAUAAGAAGUGAUCAUUGGAAAGAAUGUGAAAAUAUUGAUUUUGAAGACUAUUGCAAUGAGCAUGGUAUUAACCACAACUUUUCGGCUCCUAGAACUCCUCAACAAAAUUGGGUAGUUGAAAGGAAAAAUAUAACUCUUCAAGAAAUGACUAGAACCAUGCUAAAUGAAAACAAUUUACCAAAAUACUUUUGGGCCGAAGCGGUUAACGCUUCUUGUUAUGUUUUAAAUAGAAUUUUAUUAAGGCCUAUUCUUAAGAAUCUCCCUAUGAGCUUUGGAAAAACAAGAAACCCAACAUUAGAUAUUUCAAAGUCUUUGGGUGUAAAUGCUUUAUUUUAAACACCAAAGACAAUCUUGGAAAUUUUGAUGUAAAAUCGGAUGUUGGAAUUUUACUUGGUUACUCAACUUCAAGUAAAGCCUUUAGAGUUUUUAACAAAAGAACCAUGGUUGUUGAGGAGUCCAUCCAUAUUAUCUUUGAUGAAUCUAACAAUUCUCUCCAAGAAAGACAGAGCUUUGAUGAUGAUCUAGGCUUGGAGACCUCCAUGGGAAAAUUAAAAAUUGAAGAUAGAAGGCAACAAGAAAAAGUUGUAGAGGAUCCCAAGAAAGAAGAAUCACCUUUGACACUACCUCAUCCUCAACAAGUGCAAGGUGAAUCAAGCCAAGACCUCCCUAAAGAUUGGAAGUUUGUCAUCAACCACCCACAAGAUCAAAUUAUAGGUAAUCCAUCUAGUGGGGUAAGAACUAGAUCAUCUCUUAGAAAUAUUUGCAAUAAUCUUGCUUUUAUCUCUCAAAUUGAACCUAAAAAUAUAAAAGAUGCUCUAGUUGAUGAAAAUUGGAUGAUUGUCAUGCAAGAAGAGUUAAACCAAUUUGAAAGAAGUGAAGUAUGGGAAUUAGUGCCAAGACCUCAAAAUCAGAGUGUUAUUGGAACUAGAUGGGUCUUUAAAAACAAAAUGGAUGAAAAUGGUAUAAUUAUAAGGAAUAAAGCAAGAUUGGUAGCCCAAGGUUUUAAUCAAGAAGAAGUGAUAGAUUAUGAAGAAACCUUUGCUCCCGUAGUUAGAUUGGAAGCCAUUAGGAUGCUACUUGCCUUUGCAUGUUUUAAAAACUUUGUUUUAUAUCAAAUGGAUGUGAAAAGUGCUUUCUUAAAUGGCUUUAUAAAUGAAGAGGUAUAUGUUGAACAACCACCCGGUUUUCAAAGUUUUAACUUUCCUAAUCAUGUUUUUAGACUUAAAAAGACACUUUAUGGUUUGAAACAAGCACCUAGAGCAUGGUAUGAAAGAUUGAGUAAAUUUCUUUUGAAAAAGGGUUUUAAAAUGGGAAAAAUUGACACAACUCUUUUCAUAAAAACCAAAGAAAAUGACAUGAUCUUAGUGCAAAUAUACGUUGAUGAUAUCAUUUUUGGAGCUAAUAAUAUCUCUCUUUGUGAAGAAUUCUCUAAAUGCAUGCAUAGUGAGUUCGAAAUGAGCAUGAUGGGAGAAUUUAACUUCUUCCUUGGACUUCAAAUCAAGCAACUAAAGGAAGGAACCUUCAUCAAUCAAGCAAAGUAUAUAAGAGAUCUCCUCAAAAGGUUAAAUAUGGAGGAAGCCAAAACAAUGAAAACUCCAAUGAGUUCAUCCAUCAAGCUUGACAUGGAUGAGAAAGGUAAGCUCAUCAACUCAACUAUGUAUAGAGACAUGAUAGGUUCUUUGCUAUAUUUGACCACUAGUAGACCCGACAUCAUGUAUAGUGUAUGCUUGUGUACUAGAUUUCAAUCUUGUCCUAAAGAAUCUCAUUUAAGUGUUGUAAAACAAAUUCUUAGAUAUUUAAAAGGGACUAUGGACAUAGGCCUAUGGUAUCCUAAGUGUGAUAAUUUUGAAUUAAUUGGAUACUCGGAUACCGACUUUGCCAGUUGUAAAGUUGAAAGGAAAAGCAUUAGUGACACUUAUCAUUUCCUAGGACACUCACUUGUUUCAUGGCAUAGUAAGAAGCAAAAUUCAGUAGCUUUGUCUACGGCGGAAGCCGAAUACAUAACAGCCGGUUUAUGUUGUGCACAAAUCCUUUGGAUGAAACAAACACUUGGUGAUUUCAAUUUGAUUUUUGAGCAUGUUCCUAUAAAAUGUGAUAACACUAGUGCCAUAAACAUUUCAAAAAAUCCGGUACAACACUCUAGGACUAAGCAUAUAGAGAUAAGACACCAUUUUCUUAGAGACCAUGCACAAAAGGGUGGCAUUACACUUGAAUUUGUAAACACAAAAUAUCAACUUGCCGAUAUUUUUAUAAAACCCCUAAGUGAAGAGCAAUUUUUUGAUAUUAGAAGACAACUAGGGGUGAUUUCUUUAUGAUCAAAUGAUUGCUUGAUGAAUUCUUAAUUGAAUAUACCUUAUGAUUGUGUGAAAUUCAUAUCAUAUGCAUCAUAUAGAAAUAAUCCUAGGAAAGAGGUCAAAUUUUGACCAAAAAUCAAAAUUCUCGUGGCAUUGGACAUAAAAAAUUGGGGAUUUCUACUGAAAAGGGUAGAAGGAGGAUCACAAGACAAGAAAAUGCAAAAAUUUUGGAAAAUUUGACCGUUGACCAAGCGGUCGACCGAUUGAGGAAUCGGUCGAUCGGUUCGUCGGGGCUAGGAACCCCACACUUCAUUUCUCACCUAUUCUCUUCCAUAGCUUGAAGCCCCUUCACAUACCUGCUUCCAGAGGCCAUUUUGGGUUGGAUUUUGGAUUGAUUGAAGGCUUUGAGUGGAUUUUGGGACGCAUUUAAGCUAGGGUUUCAAUCUGAAACCUAGGGUUUUCAGAUUUGGGAGCGUCUUCUCUCUGCACCGCGUGCCUCAAGGUUGAUUUAGCUUCAUCUCCGUGCGCCUAGGGCUUCGGGUUGGUGGUUGCUCCUUCUUAUUUGAUUUCAUUCUCUUUUUGGACUCCUCCUUCUCCUUUCCAUUCAUUGGAUGGCUCCAAGGCGAGAGACGGGCACCUCCGAAAGGCGAGGUAUGACACGACCCUCUUCAGUUCGGUUGAAAACUAUCAGCGCUACAAGCAAAAGUUUGCCCAGAGAAAAGUUGUCCCAGGGAGAAGUGUCAAUUUCUCCCAACUUCAGCACUUCGGGUUUAAGAGACUAUUCGAUCGGAUGGGAUGGCUGCCAGUUGUGACCAUUUCUGAGUCGAUCUUCCCGACUCUGGUGCUGGCUUUUUAUUCACGGGCGACCUAUGGGCUUGGAGGACCUAUAUUGUCCACUGUGAGGGGAGUUGAGAUCAGAUUGAGUCCCAAGAGUAUCUAUCGCAUUCUCGGCAUCCCUUCCGUUGGACUCCAAGUGUAUGAGGCCAAGGCGUGGCCCAUUGUGUCAGGAUUCUAGCCUAGAGAGGCUGUUCAGAGGUUGUGUGAACUCGUAGAUGCCCAGGGGAUGGGCAAACCAUUAGCACACAGCCUAACCAUGCCCAGCCGAGUCCUUCACCACAUGAUAUGCUCCAUUUUAUUGCCACGAGGAGGACAUCGAGAUGAGAUCUCGUAUCUUGAGGCAUUUAUUGUGGACUCGAUCCUCAUUGGGAGACGAAUUCACGUGGGAUAUCUAAUGAUGAUGCAUAUGAUCUCCUACGUUGAGAGCACGACACGAGUACUUCCCUAUGGCCGCUUCCUUACCCGAGUAUUCAAGGAUGUCGGGGUCGACUUGAGUAGAGAGACGGACUUCGAGGCCCCAACUAGCUAUGAAACGUAUGAUGAGCAGUCCUUAGGACGCAUGAAGUUCGAGAAGGCACUCGAUGGUUCUUGGGUUAGGAGAGCUGAGUGACAGGCCCAAAGAUAGGGACAGAUGCAUCCCGAGGCAGAGGAAGAGGCCGAGAUCAAAGAGAUGGAGGAUGGGUUAGACCCUCAGAGGGACUUUGAGCAGAGAGGACCCGAGCUUGACAUUCCACCUCCACCUCGUCAGAGGGCAUUCAUGUUGAGGCUACUUUCUCAGAGCUUAUGAUGAUUGAGCUAUCUUUCAUAGUAGGACCAUCAUCUCAGCCAUCAUUUACCGAGCUACCAUCUCAGGCACCUCACGCUCCUGAGCAUACGCCUUGGAUGGAUGUCUUAGCUCAGAUCAGCUCCCUUGGGACUCAUAUGGAGGAACUUGUUUUAGUCCAUGACUCUCGCUUCUACUCUAUGGAGGAGCACAUGGAUCAGUAUCAGACUGGAGUCACUUCUCAGUUUGAUCACUUCCAACAGAGAUUUGAGCUCAUAAAUGAGCGUAUAGAUCAGUAGUAGGCUACAUUUGAGCAUCUCUAGCAGAGCAUUGAUCGCAUUGAGAGUCGUCAGGCGAGUCAGCAUGAGGAGAUGAUGGUUUACCUCCGCUCUGUGUUUCCUCCUCCACCUCCUCAGCCUUGAGAUUGUCUCGAGUUUCCCUUCCAUUUCUUUUUUAUGUUGCCAAAGAAGGAGAAAUAUAUAGGAUCUAGGAGACCCUCAUGCAUGUCAGAGACCCUCAUACAUGUCAUUGUCAUAUCAUCUUGUUUGUACAUGUGAGGUUUUCAUAUAUAUAUGAUAUGAUAUUUUUAUGAUCCAUUGUUCAUUUUCAUGUUUUACAUUGCUUCCUAUUAAAAAUUGUUUGAUUGAUCCAUGAUUGGUUUGAGGGAAAGAUUUUUUUUCUCCUAGAUAACCAAGGUUUGUCAUCAUAAAAAAGGGGAAGAUUGUUAGCCCAAUGGUUCUCCUAAUCGGGUUUUGAUGAUAACAAACCAUAGUUAAGUGACUAAUUGGUUUAAUGAUUAAGAAUCUCAGGUAUAAACUCGAAAAUUCAUCAAAGGACCAAAUGAAUACAAGAUCGAGAUGCUUAGAAGACUUGUGAUCAUAGGAAAUUAAUGUAAGAUGAAUGUAUGAGUGCACUUAGGAUUUUCACACGUUUCAUGCAUCUUAGAAAACUCGAUUUAUUCUUUAAAACGUCAAUUUCAUUAAAAACCGAGUUUUUAACUAAUGUACCUUAGGUAAAAUGUUUUAUAAUUGGCUUAAUAAUUUUCCUAAAGACCUUGCCUAAGUGUUAGAAAAGAAAUGAAUAAAAAAAAAAGGUUUUAAGGGCCAAAAAGGCUCAACUAGUCGAGGUUAUGGCCAACCGGCUCAAUCGGUUGAGGAACCGAUCGACCGGUUGACCUCGUUCGGUCGAGGACCGGUCGAGGAACCGAUCGACCGAUUGACCUCGUUCGGUCGAGGACCGGUCGAGGAUGCACCAAAACCUUCUCUCUCUCCCAAUGGCCUUCUCUUCCCGGUCGAGGUCCGGUCAAGGCAACAGUAACCUGUCAUGCAUUAAAUGCUCCAACGGCUAGUGAACUGAUCGACCCUUAGCUCGACCAGACGAGAUUACCUUUUGCUAUUUUUGACUCCCGAGUUUAGAAACCUAUAAAUUGAGAGCUACACUUCAUUUAUUGACAAGAGAACACUUGCAUUCAAUAGCCUACCUACUUGUUCUUGAUCAAAAAGCUCUCAUUUCUUUCAUAGUGCAUUAAAUCACCACUUGCAUAUCCUUUAGUGCACUCUUGUGUGUCAUCCUAGCUUUGUCUUGUAUUUGAGCUAUCCUUAAGCUAGGUUGAAGGAUUAUAUCUAGUAAAAAUCUGAGUGUUAAAGCCUUCAAGAGGGUUGAAUCUUGAAGAGGUUGUGUAAGAGCCCAUUAGAGCCGGAAUCCAAGUGUAAGAAGAUUGGAAGCUUGGUUGAAGCUUCAAGUUAAUGGAACCCUCACUCGAUUAGGAGGUUGAGGAGAGUGGACGUAGGCAAGGAAGUGUCGAACCACUAUAAACCCGAGUUUGAAUUCUCAAAACUCUAUUUCUUUACUUUGCUUAUAUUGUGUUUGAAUUUGUUGUGAUUGAAAAGAUUUUAAAAACCCAAUUCACCCCCCCCCCCCCCCCCCCUUUUAGGUAUUUUUCUUAACUAAGCAUAGCCUUUGUUUUCUCAGAUUUUAUUAUAAAAAAAUAAUAUAAUUAAAAUUAGUAAUAAAUUUAAAUAUUUUUAAAUUACUUAAUCUUUAUAUAAAAGAGUUAAAUUAGUAAAACGAGUUUAAAAUAUGAUAUAAAGGUAAUUUAUUGACUUUAAAUCUUCUUUUUUUUUUUUACUUCACUUUUUCUUUCCUUCUCUUUCUCCUCUAUCUUCUUUCUUUCAUAUUUUCCCUCAUGUUUUUUGGAACCGAACAUAUUCACAUAUAUCCUUGAUUUCUAGUGGGUUUAUGAAAUUUGAGUAGACAUAAUUAAUGGAUCAAUCUUUAUUUUUCAUUUGACUUAAUUAAAAUAUUCUCUUUGAUGAGAUCAUAUUUGAUAAAUUGUUAUUUGAUUGCAGCAUAUUCAAUCGAAUUCGAUAGUCUAGGUAUCAUAAAUCAUACAUGUUAUACACUAUUUAUAGUAAAUGAAUAGCCACAAACCAUACAUAGAGGAGAUGCGGAUUUCAUUAUAAAUCAUACGAUAAUUACAAAAGAUAUGAUAUUAACUUGCAGUAAAUUGCAACAUCGGCACUCUAAUGCUGGAUUAGAGUAGGGGCAAUGGGCUCAGAGUAACUAGACAAAGUAAGUCUGAUUAUUGCUAACUUUCCUCAUCUUUCGUGGGCCUUUUGGGUGCUUUUUGUGCAAAAGAGAAAAUGCUAUAACUAAAUUGCCAAUCCAUCACCAACGUUAUAGACUAAUGAAGAAUACCAAAGGGGGUUGAAAAGAAAAAUAAAAAAAGACGCGUAUGUGUAUUAUUUUCUGUCAUUGAGUGUGUAUAUGGAUGUUAGAAGGUCAUUUGAUUGAUUAUGUUUGUUGACGAGAGUUUGUAUGUGAGCUUUUCGAGACCCUUCAUUCUUUGUAUUCAUUUUUGUCAUAUGUUUUGAGAGUGAGAUGAGUGGUCUUCUCUUAGGAGCUCUGAGUCAUUGUCUAUUCCAUCAUUGUGUUCGUUAUUGACGUGACCUCCUUUCAUAUUUGAUUUAAGCAUAUCAUCACUCGUUCUCGUAUUCUAUGUUUCAUCAUCAUACUCGUUUUCACUUCUGAUUCAUCAUUUUCAUUUCACCACUUAUUCCGUUCUUACAGUGACCUCAUCUUUGGGUUUGAUACUCUCUUCGCAUCAUCAUUAUACAUCUCGUCAUCAGUUUGAUUUUCUUCAUUGCAUCAUCAUUGUUACCAUGUUCACAGUAGGCAUUCUCAGGUCCAUGGCUCACAGGAUUUACUAUACAUGUUGCAUUUCAUACACGAGGGCAUGGGUUGUGAUCAUUGGGUAUUUGAGCUUAGUUUCCCUUCGUUUCUAUCACCCUAGCCUACAUUACAUCCCGUGUCUUAAGACCACCCUGAGGCCAUGGGAUCAGAUAUCGUCUUCUAUGGCUUCUAUUUGGACAGGUGUUUGAGAUUUGGUUGACAUUUAGAUAUUGUCAUGUUUCUUCUUCUGGGAGACACCUCUAUGAUGUUUAGAUUCGUUUCAACUGUGUUUGGAUUACCGGGAUCACGCGUUUGAUGAGGGAUGAUUCGAUGUCGCUUGUUUUUCUGACAUGUCGUACAUCCGAUGUCAUACUGGGGCAUAUUCCAUUUCGGAUGAUGUUUACAGAUCUUCAUGGAGUCACUUGAUCAUUCUUACUUGUGAGAUGUGCACUGGGACGAUGACUUAUUUGCCAUUUUUAUGAUGAUACCUCAGUAGAGACUCUUGGGAUCCAUCCGGUUAAGCCCGCACGUCUCGGCAUUCCGAUGUCACCAUGAUUACCUCUGUGAGAUGCCUUUUGGACUCUUGGACCCGAUUCUGUCCUAGAUUGAUGACUGGGAUUAUACGCUUGAUGAGAGAUGAUUUCAUGUCACCUGUUCUUCUGACUUGUCACACAUUCGAUGUCAUACUGGGGCAUAUUUUCAUUUCGGAUGAGAUUUAUGGAUCUUCACGGAGGUCACAUGUUUGAUGAUAAAUGAUUUCUUGUCGCCCGAUCUUCAACAUAUCAUACAUUCGAUGCCAUAAUGGGGCAUAUUUCCGUUCUGGAUGAGAUUUACAGAUCUUGGUGGAUUUGCAUGCUUAUCCUCAUUUGCGAGACGUACGCCGAGACGAUGAUCUAUUUGCUAUCUUUACGAUGAUUCCUCAGGGAAGCCUUUCAGGAGUUACCUAGUUAAACCCGCACUUUUCGACACUUAGAUGUCGUCAUGCUUUCUUCCGAGAGACGCCUCUUUGAUUUGUGGGCCUGAUUCAGUUGCAGACAUGGAUGAUUUGAGCUCAUUUGAUUUUCCAACCUAUCACAUUUUUGAUGCCAUACUGGGGCAUAUUCCCCAUUUUGGUCGAGAUUUGUAGAUCUCCCAUUGAUUUGCAUGAUCAUCUCCGGUUAUGAGAUACACGUCAUGUUGAUGAUUUGAUUUCAUUUUGUCCUGAUACUCCGAGGAGCCUCACUUGAGUCAUUCAGCCAGAUUCAUACUCUCUGAUAUAGUCGUGAUUCUUAGACAGAGUUACCUCAGGUGCCUGGUUUUCCACAUCAUCAUUUCAGUGGGGUACAUAUAAGAUAUUUUGUACAUCCCCCAUGGAGUUAUUCUCGAGUUAUUAUGACAGAUCGGAUACGUUAGACGUUAUAUUGGGACAUAUUUCCCUCCUUCGGCUGCGGAGGUGAUUGUUCUCUCACAAAUCUAUUACAGUUUUUCAUCACUCGAUCGAUGAACAUUUGUUUGCUUUAUUGGUCACCGUUCCUGUGAUUUUCGUCAAGAUGAGCUUUCAGUGUAGCACGAUGUUCGGGUUUUGACCGUCCCACUAGCCAUGAGUCUUUGGUGGAUUGUUACUUUGAGAUUGUGGUAUGUCUCUUAGCGGACUAUUCCCUUGAGACCCUAUCAAAUUAUUCAUUUCAGAUGACGAUAGAUUUCUCUAGCAGAUUGUUUCGAGUUAGAGGCGUCUGACUCAUUAUGACAUCCCGUCAGGCGUCGUGAUCUAGUAGGGCGAGUUGUGAGACUAUGUUCACAAUCGAUUUGAUUAUCCCGACUUACUAGUGGGACAUUUUUUUUUAGACUCAUGAAGUCUCUUUCAAACCUUUCCAAUGGAUUGAGAGUUGUGGCGGCCUGCUACACUAGGGCAUGUCCCCUCCUUCAUCAUUUCCUUACAGUUCGGCGUUCAGAGCCAUCAUUCAUUACUGAUUUUCUAUUUGGCGUUCAGAGUCACAUUCUCAGUUUCAGAAUUCAAAGCCAUCAUCGAUUUUCAGUUUGACGUUCAAAGUCCGCAUUUUUCAAUUUUGGCGUUCAGAGCCAUCAUCGUGUUUUUAGUUUGACGUUCAGAGUCACAUUCUUAGUUUCGACAUUCAGAGUCAUCAUCGAUUUUCAGUUUGACAUUCAGAGUCGCAUUUUUCAGUUUCGGCAUUCAGAGCCACCAUCAUUUUUUAGCCUAGCAUUCAGAGCCACUAUGUCUUCUCAUUUACGACGCUUAGGGUCAUCUUUCUUAGUUGGACGUUCAUAGUUAUCAGUUUUAGUUUGGCAUUUAGAGCCAGCGUUUCUGCAUGGCAUUCGUAGAUAUUAUCUUCGUUUCGACGUUUAGAGCCACGUUUUCAUUUCAACAUUCAGAGCUGUUGUUUCGGUUUGGCGUUCAAAGCCAUGGUUUUGGGUCGACAUUCAGAGUUAUUAUAUCAUCCAUUUCGGCGUUCAGAGCCAUUACUCAUCUUCGUUACAACAUUUAGAGCCACUACUUAUCUUCAUUCGGUGUUCAGAGCCAUGUUUGCUUCAUUUGGCGUUUAAAGCCACGUCUUCGUUCAGCGUUCAGAGCCAUUACAUCAUCCAUUUCGGCGUUCAAAGCCAUUACCCAUCUUCGUUACAACAUUCAGAUCCACUACUUAUCUUCGUUCGGCUUUCAAAGCCAUGUUUGCUUUAUUCGGCGUUAGAGCCACGUCUUCGUUCGGCGUUCAGAGCCAUUACAUCAUCCAUUUCGGCGUUCAGAGUCAUUACUCAUCUUCGUUACAGCAUUCAGAGCCACUACUUAUCUUCGUUUGGCAUUCAGAGCCAUGGUUUGCUUCAUUCGACGUUCAGACCCACGUCUUCAUUCGGCGUUCAAAGCCAUUACAUCAUCCAUUUUGGCGUUCAGAGCUAUUACUUAUCCUAGUUUCGGUGUUCAGAGCCAUUACUGGUUUUCUAUUUGGUGUUCAGAGUCACAUUCUCAGUUCCUCAAUCAGAGUCCUUAUGUCUAUCUUUCGUUUUGAUCCAUCACCAUUUUCCUCCAUUCUAGCAUUUAAAGCCAUUGGGCACACUCUUUCGAGCCUUUUUAGGUCAUUUCUAUUCUUAAUUUUGGCGUUCAGAGCCAUUGUACUUAUCCAUUCAGGCACUUUGAGUCACCAUUUUCUCUUUUCUUUUUUACGUUCAAAGUCACGGUCCCUGGCAUUUAUAUUCACUGGCAUUGCACAUCUGACAUUCAUAAUUUUGCAUCCAUCCUCACUUACCUCACCUUGUUACCCUGUGCUUAUCACUUAUUCAUCAUUGCUCGUCCAGAUUCCUGUUCCACUGCACAUGACACAAUCUCUUGAGUUCACGACACAUACUUCGAUCGUGUUGUUGAGGACCCUACACUUAUCAUUUUCAUGUAGUUCAGAUAGGGUAGUCUUCUUUGGGCGUAGACUUUUCUAUGCUCUAGGGCGAUUCGACCGUCACUCAUCUUUGAUAUGUUUUUUUUUAGUUACUUUUGGAGACGUCUUAGAGGGAGCCUGAGUCCUCAGUGUGGCUUCAGGACAUUUUGAGACAUCAUUUUCUUUUAGGGUUAGAGCCUUUUGUUCACCUAUUGGAUUGAGAGAGUUCGUGUUUCACUAGCAUCCUUUUGGGGGUCUCUUUUGUUCUUUGGUAGAGUUCACUUCAUUCCACUCACUAUUCACACUUUCUUUUCAUUCCAGUGUUCAUAUUCCUUACACUUGUGAGUUCUACCGAAGAUGAGCAUAUUUGUAGACCCCCAUUUAGGCAUGGUUCAUUUUUUCUUUGUUGUUUCUACAGGUUACAUUUUUUUUUUUGCCAGGUGUCGCAGCUAUGAGUAGCCAUGUGUUGAUUCCAAUUUGGUUGCUAUGGCAUCAGGUAGUGGAACAAGGAGCAAACAAGAGGUUGACACGUGUCAAAAAGAUUGGGGAAAAAGUUGAGUUCGUUAGGAGGAGUAGAGGAGAGAGAGAAUUGGUUGGCAGAGAGCGAGUGCUUUGCAUGCUAGCUAGAGAUAUUUUUUUUAGAGGAUUCUUUCUUGAGGGGCAAGUCGGGUAGUGAGGAGAGGCGAGACAGGGGGUAAGAGAAAACAGAGAGUGACUUGAAAUAGAGGGAGAUUCUGGUGACUGGCUGUUGGCUUGAGAUGAGGGAACCUAAGAGAAGAGAGAGCUUUCACAGAAGAAGCAAGGAACAGAGGAGAGAGGUUGCGGCUUGCUGAGAAUCAAACGACUUUUGAUCGAAAGGAUCGCUCAAGUUUAGCUAUUUUUACACCUUAAGUUCUCCAUUAUUUCAGUCAUUCCAUUUUUCUUCCUGACAUUUGGAUGUGUAUUUUGGUUGUCUAAUAUGUUAAACCUGUUUCUUAGCUUCCAUUUUCUUAGUCUCUGUUUGUCUUUCUUUUCUCUCUCUGUAUGAGUUGCAUUGUGAUUAUACUAUUUAUUUGUGUUAAAGUGACUCAAAAACUUCCCACUAGUUCUUAACUCUCAUUGAUUUUCAUGGAGAAAAGAUAGAUCUAAUCAUGUUACUUCUUUCACAUGCUUUGUUUCUUGAGUUUUUUUUUUUUUUUUGCUUUUGAAAAAUACCGACCAUUAUUUUGUAAACUACCUGGAAGUUUUGCAAUGAGAGACAUUUGAGGUGAGAGUUGACAAUGAGAAGAAGCGUAUUGCAUUACAGUGUAGAAUGAGGAAUAUUUUGAGGGUAUUUUGGAAAGCUUGAGGGGCAAGUUUACUGAAGAAAAGAAGAAAGUGUAAGAAGUUAACCCUACUUUGAAAAACCCAGAAAAGGUACGAAAUGGAAUGAAGAAGCCAACAACUUACAGAGCCAGCUUAAUGAGUUUGUUGAUUGUUCUCAAACUGAAAAUCUCGUAAGACCUUAGGUAGAUUACUGUAAACUGUCCAUCACUGGAGAAGAAUGUACGGUUGAGAUUUGCAGAAUAGAAGCUUCUGGUACCGGGAAUCAACGAUGAGGGGUGGCUCGAGCAAAAAGGAGUUUGAUGAAUGAAGUGAGCGGCUCGAGAGUUACAGUCUGAGCACGGAUGUGAGCGAGUGUGAGAGUUUGAGUGGCUUUUCGUGUGACGAUGACGGUUAGGGAGGAGGGGUUGUUUCUUCUCUGAAUUACUCGCUGCUCGUCUGACCGAAGGUUGUAGUGAAUUUCAGUUUCAGAGCGCCGCCUCCAUUAACUCUGCCGGUUGCUGGUGGUGGACAUGUGGUGAUUCAGCCACGGAAGCCGGAGAAAGAGUUGCCGCUACCACUGAGGAGUCCGAUUCUGACCACGUCCCAUGCCUCAACUCCGAAUGACAAGAGGAAUCCUUAUUAUUACAAGGAAUUAAAUCCCGGCGAUACCUCUGAAUCCGACAGUAGGGAGUGUUGGGUGGAUUGCCAGAAAGACUGGUAGGAGUUGAAUGAUUCAGCCAUCGCAUGUCUCAUGGAGGCCUAUACGGAGAAGUUUGCACAACUGAAUCAUGGGAAUCUUCAGGAUAAGGAUUGGACAAGAUUUUAUGGAAUACAAUUAGGGCCCACCAUGCCGCAUUCUUGACAUCAAAUUCGCAGUUACAUGCUGAUAGUUUGGUUGAUAAUCUCUUGUGCACACCUCUGUAGCGAAUCUCUUUGUUUUCGGUAACGCCGGUAGUCACGUCGAUAGAUUUGUCUCUCGGCGCCAUUUGUUUUGUGUUUUGGUACAAGUGUUUGUGAAAACAAAGGUAGACAGAAAGAGAAAAAGAUAGAGAGAGAGAGAGAAAGAGAGAGAGAAGUGGCUUCAAGGACACACGUGGCUCACCCUAUGUUUUCAUGCAUGUUUUCAAAAACCCAUUUUAAAAAAAAAUCUCACUUUCAUAUGAUUUUAAGUCUUAAAAUUUUCUUUCUUGAUUUUAAAUAAAUCCAAUUUUAAUAAAUCAAUUCCAAUCAUUUUUUUUUUCACUAGGCUUGCUGAUUGGAGCCAAAAUAUGUGCUCUAAUGGCACAUAUUUGAUAUGAUUUGUGCACCAAAGGACAUUCAAAUCACCCAACUUGACCUAAAUUAAUGCUAAGGCCCUAGCCAUGAGUUUAAUCUGUACUUUGGAGACUUAUCUCAGGUUCAAGGGAAGAAAAUUGUGCAAAUCCAAUGACUUUAGAUUUUGAAAUAUCAAGAAAGGGCUAAAUGAGGAAAUAAGUGAGUCAAGACUCAUUGAACGUAAGGAAAGGAAAAACGAGGAUAUCAUGAGGUUGAAAGAUGAUAAAUGACCAUUAUGGAGUAAGAAAGAAGGCAAGAAAGCAUGGGAAAUGAGGCAUGAAGCAAGAUUUAGCUGCAUGGAAAUUUAGAACUCAAAAAUCUGAUGGCGUUAUAUACUCUGACUUUGAGGACAAAUUUGGAGUACUUUCUAGAGUCCAUUAUAUACAUACUAUAUAUUUUUUUGAAGCUCGGGAAGUCAAGAGUCCAACGCUUCAAACGGUUUGCAAAUCGGAGCUGAAAUGAAGAAGUUAUGGCCAUUUGAAGACAAUUGCACCAAGUUGGAGGGUCAUUUCGAAAUGAUUUCGAAAUUCAACUUAUGAAUUCGAAAACUUAUGAAUUCGAAAUCCACUUCGAAAUGACACCAAUUUCGAAUUCACCCACUGCCACUUUGAUGUUCAGCCUCCUCUACCCCGGGAAUUGCAUCUAUUCAACUUAUGAAUUCGAAAUCCACUUCGAAAUGACACCAAUUUCGAAUUCACCCAUUGCCACUUUGAUGUUCCGCCUCCUCUACCUCGGGAAUUGCAUCUAAAGCACUCCAUCUGCCCUAGGUGGACUCCAUACAACUAGAAAUCACCAUUUUAUUAUUUUUUUAAUCAUUUUUAGGAAAUUAUUUUGUAAUAAGUGGCCAAUGAGAGUAUGCCACAUGUUAGGUAAUUGAGGAUAUUAUGUAAACUCUCUCAAUUCUAGGUUUUAGAGAUCUUGGAUUUUUUUUUGGAGAGUUUGACAUUGAAGGUGGAAGGAGACGAGAACUUUGGUUUGUUUUCUUUUUCUUCUUUAUUGAAAAUAUUGUUUUUAGUUUCUUUCGAUUCAAAUUAUGGAUUUUUACCCUAUUAUGGAUUGUGAAUGUGACAUCACCCCCAUGAGAGGCUAAGAGCCAACUUGGGGCUUGAAGCAUGAAAACCUAAGGGCUAGGAAACCAAUAGGGACAAUGGGCAAAUUAUUAUAACAAUGAGAUUAAUUAUUGGUUGGGUGACAAUUUAUCAUAUUUUUUUAUCCUAUCAUUGUGAGUUCGUUUAGGGAAUGAUACAUUAGGUUAUUACUUGAUACUAGUGAUUCUUGGUAAUUCUUGAUCAUUAGUUAUUUUCGUCUUACCUACCAUUAUUUGCCCCUAAACAAAGCUAUAAGGAGUAGGAAGGGUUAAAAAGCCAAAUCUUAAAUUGAUAAUCAAUCUCAUUCAUUUGAUGGUUUUAGGAAUCUGUUUUAAAAAGGAAAAAUUAGGUUUCGGAUGCAAUUUUGAGUUAUAGAACUCAACUUGAUCGCGAGUGGCCAAGGAUCCCAAAACUCUAAGAUCAUAUUACUUAAAAUACCCUUGUUUUCUCUAAUUUCUAUACCCUAGGUUGGAUUGUGGAAAACCCCAAACUUGAAUCAAUUGAUUUUAAAAUCAUUAUUCAUUUUCUCUUAUUAAUUUAAUUUCUUUUACUUAGUUUCACAUUAUUCACAUAUUGUUUUUCACUUAAGGAUUUAAACAAAAACAAUUCAUUUAUUCUAGUAUUGACAAUUUUCAUAGGCCAGUCCUUGAGAACGAUACUCGGAAUACUACAAAAGCCGUAGUGACUCUUUCUCUAGUUUUUCUUGACUAGAGUUACUACAUAAAAAGGCUAAGUAUUUUGGUACAAUAGAAAAUUUUCGGUCACUUGCAUCUUUUACUUCAUUUUAUUUUUUUAUUUUAUAUUAUUUUCAUUUUUUGUAUUAUUAUUAUUUUUUUCUUUUCUUUGAUUUUAUGUAUUUUCUUUUAAUAAGAAAAUUGGUUGUUAUUCUCUCUUCGGCAAGCCUUUUUUCACAUUUUCUUUGUUUUUUUUAAAAAUGUUUUAAAAUGAGCAUGAAUUUAAUUUUGUAGUUCCAAGAGAAAAGAUUGCAACUAAAUUGCCAAUCCAUCACCGACGUUAUAGAUUGAUGAACAAUACCAAAGGGGGUGUUAUGAAAUAAUGAGAAUAAAUAAUAAGAAAAAUAGAAUAAGAACACAUAGAUAUAUGUGGAAAACUUUAGACGAGAAAAGAUGGAGCACAAGCAAACAAAGAUGGAAAAGGAGCUGACCAGGAAGGUAGAGGAAUUGAGAAAGGAAGCAGAGACAACCAUGUUGAAGGAGCAAAGUCUGUUGGAGGAAAAGGCCAACGGUGAGAAGGCACUGCAAAGGAAAAAAGAAAGUGUAGAAAAGGCCAAUUCCUUUAUCACUACUAAGGCCACCAUUUCAUGAUACAGCCAUAAUAAUGGAUGUUUAAACAGUGUGAUUAGAUAUAAGUUUGCCAUUCAUAUAUGGAAAAUAUUAACAAAACUGAGCUUCGGCUUUCGAUGAGUCCAGGUAAAAUCAAUAUCAAUAUAACCUUAGCAGGUGAAUCAUCAUAGUGAAGUUUUUGGAAUUUCAAUGCAUGAACAUAAAGCCACUAAAAGGGCCCCUACUAUUCAACUGUUAUUGGUUCAAGGGUUGUAUUUAGUCAGCGUAUAAUGAGGUAGAUAUUUUGAUUAUAAGGCGAGUCGCGAGUCUCAAGAAGUGAUCUCGAUGUUUGACCAGAGAGCCUUACACCAUGGGUGUGAUUUGUCAAACAAUAGUUCAUUUCUGCUUCAUGGUUGUGCCUUGAGGUAAGGCUUUAGAGGCAUAAGCCUCAAAAGCCUCUUAAAAUUGGUUCUACACUUCUUUGCAUGGUGAAUGCAAGUUCCAAAUUUUGAUGACUUGGUAAUGUUGGAGUAAUUGUGUUGAAAGCAGUCAAACACAAACAAUUAUUAAAGAAGAUAAAAAUUUUGAAGAAUUAAAAUUUUAUUAUAUUCUACCACUCUUUUUUAUUCAAAUGUUACAUAAUAUCUUAUUUAUAGAUACCAACACUUAACUAAAAAUGACAUAAUUAAAAGUAAAUUAUCAUUUGAUUGCAAUGGAUUCAAUAGAACAUGGUGGAUAUGCUCAAUUUUUGUCCAUCAAUAAAAUUUGAUUUGAGUGAAUAUAAUUAGAGUAAAAUAGUCUUUUUAACUAUCACUUUUACAAUAAAAAGUGUUUUAUUUAAAUAAAUAUUUAAUAAAAUUUUAAAAAUAUUUUUCAAAAAUAAUUAUAGUAUUUUCUAAGAAACAUUUGAUAAAUAAUUAUUAUAAAAAUACUUUUAAAAACACUUCCUUGAAAGUACUUCAAAGUUGGUCAAAUGGUAAGUUAUACAUCAGGAUCUUAAUGAUGGUCCAUGUAACCAUCACCAUUGAUUGUUUUCUAAAACACAACUUCAAUUUAAAUAAUAUUUUAAGGCAAGUCCUAGUUAUCAUAUUUUACAAGAUAUUUUUUAAAAUUAUUGUUUUUUUUUCUUUCAAAAUCCCAAGAGGGAGGUCACCAAUAUGAAAAUAAUGUGACCCAUCUCUAUACUAUUGUCUCCAUUAUUUGGACUACAUAAUAGUUUCCUUAUUGACAACAUGGUAGCCACGUUAAAUACCUACAACUUUGAAAACAAGAUCUCAAAACUAUGCCUAUUUGAUUAUAAGGCUUAAUUAUUAUAGUUUAUCAUUUCCUAGCAUAGUUCUUAGCAUCUAAGUAUUUUUUAUAUAAGAAUUUUUCUUAUUUUUCAAGCUUGCAUUUUGUUUUAAAAAAAUUUGAGUUGUUUACAAUCAUUUUGAAAAUGUCAACUCAUAAUUGUAUACAUUUUAGUUCUAUAAAGACUAAAAUCACUAAAUGUCAUGGUAAUACUAUUUAAGGUAAUUUGCUUUAAAUGAGAAUGUGCUUAUAUACAACUUAUGGUAAUAAUAGAGAUCAAAUUUAAAAAUACAUAAGUUUUAAAUUAUAUAUUAGUAUAUUUAUGUUUCCUUCAUAUUUUUUAUCCUAAAAACACAUUAAAUGUAUGCUCUUGAAUUCCUUCAUGUUUUUGACAUAAUAAGAUUUGAUAUAAUGAUAAAUCAACUAUUAUUAUUUAAUAAUAUGGAGCUUUGACUUUUGACAUUUAAGUAACAUUGUCAAUGAAAGCUUCAUUAUUUUUGCUUCAUGGAAGAGCAAAUGAUGUGAUUGAAUUACACUUCAAUUAUGUUUGAUUGUUUGAAAAUACUCGAGAAAAAUAAAUAUUAAAGAAAAUAAUUUUUUCAUAUUUGAUUUUACUAUAUAAAAAUAAUAUAAUUAAAAUUAGUAAUAGAUUUAAAUAUUUUUAAAUUGCUUAAUCUUUAUAUAAAAGAGUUAAAUAAAUAAAACGAGUUUAAAACAUAAUAUACAGGUAAUUUAUUGACUUUAAAUCUUUUUUUUUUUACUUCACUUUUUCUUUCCUUCUCUUUUUCCUCUAUCUUCUUUCUUUCAUAUUUUCCCUCAUGCUUUUUGGAACUGAACAUAUUCACAUAUAUCCUUGAUUUCUAGUGGGUUUAUGAAAUUUGAGUAGACAUAAUUAAUGGGUCAAUCUUUAUUUUUCAUUUGACAUAAUUAAAAUAUCUCUUUGAUGAGAUCAUCUUAGAUAAAUUGUUAUUUGAUUGCACCAUAUUCAAUCGAAUUUGAUAGUCUAGGUAUCAUAAACCAUACAUGUUGUGCACUAUUUACAGUAAAUGAAUAGCCACAAACCAUACAUAGAGGAGAUGAGAAUUUCAUUAUAAAUCAUACGAUAAUUAUAAAGGAUAUGAUAUUAACUUGCAGUAAAUUGCAACAUUGACACUCUAAUGCUGGAUUGGAGGAUGGGCAAUGGGCUCAGAGUAACUAGACAAAGUAAGUGUGAUUAUUGCUAACUUUCCUCAUCUUUCGUGGGCCUUUUGGGUGUUUUUUGUGCAAAAGGUGCAAAAGGCUAUAACUAAAUUGCCAAUCCAUCACCAACAUUAUAGACUGAUGAAGAAUACCAAUGGGGGUGUUACGAAAUAAUGAGAAUAAAUAAUAAGAAAAAUAGAAUAAGAACACAUAGAUAUAUGUGGAAAACUCUAAACGAGAAAAACCAUGAGAAGAGGAAAAGAAGAUUCGUUAUGUCAAAAAUUGGUACAAAAUGGGAGAGUUGAAAGUGACUACAACAAAAACAUAAUCAUCAUAACCCUAAAACUAUACAUCAUUAUUAUAUAUAUAUAUAUAUAUAUAUAUAUGCGAGAGUUGAGAACAACUAUGGGAUGAGGUCUAUUGACCCGAUCUCUUCACUACCCCCACAAAUCUCUCAAAAAAUCUUAUAAUUUUAACUUUACUACAUAUAUUGCAUCGUGAGCUUUUCGAAUCGAAUAAAAAAGAAUUUGGAAUCAUCAAACUUUAACAAAGGGAGUGAGAUCAUAACUUUGGAAGGAUUUUUAAAAAAAAAAUGUAGACUUAAAUGGUAAAUAUUAAAGUGUGUUUGAGAGUGAUACUCGAAAGUAUUUUCAACAUUUUUAAUAUUUGAAAAAUAAAAUUUUUUAAAUAUUAAAAACAUUAUCUAAAAUCAAUAUCAAAAAGCAUUUUAUAAAAUCAGUAUCAAACUAUCAAACAUAAUUUGAAUUUAAAUAGAGACAAGAACAACAUUGACUCUUGACUCACUAAACCAGUCUCAGUUCACUUAUUGAAUGAAAAGAAAAUAAUUAAAAAUAAAGAACAACAUCCAUGAGUAUAUAUAAUAUAUUCAUUUGCAGCUCUUGAAUGCAAAUAAUUUAAUAAUUUUUUUUAUAAUUAAUUAAUGAAGAUAAAAAUUUGAUAAUUAACAUACAAUUAUGUUGAUAUUUUGACAUUAUAUUCAAUUCACCAAAUAAGAUUGUUUUUCACCCAACAAUAAUUUAUGUAGAAUAAUAAAUAAAUUAAAUUAGUUGGAAGUUAAUUUUAAUUUGAUUUAAUUAAAAAUUGGUUAAAAAAUGUUUUUCAUUUAAAAAUUAAUUGUAGAAUAAUAAAUAAAUAAAUAUAUUCGUAACCAAAGCAUUUGAUUAAAAAUUGGUUUUCAUUUAAAAAGAUAAGUUGGAAAUUAAUUUUAAUUUGAUUUAAUUAGAAAAUUGAUUUUUUGCUGGUUAAGUUUGUUUUAAUUUGUAAAUUCAUGUAAAUAAAAAAAAAGGAUAAGAAGAUAAUUUUCAUGUGAAAAAUCAUUUAAUUUGAAAAUAAAUGAUGUAAUGUGUUUCAUUGGCGGUUAGCACUUAGCAUUUUGCAUUUUUUCUUGUUUGUAUAACUUUUUAAAAUGUAAAAGAUAAUAAUAAAAUAGGAAAUAAUUAAUAAAUUAAAAAAAUAAAAUAAAUGAUCGUUGAUGGCCCCCCACAAAAUGUGUCAUAUGACUUGGAUUAUUUUUUUCUCUUUUUAGUAAAACAAACUUUUAAAAUAAAUAAAAAAUAAAAUAGGACAUAAUUGAAUCCCACUGUUAGUGAAUGCAAAAGGGCUUCACCCAACCAGAAAUAAUUGAAAGGACGCUUUAUUUUUACUUUUUCCAAAGUCUGUAGUAGCAAUUUUAAUGGGAUACAGUUGUAAAGAACCAGACAUCCUCACCACCAUCGUCUCAGACUCUCAGCAUUCAAAGACCCCUUUGAAUUUUCUUCUUCCAAAUUCUGUUCUUGUAAUUUUGUUACAAUCCAACCAUGACUUCCUCUAGCAAUUCUAAGAGACCCUCUUCAUCUUCUUCUUCUUCUUCCAAUUCUAAAUGCUAAUUAAUAAUUGAGAGUGCAAUUAAUAAUUGAGGCAGGACUUUGACUCUCGUGAACCCCCCCACUCUCACUCAAUGCUAAUUGCUAAAGGGUUACGGGCUUACAGCCGAUCAAAGAUAAUUGAGACAGAAGAACCAGACAUCGUCUCACACUUUGUUUUUUCUUCUUCCAAAUUUUGUUACAGUCCAACCAUGGCUUCCACUAGCAAUCCCAAGAGACCCUCUUCUUCUUCUUCUAAUUCUAAAUGGAGGUACGAUGUGUUCUUGAGUUUCAGAGGCAAGGAUACCCGCAACAACUUUACUAGUCAUCUCUACAAGGCUUUGGAUCAUGCCAACAUUGAAACCUUUAUAGAUGAUGAAGGACUUCCAAGGGGAGAAGAGAUUGCGCCCGAGCUCCUAAAAGCUAUUGAAGGAUCAAGGAUUGCCCUUAUUGUCUUCUCGAAAACCUAUGCUGAUUCCAAGUGGUGCUUGGAUGAACUCGUCAAGAUCAUGGAGUGCGAGAAAGAAAAGGGACAACAGGUUUUUCCUAUUUUCUAUCAUGUAGAGCCGUCUGAAGUCAGGAACCAGACUGGGAUUUAUGGAGAAGCAUUUAACAAUCACGAAAGAAAUGCAGACGAGGAGAAGAAGAAGAAGAAGAUAGAGCAGUGGCGGACUGCCUUAAGGAAAGCUGGUAAUUUGAGUGGAUUUCCUCUGCAGGAUAGGUAAUCCCUACUUCACUUUUUCCAUUCCCAAUUUUCUGUCAGUUUAUUUUCAUUCUUGUUAAUAAAUAAAAUAUUUAUGAUUACAUUUAUCAAUCAAAAUCCAUUUUUAAGUAGUAGACAUUAAUAUGUUCGAUUUCUUGGAAAGUAAUAAGAAAGAGUAAAAAAAAAUAAUAAUAAUAAUAAUAAAUGAUUUUCUCACAUUUAAUUUAUUAUUAAAAUUAUAAAAGGAAAUCAAAUAUAAUUAAAAUAUAUCAGAAAAAAUUAUAUUUGCCCAGCAGAUGGAAAUGCCAAGUUUUGAAUUGUUAAAAAUCUUUAAGAUUCCAAAAUAUUCUUCCUUUCUAAUCGAUCCAUCUCAGCCAUAAUUUCUAUCAAUUAAAAAAAAAUGGUAGUCUGUCAAAUAAAUUGUUAAAAUUGGUUAUUUAUAUGCCUUGUAAAUUUGGAGAUAAUCUGAGAUGAUUAUUUAAAAUAUUGUAAUACUACCCUAAAUUUUGUUGGACCUCUUAUGAGACAAAAAACUUAGUUAUUGCACCCUUAACCUUUUUCAAUUUUAGAGGAAUUUUCUAUUACUUAAAUAAUUUUCUCAUGUUCUCUAUGCACUACAUGAGUUUACAUUUCUUCUUUACUUAAUAUUGUUUGUUCCUCUAUAUUUGCAAGUUGAUUAUUAAAUUUAUUUACCUUUUAAUCUAAUGUUUGUAUCUCGUUUUAUUCUAAUUAUCCCAUGACUCUUCUUAAGACCUUGUCUUUCACGUUGAAUCAUCUAAUGCUAAACUUAUUCCCUUGCUAUUCUACUUUGUGUACUCAUGGGAUUAAUAUAUUGAAAUUGAAAUUGUUUUUUUUUUCUCUCUCUUUUUCUCUUGUAUGUUCUACAUUCUUCUAUGCCUCAAUUACAAAUAAAAGCAAGCAACCUUAGAGCUUGUUUGACUUGAAACUAAUGUUCAAAAAAUAGUUUUCCCCAACCCAAUGUUGAAAAUAAUGAACAAAAUUUUAUUUGAAAAUUCAAAUAUGAAAAAAGUCUUUCUCAACUUAUGAACUAUGAAGGUAUUAUAAAUUUAUGUACAAUAUAACUUUUUCUAAGUAUUAUCUAUAUUUUCAUUUCUUUAUCACAAUACUCUAUAAGAAAAUACUUAUAAUCAUCUCAAAUAUGCUCUUAAAAAUGAACUUGUUUACCGAAAAAAAUUUUGAAAAAAAUUUUUAGUAAAAAAAAAUAAAAUAUAUAUUUAAGUUAUUAAACUAUUUUAUAUUCUAGAGAAAAAAAAAUCCAUUUUCAAAAACAAUAUCAAUACAUGCAUUUUUCUUUUAAGUAUCAUUUAAAAAUCUUUUUCCACAAGUCUAAUUGUUGCUAGGCUUUUGACCAACAAACAAACACGUGUCACUUUCCUUGUCAUUCUAAUUUAUAUUUGGAAAAAAAAUGGGGAUUUCAUCAAAAUAUGAAACUUACGUAGCAAUUAUUAACAACCUAAAUAUAAAUAGAAGUACAACUAAAAUGUACUUGUUUACAAAAUAAAUAGUUGAAAGUCUUAUAAGUAUAGAGGAUGGUCAUAAGUCAUGCUAUAAUUAAUAAAAGCAUUGCUAGGUUACAGAACUUGGGUGACAAAUUGGUAGAUUUCUAGCCAAACUAGUAUUGGUCUCUAUAAUAAAAUCUCUUAUCAUAAAAGAUAACGAUACAUUAGAAAGGUCAACUUCAAUUUGGACCUUUAGAAGCAAUUGAGGUAUUUACAUUGUUUUAUUGCACAUAUACUUGACUUAAAACAAUGAAAUUUUAUUCAAACAUGCGACUCAAUACAUUUUUAAUUUACAUUCUAUUUGACCUUAAUUUAGUUGCAUUGAAUGGAGCUAAACACCAUUCUAUAAUUUCCAUUUACUUCAUCUUAGUUUUCUUUGGCAAUUGAUUCUAACUCACUGCAUGUUUUAUUGUACUUUAUAAUGGACAGAUCUGAGGCAGAGUUUAUUGAAGAUAUCAUUGGUGAGAUUAGAAGAUUGAUUCCUAAGUUGGUAGAUGUUGGUAAGAACAUGGUUGGAAUGGAUGGAAAUUUGAAACAAGUGAAGUCAUUGAUAGAUGCCCAAUCAAAUGAAGUGAGCAUGGUUGGGAUUUAUGGGAUUGGUGGGAUUGGUAAAACUACCAUCGCCAAGGUUGUUUACAAUGAUAUGUUAUAUAAAUUUAAACGUCACAGCUUUCUUGAAAAUGUGAGAGAGAAAUCUAAAGGUGGUCGUGGUUUACUUGAAUUACAAGAAAAACUUCUUUGUGAUAUCCUAAUGGAGAAAAAUCUGGAGUUAAGGAAUAUUGAUAAAGGAAUUGAAAAGAUAAAGAGUGAGUGUUGCUUUGAAAAGGUUCUUAUUGUUCUUGAUGAUGUAGAUUGCCCAAGACAAUUAGAAUUCUUAGCUCCUAAUUCUGACUGUUUUCAUCGAGGAAGCAUAAUCAUUGUGACCACGAGAAAUAAACGUUGCCUAAAUGUAUAUGAGUCGUAUUCAUCAUAUGAGGCUAAGGGAUUAGCACGUGAGCAAGCUAAGGAACUCUUUUGUUGGAAUGCCUUUCGAAAACACCAUCCAAAAGACAAUUAUGUGGACCUCUCUAAUCGUAUACUGGAUUAUGCUAAAGGCCUUCCAUUGGCUCUUGUAGUUUUGGGUUCUUUUCUCUUUCAAAGGGAUGUGGAUGAAUGGGAAAGCACAUUGGAUAAACUCAAAACAAACCCUCUCGAAGAUAUUCAAAAGGUACUCCAGAUAAGUUAUGAUGGACUAGAUGAUAAAUGCAAAAAGUUGUUUCUUGAUAUUGCAUGCUUCUUCAAAUAUAAGGAUGAAAAAUUUGUUACAAGAAUACUAGAAGGUUGCAAAUUCCAUCCCAAGAUUGGACUAAGAGUUCUUGAUGAGAGAUGUCUUAUCUCUAUAACGUACGGCACUAUAAGGAUGCAUGACUUGUUACAAGAAAUGGGUUGGGCAAUUGUUCGCCAAAUUGAUCCAGAAUGUCCUGGAAAAUGGAGCAGAUUGUGGGAAUUACAAGAUAUUGAAAGUGUAUUUACCCGAAAUAAGGUAAGAGAAAAAUACAUGAAUAUACUUGAGACCUAAAGACAUAAAAGAUUCAACAAGAUUUAUUUUUAUUAUUAUUAUAGUCUGAGUACCUUAUCUAUAUAAUUUUAUCGAAUCCCUAUGCAUCUUAUACUACUUUUUCUCAAUGCUUGUUUUCAGGGGACAAAAAACAUUGAGGGGAUAUUCAUAAAUCGGUCUUGGGAUACAAAAAAACGUAUACAACUUACUGCUGAAGCUUUCAGAAAGAUGAAUCGACUUAGAUUGCUCAUAGUUAAAGGCAAUAUGGUGCAGCUUUCCCAAGACUUUGAAUUGCCUUGUCAUGAUUUAGUAUAUUUUCAUUGGGAUAACUACCCUUUGGAAUAUUUGCCAUCAAAUUUUCAUGUAGAAAAUCUUGUUGAACUUAACCUCUGGUACAGCAACAUAGAACAUCUUUGGGAAGGAAACAUGGUAUUGCUAUUAUUUAGUUAUAUUUUUGCUCUAGACUAAUUUUAAAGUCUUUUGAAGUUUACUUAUUGAAACGAAUUUUCUUCUGUUACAGACUGCUAGAAAGUUAAAGGUCAUUAAUCUCAGUUAUUCCAUGCAUCUGGUUGGUAUUUCAAGCAUCUCAAGUGCACCAAAUUUGGAGAUUCUAAUUCUAAAAGGUUGUACAAGGUUACUUACUUGUUUCACCCAUGCUUAAUGUUAUUAUUAGUCAUGAGCUAACUGUUUUCUUGAAUAUAAUAGGAUGCAAGAGACUUGAGAGUCUUCCAAGGAACUUUCAUAAGCUGGAAUGCCUUCAAACACUCUCUUGUGAUGGCUGUUCAAACUUAAAAAGUUUUCCGAAGAUCGAGGAAGAAAUGAGAAGUCUAAGAAAGCUUCAUUUAAGUCAUACAGGUAUAAUGGAAUUACCAUCAUCAAUUAGCAAUCUAAAUGGGCUUGAAAAGUUGGACUUAGGUUAUUGCAAAAACCUUUUGAGUCUUCCGGACAGUAUUUUUAGUUUGAGUUCUCUUCAAACUCUGAAUCUAUUUGAGUGUUCAAAACUAGUGGGCUUUCCGGGUAUCAAUAUUGGAAGUCUAAAAGCUCUUGAAUAUUUGGAUUUGUCAUAUUGUGAGAACAUUGAGAGUCUUCCGAACAAUAUUGGUAGUUUUAGCUCUCUUCAUACUCUUUCAUUGAUGGGGUGUUCAAAACUGAAGGGCUUUCCAGAUAUCAAUAUUGGUAGUUUUAGCUCUCUUCAUACUCUUUCAUUGAUGGGGUGUUCAAAACUGAAGGGCUUUCCAGAUAUCAAUAUUGGAAGUCUAAAAGCUCUUCAAUUGUUAGAUUUCUCACGUUGCAGAAACCUUGAGAGUCUUCCGAACAAUAUUGGUAGUUUGAGCUCUCUUCAUACUCUUUUAUUGGUAGGGUGUUCAAAAUUGAAGGGCUUUCCAGAUAUCAAUUUUGGAAGUCUAAAAGCUCUUCAAUUGUUAGAUUUCUCACGUUGCAGAAACCUUGAGAGUCUUCCCAUGAGCAUUUACAAUUUGAGCUCUCUCAAAACAUUGAGGAUUACAAAUUGUCCAAAACUCGAGGAAAUGUUAGAGAUUGAAUUAGGGGUUGAUUGGCCACUUCCACCUACAACCAGUCACAUUUCAAAUUCAGCAAUAAUCUGGUAUGAUGGCUGCUUUUCCUCAUUAGAAGCAUUAAAACAAAAGUGCCCCCUGUCAUCACUGGUAGAAUUAUCUGUAAGAAAGUUUUAUGGCAUGGAAAAAGACAUCCUCAGUGGCAGUUUCCACCUAUCCUCAUUGAAAAUAUUAUCUCUAGGGAACUUCCCUAGCAUGGCAGGAGGAAUCCUCGAUAAGAUUUUCCAUCUAUCUUCAUUGGUAAAAUUAUCUCUUACUAAAUGCAAGCCAACGGAAGAAGGAAUCCCCAGUGAUAUUCGGAACCUAUCUCCACUGCAACAAUUAUCUCUACAUGACUGCAAUCUAAUGGAAGGAAAGAUCCUCAAUCAUAUUUGCCAUCUAACAUCCUUGGAAGAAUUACAUCUGGGUUGGAACCAUUUUAGUAGCAUUCCUGCUGGCAUCAGUCGACUUUCCAAUCUAAAAGCCCUUGACUUGAGUCACUGCAAGAACCUUCAACAAAUUCCAGAGCUUCCAUCAAGUCUACGAUUUUUAGAUGCGCACUGUUCGGAUCGUAUUUCAUCAAGCCCCUCGCUUCUACCUAUUCAUUCUAUGGUCAAUUGCUUCAAAUCAGAAAUUGAGGUAUGAUUCUCAUGCCACGUUCCUUUUUCUUUCGUACCCAUUGGAUUUACAUGGUGCUUUUGUGCAGGACUGCGUGGUUAUUCAUCGUUAUUCUUCCUUCUGGGGCAAUGGAAUUGGUAUUGUUAUUCCUAGAAGUAGUGGAAUUCUAGAGUGGAUAACGUAUCGGAAUAUGGGAGGGCAUAAAGUAACAAUAGAGCUCCCUCCGAAUUGGUAUGAAAAUGAUGACUUGUGGGGAUUUGCUUUAUGCUGUGUUUAUGUUGCACCUGCCUGUGAAUCUGAGGAUGAAUCUCAGUAUGAAUCAGGUCUUAUAUCUGAGGAUGACAGUGACCUUGAAGAUGAAGAAGCAAGCUUUUAUUGUGAAUUGACAAUCGAAGGAAAUAAUCAAUCAGAAGACGUGGCUGGUUUCGUUCUUGAUUUUCGCUGUGUUAAGGAUGAUGUAUCAGAUAUGCAGUGGGUGAUAUGUUAUCCCAAGUUAGCUAUUGAGAAAAGUUAUCACACCAAUCAAUGGACACACUUCAAGGCUUCAUUUGGUGGGGCCCAAGUGGCAGAGUGCGGAAUCCGUCUGGUAUACACAAAAGAUUAUGAACAGAAACAUCCAACAAUGGCACAAGGCAGUACUUCUCAUGGGAAUUUUGGUGAGCAUGGAUCAGUAAGAGAAGAUGGCAGUACUUCUCAUGGGAAGUUUGGUGACCAUAGAUUAGUAAGAGAAGCUUUACUACUCUAAAGAUACUAAUAGUAAAGAUCACAAUAAAAGGAAUCCCACAGAACAGAGCCCAGGAGAGGAGUCACGUACACCAUAAAAGAUUCAGAGAAACCCAAGACUGAUCCCAAGCAUUAGGCUCAACCACACUUGCAUCAAUAAUGUUCUCUUCCUGGUAAUUCAUCUUCUUUUCUCUUUCAAAUUCAAAGGUCAGAAAUUUUUUUAUCAUGUUUCUCCUUUUUAUUUGUUUUUUCCCCAAGACAAACAAAAAUUUGUGGCUAUCAUCCAUGGGUGCAAACUUCAAUGGUACACCUCCCAAGUUUGUUUUUCUCUCUCUCCAACCGUCUCUCCCUAGAUUUUUCUGCAUUUUCUUCAAACUCAUAUUUCUAUAUGAAAUUCAAUUACAUUCGAGCAUUUCAAUCUCUGUAGCUAAUGUCUGAAUCAUUUCUAGGGUUUCUUUUUUCUGGAAGUUUGUAAUGUUAUUGAUUUAUGACUUGAUGUUUGGGGAUGUUUUGGGUGGCUUGUUCACUUUUUUAUAGCGAUGAUUUAUGGAACCAGAGUUUCUUAGCAGGAAAUGGAACUCGUGUGUUUUAGAAUAUUGGCGUUAUUUGCUUGUGCCCUGUUUGGUUGCUGAGAAAGAGUGGAAGGAGGAUGGAGAAUUAAAUAAUUUUCAAUCUAAGCAAUGAGAAAUUAGAUUUGGGUAUUUGGGCCAUUGGAGUUAUUUGCUCUUACUCAGUUUGGUUUCCAGGAAACUGCAGGCAAAGCAUGGAAAAUAAAGUAUUUUUAAAUUAAUUACCAGGAAAUGGAAUGUACGUAUUUGUCUCUUUGGAAUAUAAACAUCAGUAUUCACUCUUCAAGAAUGUAUAUGGUUGUUGUUUUGGAAUUUUGAAAUUACUUAGCAUCAGACAAUUUCUAACUUGGGAUUUGGAUUGGGAAUCAUAAGUAAUCAUUAGAGAGUAUAUGAGAAGGAGUUUUAGAGUAAGACAGGGUGAUGCAUGUUGAGGGAUGCGUCUCACCCUGGAGUUCUUUGGAAUAAUUAUAGGAUUUUGUAAGUAACUUUGGACUUAUUAGCAAUGUUCUGGAUUUGUGAAUAAUUUAUAGAAUACAUUGGGUGUUUUUUUUUUUUUUUUUUUUUGAGAGUGAAUAAUGUAUGACUGUACUCUUCUCUAUCUCUGUGGUAUGGCACACGUAUGAUUUGGUGCUUUUUUGCAGGCCUUCAACAGCAGCAAAGCAUCUGGUGGCUUGCAGUACUAAUCUUGCAUUAUAUUCUCUGUUUUGCAAUCAUUUGGUACUGUUUGUCCCAACCAAGGAUAGCUCUGUGCAAGCAGUCUCGACUGUGGAACAAGUAAAACAAAUGGUACCUGCUGAAGCUGAGAGGGCAGAUGAUAAGCUGGUGCGGAAGGUGGUCAACCAAAAGAAUCAGACAGCAAAAACUAAAAAGCCCAUCAAGCCUGCUACUGAAGCAGCCUCAGCACCUGUUUCUGGGAGGGGUGAGAUUGAAGUGACUGAAGAAAAGGAGCAUGAGCAAACAAAGAAGGAAGAGGAGUUGGCCAGGAAGGUAGAGGAAUUGAGAAGUGAAGAAGAAGCAGCCAUGUUGAAGGAGAGAAAGCCAACGUUAAGGAGGCACUGGAAAGGAAACAAGGAACUGCAGAAAAGGCCAAUUUCUCUGUGAGUGCUGCCACCUUUUCAUAAUAAUGGAUGUUAAAAGCAGUCUAACUCUACAUGGCGUUUAUUUUCCCCAGCCAUGGAUUGGAAUCUGCCAGUCUAACUCUCAUAAGAAACAAAAUUUUCCAUCCUCAUAUGGAUUAUUGGAGAAGAUUUUAACAUGGAGUUCACUAGAGAGUUUCUAACACCCACUCAAAAAGGACAUUUUAGAGAACUUAUUGAAAAGUUACAUCAGAGUACAUAAAUUUUUAGAUAUUUUUAAAAAUAUCUGAAAAAUUAAAUUAACUAAAAGUAUUUGAAAAAUAUUUGAUUGAAUUAAUAAAUAACUAGUAUUUGCAUAUGAAAAAAUAGUAAACAUAGUCAAUAAUUUUUUUUUUAAUAAUUAGCACAUAAUAAUCAUAAAUUAAUUUAUGGCAAGACCUCAUAUUUGUUGUGGUGACUGUGUUGUCUUACCAUUCUUCUUUCAUGAUGGGCUUAAAUUUUAAUUUAAAUGUAGUAUAAAUAUAUAAUUAGAUUGAUAUUUCGUCCACUAGAAUUGAUUGGGUCUGAAUUUGAACCCUGGUCUUGAAUUUCUUGGCCCAACCAACGAAAUCAUUGACCAACGGCCCUUAGUUUGGGCUGGGCUUGAUGGUCCUCAGGUUAUGCAGGCUUAAUACUGAUUGGGUUUGGGCUUCCAUGCAGUUGUACUUGGAUUCUAUGUUUCCUAAUAUUAACACUAAAAUUAGGUUUAAUUUAUUAACACUAAAUUAGGUUUCAUUUAUAAUUAAAUAUAAUUAGUUUGAGAAUAACUCCAAUCUUUAGUUAAACCAACUAAGUUUUAUGCAAAGGUUUAUAUUCCUAAUACCAUUGAAAAACUAAAUUUAUGUGGAAGUUUGACUGAUACCAACAUUAAAUUAUUAAGAUAAAUUGAAAAAAAAAAAAUCAUGCUCGUAUGUCCUGUUGUUUGUCAUAAGAAAAUUUCUUUUCAGAUUUUUUUUUUCUUUUAAUACAUCUUUACAUUUUUAAUAACAAUCCAUAGGAUUGUUCCCAAACAUAUAUCAUAUAAAUAUAUCUUUUUUGGAUUUUUAAGAAUGUUGUCAAACAAACUCAUAAUACCAUUCUUUCUUUACAAUUACCAAUCCAUAUGAUGAAUUUAUUCCUUUCAAUAACUGACAUCAUCUAAUAAAAAUUAUAAUUAGGUAUUAUAUUUAAAAAGUGUUUAAUAAAUCAAUUUAAUAACUUAAGUGAUUUAAUAACUUAAUUUAAAUUAUUAAAAUAAUUUGAUGUCACAAUUUAAAGUUAAAAUUGAUUUAAUUAAUUUUUAUUUAAAUUUAAAACUAUGUUUACAAAAAAGGCUUAAAAUUCAUAUCAAUUAAGAAAUUAAGUUAUUAAGUUACUUUAAGUCAUUAAAUUAAUCUACCAAUUAAACACCCUUUAAGAUAUGAUAUAAAGUUCACCUCCUACAUAUCAUGAAAAUUAAAAAUUAAUUACCACAUCAAGAAUCUUUAGUUCCUAAUCGAUUUAAUAUUUAAUCCUUGGUUGUGAAUUUCUUUAUAUAUGUAGAUAUAUUUUUAUAUUGCAAGUGGGCUGCCGACUUUUCAUUUUAUACUAGUUUUGAAAAUAAGAUUGUAGUUUUUAUUUUGUCCAAAUCUAAUUUGGAGGGAGAAUCUUUAGAGGCUAUUUUAUAUUCAAAUAGGAAAAUUUUAAAUUUAAUAGUCCCACCUUAUAAAGGCAAAUAUCUUGGACCCUACAUGGGUGCCUCUUACAUGCAUGCACGAGGACAAAGACUUAUUGAAAGCCUCUCUCAUUCACAUGGAUGCCAUCAUUCAUCGAAGUUGAAACAUGAAACCCACACAAAAUAUUUGGGCAAAAGCAACUUCAAUAUUUUUUUUCAUUACUAUAGCUGAGAAUCUCAAUAUUAUUAAAUAGUAAUAAAAUUAAUUUUAAUAUUUUUUUUCUUAUUUUUUCCUCCUUGUGGUUAUAUUUUCAUCCGGAAAGUAUUAAAUAUUAAAAAAGAAUAAAAUUUAAAAAUUAAUUUUUCAUAUUUAAUUAUAUUGUGAAAAAUAUAAAAUAAAAUAUAAUAUAAUUAAAAUUAGUUAAAAUUUUAUAUUUUUAUAAAAUUAUUUAACUUUUUUAUAAAAAUUUAAAAUAAGUGACAUGAGUUUGAAAUAGUAUACAUAUUGACUUUAAAUUUAAUUUUUAUAUUUUUCAUUUUUCUUUUUAACUAUUCUUCUUUCUUCUCUUUCUCUCAACUUUUCCUUCAAAUUUUCCAAUAACCAAACAUAACCUAUUUGUUUCAUAAAAACUCUUUUACCUUUUUAAAUUUUUAAAAGAGUUGCUUACAUAAUAUGGAGCUAAUAGUAUUACUUGUACCUAUUAAUUUCUUUUAAGAUUAAAUUGUUCUAACUUUGUGUGAUAAAAAGUUUGUAAAGUCCAAUUUUACGAAAGAAAAUAUAUGAUUAGUGACUCCCUUGCAUUUCCUUUGGGAUUCACCCCUUCAUACUUACCGUAAAUAGUUGUACCAAUUAAUCAAACAAAAAACAUAGCAUGUAAAUAGUAAUAUGUUAAAGUUUUCUAUCGUGCCUAAGUUUAAUUAGUUCUACUUAUUUAUAUAUUGAAAUGAAAGUAAGCAUAUAUUUAAGUGGUCCAUCAAAUUUGAAACUAAUCUAUUGUAAUUACAUUCAUGUCUAUAUCAUUUAUAUUGUACAUAACUUGAGUACAUUAAAAAUUGUACAAAAAAUCCAAAUUACAAGGAAGUUUAUAUAAACUCUCUUAGGAUUAGACACUGUUAGUCAUUGCCUUCUAAAAAGCUUUCAUCUCUUUCUCCCUCAAGAGGUUUGUAGUCACUUUACACAAGUGUCAAAACUCAAAAGAGUGAUCUAAUGAAGAUGACGAGGUGAUUGAGAUCCUUUUCAUAAACUGGAGUUUGAUAUGGGAACAUUCAUAUCGAAGGUAAAAAUUUUUAUCAGCAACUAGACUUACUUUUAUCUUUCCUUAUAAUUAAACCCAAUAAUCCUAGGUUGUUAGAGACCACACACCUAUGAUCCAAGGGUUUUCCCAACAAGGAUAUCAAUAAAUCUUUCUACUCUAUUGAUGGCAUCUUGAAUUCUUUCAAAUUAAUCACUUCAUUGUAAUCGUUAUUCACUAAAUCCCAUAAAUCUUGAGAUCUAAACAUGACAUUCAUAUGAAUGCAUCAAUUAUUAUAAUUCUUACUUAUGAAUUUUGAAAGUUGAGAUUCAAUUGAGUUAUUAUUUACCAUCAUUACUUUAACAACCAAAUUGCAAAUUUCUUUAUACUAUUCACAUUCUCUGGCAGCCUUUGACCUUCCCUAAUCUUUAGCCUCUAGCUAAUACCACUUGUUUGAGCUCCCAUAAUUGGGCAGCAUUGACAAUAAUUUACUAAAAUAACAUUUUAUUCUAUCCUACUCUCUCUUUGUCAACAUAAUAAUAAACCUCUAUUUAAAAUAAGUUGAUCAUAUUUGCAUUAUCACUCUAAUUCAUAAUUAGAUUGGGAAACCUAAUUAAUAUCAAAUAAAUAACCAUUCCUAAUAUUUCUCAAAUUUAUAAAAUUCUUCUAAUUUGACUUUAAAUUGAUUUUUUAUUUUGACUAUAUAGCUUAAAAAGGAUAAUUUUUUAAAUAAUUAUCAAUUUCAUAUAAUCUUUAUAAGCAUUUGUGUUCAUAAAUUCCUUAUUAUGAUAUUAGGUUUUAGACAAUUUGACAAUAUGAUGAUGUUUUGGAAUGAAUGUUAAGUGAAUCCGUUUUACUCAAAACCAUUAAAUAAAAAAAAAAGACAGUUACACAAGUAAAAUAGUAGAUUAUUGAAGGCCAGGAGAAAAGAAGAGGAAAAUGAAAUAUUAUAUCCCUAUAAUGAGUUAGGUGGAUAUUUCAUGUGAAAAGUUUAAUGUGCAAGGUUGUUCAUGUCUAUUGAGUUUUGGGUAAUCAUUUUUUCAUGGAAAUUUUUUAUGGAAUCCUAAUCUUAGAAAGCAAUAGGAAAUUUUUUUACCAAGAUUUCUAAGAAAUAACUACAUCAAAGUGUAAGAAAAGUAUCAAACUAGAAUAUCUAAGAAAUUACUACAUCAAAGUGUAAUAGAAACAUCAAAUUAGAAAGUGAAAUAUAAUACAAUUCAACUAUGAAAAUGAAGGACAAAGGAAUAGACUAAUUGCCAAAGGAAAAUAGUCUUUUAGUUUUAAUCAGAAAUUUCUUAUAUCAUAAUUAUGACCUGUAGAGGCCACAUGGGUUGUUGGCCUUGGAGUGACUAAAAGGUACAACUAAAAAACGUCAAACAUUUGGAGAACUAAAAGAAAACAUGGAUAAAAUUUUUUUACCUAGAACAUUUAUAUAGAAAUAUUUUAUUUUUUAUUUUUAAAAAAUUAGUAAAGGUAGUAAAGUUUUUUAAAGAUUAUUUUGCGCCCUAAAAACAAAUCGUAAAGGCUUGUUAAAGAUUAUUUUGGAUAUGUUUCAUGCAUUAAUUUUUUUUAACAUUUCAAAUUUUUAAAUGAUUUUUAAAAGUUAUUACCUUUUAAAAUGUAAAUCUCAUAGAGUAUUUGCAUUAUAUAGGAAUUACUAUCAUUUUUAUUUUUUUUAAAAAAGAGAAAUGUAUUCAAAUAAUACCUUAAUUUUUCAUUUUCUAGUAUAAGGAAAUGAUUAUAUCUCACACAAACCUUGUUCAGAUACAUAUUUCAAAGUGAGAAAAAAAAAAUUCUUUUAGAGAAAAGAAGUCCUUCAAAAAGAAGAAAAAAAAAGGUUUUUCAAAGAAGAGUUAGAAGGAAAAGUGAAUUCAAUCUUAUAAUCAGCUAACAUGAUGUUGUUUGAUUACAUUUUUUAUUUUCUAUUUUUACAAAUAAAAUAUAAUAAUAACUCCUAUAUGAAAUAUAGAACUCUUUCAAACUUACUUUAAAAACAUAAUAAUAUUUAAAAAUUAAGAUAAAUUGUGAUAUUAAAAAAAAAAUUACUUCUUCAAAUUUUAAAAAUUAUGAAAAUAAAUUUUUAAUGACAUAAGAUAAGUCUAUAAAUUUUACAUAAAAGUUAUUAUAUUUUAUAUAGAAACUAUUACUAUUUUCUAUUUGUAAAAAUACAAAAUAAAAAAUAUAUCCAAGCAAGUACUAUGAGAAAUAGUUUCUAACAUUUCUUAUUAAGAAAAUGAGAAUAUUAAGAAGUAUAUUCCUACUACAUUGUUUUUUUUUUUAAUUUGAUAUCAACCCAUUCUAUUAGCUCUUUUGAGAAAUAUAGAAAAAUAACAUUACAUAAUUGCAUAGAACAAGAAUAUUAUUUAAGUUUGAGGCAAGUGUUAAAAAGAUAUUGUAAUUCUGUUACGUUGUUUAACUUCAAUGUCCUAUAUGUAACUGUUAGGAAUUUGAGGCUAAUCCAAACUAUAGUAAUCACCCUAGAGGGAGGGGGGGGGGGGGGGUAAAUAGGGUGAUGAUCUCUUUUUCACAAAUCUAAACUAUGCAAAAAUAAGAGACAAUUAUAUGUAAAUAUAUAAUAAACACAAUUACAUAUAAUUUAAAAAAUUUGGGAAAAAAAAGUGCAAAACCGAAAACUUAUAAUGGGUCGACACUUCCUUGGCCACCUUCCCUCUCCUUAAACCCCUAAACGAAUGAGGGUUCCCCUAUUUUGAAGCUUCCACCAAGCUUCCAAACCCUUUACAAAUGGAUUAAGGUUUCCAAUCCCCCUUUUGNNNNNNNNNNNNNNNNNNNNNNNNNNNNNNNNNNNNNNNNNNNNNNNNNNNNNNNNNNNNNNNNNNNNNNNNNNNNNNNNNNNNNNNNNNNNNNNNNNNNAGAGAGUGCAAACACGAGAGCUUAUAGUGGUUCGACACUUCCUUGCCUACGUCCACUCUCCUCAACCUCCUAACCGAGUGAGGGUUCCACUAUCUUGAAGCUUCAACCAAGCUUCCAAUCUCUUUACAAUUGGAUUAUGGUUCCAAUUCACCCUUUUGGACUUUUGGCUCCAAGCACCCUUUACACUUCUCAAAAGUUAUCCCACUCUUGAACAACCUCUCAAGUGAUACCCCUCACUUGAGAAAAUUCCUCUCAAAGAUAUACAAAGAUUGAUCUCACAAAAAUUGUAGUAAUAGAACUUUAAGCUCAAAUGAUACAAGAGAAACUAGGAUUGAAUGGUGCACUAAAGAUAUGCAAGUUUUGGAAUAAUGGUGCACUCAAAAAUACUCUUCCAAGGCUCAAAUAUAAUCAAGAAAGAUUUGGGAAGGUUUAGCUUAUCAAACAACGAAGUUUGGAGCCUUUUUAUAGAAGAAAAAAGUCAUACUAGCCGUUGGGGGUUUGAUCGGUCGAGCUAAGGGUCGACUGGUUGACUAACCAUUAGGAAAAGUGACUGUUGAGCCUCAACCGGACCUCAACCGGUUGAGGUUCAACCUUGACCGGGAAGAGAAGGCCACUAGGAGAGAGAGAAAGUUUUUGGCCUCCCUCAACCGGUCCUCGACCGGACGAGCACAACCAAUCGACCAGUUGAACCGGUUGAGCCAUUUUUUUGGCUCAACACUCAACAUUUUUCAACUUAAAACCUUUUAACACAAAUUUGAAAAUCAUUUAACACAAGGUUUUAGUUGAAAACAUUAAAUCAUCCAAUUCUUAAGAUAUUUAAAACAAUAUUACUCUUGGAUAAUUUUGGUGCAUAAAUAAAUAAUGAAAUGCAUGAAAGUCCUAGUGCACCAACAACCUUACAAAGAGAUCCUAAGAAGCUUUGGUCUUGAAAAACUCUUCUCUUUGAGGUGGUCUUCUUUUUCAUGAUUUCUCCUUGACUUGAUUUGUCUUUGGAUUGCCACUUUGGAAGUCGUCUUGCCUAAUCACACUUGAAAUAUGAUCAUUAGUUCUAAACCUUGUUUUGUUAUCAUCAAAAUCAAGAUUAACCAAACCUUGGUUUCACAGUAACGACUUGUUCCCAACCAUAUAGAUAUUGUCCGCUUUGGACCCAAAUGGGCCCUCACGGUUUUUAAAACUCGUCUACUUGGUUAAGAGGAACUUCUACAUAUAUAGCGUCAGACUUUCCCCCCUAUCCGAUGUGGGAUGUCACAAACACCCCCCUCCCCCCCUCCAUGUAGACACAACGUCCUCGUUGUGUCCCAUGGGAUUGUAGGGUUAAAUAGACAAACACCCCUUAUGAGGUCAAACAAACCCCAACACCGGGGUCGGGGAUCGACUCUGAUACCAUUUAUCAGAAUCCGUACUCAAUUAUAUAUAUAUUGUCCGCUUUGGACCCAAAAGGGCCCUCACGACUUUAAAACGCGUAUACUUGGUUAAGAGGAGUCUCUACACAUAUAGCACCAAGAACUUUUCCCCCUAUCCAAUAUGGGAUGUCACACUAUAUAUGUGUAACAAUUUUUCUUUAAAAAAAUUAGAGGACUUAAAAUGGGCUCUUGUCAACCUUAUUGAUAUUUGAUGUCAAAGGGAUACAACCAACCACCACAAAUAAUUGAGAGAAAAGAAAGGAAAUAAUAAUAAGAGGUAGGCCCCGGGCUCUUGUGAACCUUAUUGAUAUUUGAUACCAAAGGGAUACAACCAACUCCCACAUUUAAUUAAGAGAAAAGAUUGGGAUAUCCUCACCACCAUGUCUAGAUUGCUUUAGUAGGACCAAGAGAAGUCAUUCAGCAUCCAAAGAUCCUCUUCUUCUUCUUCUUCUUUUAAUUCUAAAUGGAGGGACAAUGUGUUCUUGAGUUUCAAAGGUGAAAAUACUCACAAAAGCUUUACUAAUCAUUUCUACUGUAUAUCUUUACUUGUAAUAAAUGUAUAAGAUAUUUGUAUUAACUGUAUAAAACAUGUACAGACCUGUAUAUCUUGAAUUUAUUAAUAUGUUUUUCUUCAUUUUCUUUGUUUUCCAUACCAAAAUACUAAAAAAAUUAUUUACAUAAUUUUUUCUUUUCACAUUUUCAUAUGUAUACAAGACACUUAUACUAAAUGUACAAGAUAUUUUCAUAUUUUGACUAAUGCCUAUACAAAUAUGCAAAUAUAUUGACAAUAGGCAAACUCAUACUAGUCUUGUAUAGUUAUGACAAAUGUCUUAUACAUUUAGGGUGUGUAUACAAUGUUUUCUAAUUCUUUGUAUAGUUAAUACAAAUGUCAUAUAUAUUUUUGAAAAUGUAAAAAAAAAAAAAAGAAGUUAUAUUUGACAUUUACACAUUAUAUAUAAACAAUAUUUCAAUUUAAUAUGGAAAAUGAAAAAAAUGCAAAUAGAUAUAUGUGAAGGGUAAAAAGAGUAUUUUUGUUCGUAAAAUUUCAUGUACUUAAACAUGAAGUAUGCAUCUUUUCACAGAUGUUGGCCAAAUUAUGAACCUCAAACACAAUUGUUUUAAAGAGAAAUGUGAAGAAAAAGAAUAUGAAUGGUAGUUGUAAGAAAAUUAAAAAAUAAAAUCAUUGACUCUUCACUCUACCAAACUAGGGAUGACAACGAGGCGAGUUUGGGAUGGGGCCUCGUUCCGUUUAACUUUUUUUUUUAAUUACUUAAAAUUUUUUUAAUUAUAUUAAAAUAAAUAUAUUUUAUAAAUAAUUAAAUUAUUAUAUUUUUAUAACUUAUUUUAUUAAAAAAUAUUUUUUUUAUUAUUUAUAUAUUAAAAAUAGUAAAAUUAAAAUUAAAAUUAAUUUAAUUUUAAAAAUUAAUUUUAUAUAUAAUAGGGGUGGAGCAAGAUAAGGCAAUAGCUGAAUCUGUCCUGGGUUUUAAAAAGAUUCCCAAACCUGUCCAAAACUCAUUUAGUUAAAAUUGAAACUCAUCCAAUUACGAGCGGGUAUCCGAAAAAACUUGUCCUAUUGUCAUCCCUAUACCCAACCACACUAUCAUCCAAUGAAUAAAACGAAAAUAACUAAAAUUAAGGAACAACCCAAGAAUCAAUGACUUCCUAGCAAGCCCAUCCAUAUCCCAACACGGACAAAAAUAUUUUAAUUUUUUUGCCUUAAAAAUCACGCAUGAAGCUUCCUAGAAAUUUCAUACUUCUUUGUCAUUAUCUAUAUUUUCUACUUCUUUUUCAUCGUCAAUAUUUGUGUAUAUAUAUAAAAUAAAACUUGCAAGAAAAUACAAAAAUGAUAGAUGGCAAAAUGGUUUUUAUGUUAAGAAGGUUCUAAAUUUUUCACACCUUUACAGUAUAAAAAAAAAAAAAAAAAAAAACUUUUUAAAUACAGAACUAUUUCGGACUUGAAUCAUUUUGAAAUUCAGAGACUUGAAAAGUGUUUGUUGGACUUGAAGGAGUUUGGAGUUAAUCUUGAACUUAGAUAUGUUUAGAAAUCAAAGUGGAUUUGAAGAAGAUUGAAAUCCACGACAUGACAACACUGUAAUAUGAAUAGUGUUUUGUCAAAAAAAAUUACUAUUUACUAUUUACUAGGGCAUAAAAGAAAAAUACAAAAUAAUACUCUAAAAAUGCGAAGGAAAGAUUGUUGGUCGUUGAAUAAGGGGAAAAAAAAGAAGAAAAGUAAAAUGUGAAAAAAAAAAGCUUCAAGAGUGCAAUUAAUAAUUGUGGUAGGCCCUGACUUUUGUCUUGUGAACCCGCCUAUUAUUGAAUGGAAAAGGGAUAUAGCCAACCAAAAUAAUUGAGAGUAAAGAAAGGAACACCUCACCACUAUGCUCCAAAUUGAGAGAAAAACAAAGUCAGCCGGCAUCCAAGGACAUUUUUAUUAAAAAAGUAAAGAAAAGAAAUGGUGCUUUAGCUAUUAUCAUAUCAACUCCUAGGAAAUAAAUGAAAAGAACAAGUAAAUGAAAAGAAACAAAAAAAAAAGUUCUUAGAAUGCAAAAAGAAGAUAUUGGAUAUUGAAUGCCCAAAAGAGAAAAAAAUAAAAUGGUAAGAUGUAAAGAAAAGAGUCAGAAAAGCUUCACAAUUGCAAUUAAUAAUUGAGGUACGACUUGGACUUUUGUGAACCCUCACUGUUAAUGCUAAAGGGUUACAGCUAAGGAAAGGAUAAAUGGGAGAGAAGAACAGGACAUCCUCACCACCAUCGUCUUAGCAUCAAAGACCCUCUUUUUUCUUCUUCCAAAUUCUGUUCUUGUAAUUUUGUUACAAUCCAACCAUGGCUUCCUCUAGCAAUUCUAAGAGACCCUUUUGUUCUUCUUCUUCUUCUAAUUCUAAAUGGAGGUACGAUGUGUUCUUGAGUUUCAGAGGCGAGGAUACCCGCAACAACUUUACUAGUCAUCUCUACAAGGAUUUGGAUAAGGCCAACAUUAAAACCUUUAAAGAUGAUGAAGAACUUCGAAAGGGAGGAGAGAUUGCACCCGAGCUCCUAAAAGCUAUUGAAGAAUCAAGGAUCGCCAUUAUCGUCUUCUCGAAAACCUAUGCUCAUUCCAAGUGGUGCUUGGAUGAACUCGUCAAGAUCAUGGAGUGCCAGAAAGAAAAGGGACAAAUAGUUUAUCCCGUUUUCUAUCACGUACGGCCGUGUGAAGUCAGGAACCAGUAUGGGACUUAUGGAGAAGAAUUUAAGAAACACGAGAGCAAUGCGGACGAGGAGAAGAAGAAGAAAAUAGGGGAGUGGAGGACUGCCUUAAGGAAAGCCGGUGAUUUGAGUGGAUUUAGUCUGCGGGAUAGGUAAUCCCUACUUCACUUUUUCCAUUUCCAAUUUUCUGUCAGUUUAUUUUCAUUCUUGUUAGUAAAUAAAAUAUUUAUGAUUACAUAUAUCAAUCAAAAUCCAGUUUUUAAGUAGUAGACAUUAAUAUGUUUGAUUUCUUGGAAAGUAAUAAGAAGAGUUAAAAAUAAAUAAAAAUAAAAAUUUAAAAAAUUUGAUUUUCUUAUAUUUAAUGUAUUAUUAAAAAAUAUGAAAGAAAAUAAAAAUAUAAUUAAAAUACAUUGUAAAAAUAUAUAUAAUUAGUUUAUAAUUAAAAUAAUCUUAGAAAAUCUAUAGUAGUUGUUCUGGGCUCAUUCAGGCCCAACAGGUAAUCCCUAUUUCACUUUUUCCAUUACCAAUUUUCUGUCGGUUUAUUUUCAUUCUUGUUAAUAAAUAAAAUAUUUAUGAUUACAUUUAUCAAUCAAAAUCCAUUUUUAAGUAGUAGACAUUAAUAUGUUUGAUUUCUUGGAAAGUAAUAAGAAAGAGUAAAAAAAAAAAUUGACUUUCUCACAUUUAAUUUAUUAUUAAAAUUAUAAAAGGAAAUCAAAUAUAAUUAAAAUAUAUCGAAAAAAAAAAUAUUUGCCUACAAUUGGGAUAAUAUUAGAAAAUCUAUAGUAGGUGUUGUGGGCUCAUUCAGGCCCAGGUAAUACUGGUAAAAAAAUAAAAUAAAAUAAUUAUGCCAAAUGCCAAGUUUUGAAUUGUUAAAAAUCUUUAAGAUUCCAAAAUAUUCUUCCUUUCUAAUCAAUCCAUCUCAGCCAUAAUUUCUAUCAAUUAAAUUGUUCAAAUUGGUUAUUUAUAUGCUUUGUAAAUUUGGAGAUAAUCUGAGAUGAUUAUUUAAAAUAUUGUAAUACUACCCUAAAUUUUUUUGGACCCUCUUAUGGGACAAAAAACUUAGUUAUUGCACCCUUAACCUUUUUCAAUUUUAGAGGAAUUUUCUAUUACUAAAAUAAUUUUCUCAUGUUCUCUGUGCACUACAUGAGUUUACAUUUCUUCUUUACUUAAUAUUGUUUGUUCCUCUAUAUUUGCAAGUUGAUUAUUAAAUUUAUUUACCUUUUAAUCUAAUGUUUGUAUCUCGUUUUAUUCUAAUUAUCCCAUGACAUCUGGAUAAUCUCUUCUUAAGACCUUGACAUGACAUAAUGAAAUUUUAUUUAAACAUGCAAUUCAACACAUUUUUAAUUUACAUUCUAUUUGACCUUAAUUUAAUUGCACCGAACUAAAGAUCAUUCUAUAAUUUCCAUUUACUUCAUCUUUGUUUUCUUUGACAAUUGAUUGUAGCUUACUCCAUGUUUUAUUGUACUUUAUAAUGGACAGAUCUGAGGCAGAGUUUAUUGAAGAAAUCAUUGGUGAGAUUCGAAGAUUAAUUCCUAAGUGGGUACAUGUUGGUGAGAAUAUUGUUGGAAUGGAUGAAAAUUUGAAAAAAGUGAAGUUAUUGAUAGAUGCCCAAUCAAAUAAAGUGAGUAUGGUUGGGAUUUAUGGGACUGGUGGGAUUGGUAAAACUACCAUCGCCAAGGUUGUUUACAAUGAUAUGUUAGAUCAAUUUAAAUGUCACAGCUUUCUUGAAAAUGUGAGAGAGAAAUAUGAAGAUAAAGGUGAUUUGCUUCAAUUACAAAAAGAACUUCUUUGUGAUAUCCUAAUGGAGAAAAAUCUGGUGUUAAGGAAUAUUGAUGAAGGAUUUAAAAAGAUAAAGAGUAAGCGUCACUCUGAAAAGGUUCUUAUUGUUCUUGAUGAUGUAGGUUGUGAAGAACAAUUAAAAUUCUUAGCUCCUAAUUCUGAAUGUUUUCAUCCAGGAAGCAUAAUCAUUGUGACCACGAGAAAUAAGCGUUGCCUAGAUGUAUAUGACUCGUAUUCAUCAUAUGAGGCUAAGAGAAUGGCAGACAAGCAAGCUGAGGAACUCUUUUGUUGGAAUGCCUUCAAGCAAGACCAUCCCAUAGAAAAUUUUGUGGGCCUCUCUAAUCGUAUACUGGAUUAUGCUGACGGCCUUCCAUUGGCUCUUGUAGUUUUGGGUUCUUUUCUCUUUCAAAGGCCUAUGGAUGAAUGGGAAAGCACAUUGGAUGAACUCAAAACAAUCCCUCCCGAGAAUAUUCAAAAGGUACUCCAGAUAAGUUAUGAUGGACUAAGUGAUGAACGCAAGAAGUUGUUUCUUUAUAUUGCAUGCUUCUUCAAAGAUGAGGAUGAAAAAAUGGCAACAAGAAUACUAGAAAGUUGCAAAUUACAUCCCGCUAUUGGACUAAGAGUUCUUCAUGAGAGGUGUCUUAUUUCUAUAGAGGACAACACUAUAAGGAUGCAUGACUUGUUACAAGAAAUGGGUUGGGCAAUUGUUUGCAAUGAUCCAGAACGUCCAGGAAAAUGGAGCAGAUUGUGCGAAUUACAGGAUAUUGAAAGUGUAUUAUCACAAAAUGAGGUAAGAGAAAAAUACAUGAACAUACUUGAGAUCUAAAGACAUAAAAGAUUCAACAAGAUUUAUUUUUAUUAUUAUUAUAGUUUGAGUAUAUUAUCUAUAUAAUUUUAGUGAAUCCCUAUGCAUCUUAUACUGCUCAUUCUCAAUCCUUGUUUUCAGUGGACAAAAAACAUUGAGGGGAUUUUCACAAGUCAGUCUCGCCAUACAGGAAAACAUAUACAACUUACUACUGAAGUUUUCAGAAAUAUGAAUCAACUUAGAUUGCUCAAAGUCGAAUUCAAUCAGAUCGUGCAGCUUUCCCAAGACUUUGAAUUGCCUUGUCAUGAUUUAGUAUAUUUUCAUUGGGAUUACUACCCUUUAGAAUAUUUGCCAUCAAAUUUUCAUACAGACAAUCUUGUUGAACUCAACCUCUGGUGUAGCCGCAUAAAACAUCUUUGGGAAGGAAAUAUGGUAUUGCUAUUAUUUAGUUAUAUUUUUGUUGUAGACUAAUUUUAAAGUCUUUUGAAGUUUACUUCUUGACACAAAUUUUCUUCUGUUACAGCCUGCUAAAAAGUUAAAAGUCAUUGAUCUUAGUUAUUCCAUGCAUCUGGUUGACAUUUCAAGCAUCUCAAGUAUGCCAAAUUUGGAGACUCUAACUCUAAAAGGUUGUACAAGGUUCCUUAAGUGUUUCAUCCAUGCUAAAUGUUAUUAUCAGUCAUGAACUAAUUGUUUUCUUGAAUAUAAUAGGGUGCACGAGACUUAAGAGUCUUCCAAGGAACUUUCCUAAGUUGGAAUGCCUUCAAACACUCUCUUGUUGUGGCUGUUCAAACUUAGAGAGUUUUCCGAAGAUCGAGGAAGAAAUGAGAAGUCUAAGAAAGCUUAAUUUAAGUCAAACAGGUAUAAUGGGAUUACCAUCAUCAAUUAGCAAGCUAAAUGGGCUUAAAGAGUUGGACUUAAGUAGUUGCAAAAAGCUUUCGAGUCUUCCGGACAGUAUUUAUAGUUUGAGCUCUCUUCAAACUCUCAAUCUAUUUGCAUGUUCACGACUAGUGGGCUUUCCGGGUAUCAAUAUUGGAAGUCUAAAAGCUCUUAAAUACUUGGAUUUGUCAUGGUGUGAGAACCUUGAGAGUCUUCCGAAUAGUAUUGGUAGUUUGAGCUCUCUUCAAACUCUUUUAUUGAUAGGGUGUUCAAAACUGAAGGGCUUUCCAGAUAUCAAUUUUGGAAGUCUAAAAGCUCUUGAAUCGUUAGAUUUCUCAGGUUGCAGAAACCUUGAGAGUCUUCCCGUGAGCAUUUACAAUGUAAGCUCUCUCAAAACUUUGGGGAUUACAAAUUGUCCAAAACUCGAGGAAAUGUUAGAGAUGAAACUAGGGGUUGAUCCAUGCCCCUGGCCAUUUUCACCUCUAACCUGUCACAUUUCAAAUUCAGCAAUAAUCUGGGAUGAUCACUGGCAUGACUGCUUUUCCUCAUUAGAAGCAUUAGACUCACAGUGCCCCCUGUCAUCACUGGUAGAAUUAUCUGUAAGAAAGUUUUAUGACAUGGAAGAAGACAUCCCCAUUGGCAGUUCCCACCUAACCUCAUUGGAAAUAUUAUCUCUGGGGAACGUCCCUACAGUAGUAGAAGGAAUCCUCUAUGACAUUUUCCAUCUAUCUUCAUUGGUAAAAUUAUCUCUUACUAAAUGCAAGCCAACAGAAGAAGGAAUCCCCCGUGAUAUUCAGAACCUAUCUCCACUGCAACAAUUAUCUCUACAUGACUGCAAUCUAAUGAAAGGAACGAUCCUCGAUCAUAUUUGCCAUCUAACAUCCUUGGAAGAAUUAUAUCUGGGUUGGAACCAUUUUAGUAGCAUUCCUGCUGGCAUCAGUCGACUUUCCAAUCUAAAAGCCCUUGACUUGAGUCACUGCAAGAAGCUUCAACAAAUUCCAGAGCUUCCAUCUAGUCUACGAUUUUUAGAUGCGCACUGUCCGGAUCGUAUUUCAUCAAGCCCCUUGCUUCUACCUAUUCAUUCUAUGGUCAAUUGCUUCAAAUCAAAAAUUGAGGUAUGAUUCUCAUGCCACGUUCCUUUUUCUUUUGUACCCAUUGGAUUUACAUGGUGCUUUCGUGCAGGGGCGCAAGGUUAUUAAUAGGUAUUCUUCCUUCUAUGGCAAUGGGAUUGGUAUUGUUAUUCCUAGUAGUGGAAUUCUAGAGUGGAUAACGUAUCGGAAUAUGGGAAGGCAAGUAACAAUAGAGCUCCCUCCGAAUUGGUAUAAAAAUGAUGACUUGUGGGGAUUUGCUUUAUGCUGUGUUUAUGUUGCACCUGCCUGUAAAUCUGAGGAUGAAUCUCAGUAUGAAUCAGGUCUUAUAUCUGAGGAUGACAGUGACCUUAAAGAUGAAGAAGCAAGCUUUUAUUGUGAAUUGACAAUCGAAGGAAAUAAUCAAUCAGAAGACGUGGGUCAUUUCUUUCUUCAUUCUCGCUGUAUUAAGGAUGAUGUAUCAGAUAUGCAGUGGGUGAUAUGUUAUCCCAAGUUAGCUAUUGAGAAAAGUUAUCACACCAAUCAAUGGACACACUUCAAGGCUUCAUUUGGUGGUGCCCAAGUGGAAGAGUGCGGAAUCCGUCUUGUAUACAGAAAAGAUUAUGAACAGAAGCAUCCAAGAAUGGCACAAGGCAGUACUUCUCAUGGGAAUUUUGGUGAGCAUGGAUCAGUAAGAGAAGAUACUGAUAGUAAAGCUCACAAUAAAAGGAAUCCCACAGAACAGAGCCCAGGAGAGGAGUCACACCAUAAAAGAUCCAGAGAAACCCAAGACUGAUCUCAAGUAUUAGGCUCAACCACACUUGCAUCACUAAUGCUCUCUUUACUGGUAAUUCAUCUUCCUUUCUCUUUCUAAUUCAAAGGUCAGAAUUUUUUUUUUAUCGUGUUUCUCCUUUUUAUUUGUUUUUUUUUUCCCCAAGACAAACAAAACUUUGAGGCUAUCACCCAUGGGCGCAAACUUCAAUGGUACACCUCCCAAGUUUGUUUUUCUCUCUCUCCAACCGUCUCUCCCUAGAUUUUUCUGCAUUUUCUUCAAACUCAUAUUUCCAUAUGAAAUUCAAUUACAUUCGAGCAUUUCAAUCUCUGUAGCUACUGUCUGAAUCAAUUAUAGGGUUUCUUUUUUCUGGAAGUUUGUAAUGUUAUUGAUUUAAGACUUCAUGUUUGGGGAUGUUUUGGGUGGCUUGUUCACUGGUAUUACUUGUGAUAAUUGCAGCUCUGGUGCUUUCAAUGACUGACAAUAGUUGAAACUAUGUUGAAUGCUUGUACUAAGGGAAUGGACUUCAGCUGCUCCAGGGUUAGUGCUAUAACAUCAGUAUUCACUCUUCAAGAAUGUAUAUAGUUGUUGUUUUGGAAUUUUGAAAUUACUUAGCAUCAGACAAUUUCUAACUCGGGAUUUGGAUUGGGAACCAUAAGUUAUCUCACCCUAGUGUUCUUUGGAAUAAUUAUAGGAUUUUGUAAGUAACUUUGGACUUGUUAGCAAUGUUCUGGAUUUGUGAAUAAUUUAUAGAAUACAUUGGGUGUUUUUUUUUUUUGGUCCAUCAAAAACUUCAAGAACUUUGAGGGUGAAUAAUGUAUGACUGUACUCUUCUCUAUCUCUGUGGUCAUAGCACACGUAUGAUUUGGUGCUUUUUUGCAGGCCUUCAACAGCAGCAAAGCAUCUGGUGGCUUGCAGUACUAAUCUUGCAUUAUAUUCUCUGUUUUGCAAUCAUUUGGUACUUUUUGUCCCAACCAAGGAUAGCUCUGUGCAAGCAGUCUCGACUGUGGAACAAGUAAAACAAAUGGUACCUGCUGAAGCUGAGAGUGCAGAUGAUAAACUGGUGCGGAAGGUGGUCAACCAAAAGAAUCAGACAGCAAAAACUAAAAAGCCCAUGAAGCCUGCUACUGAAGCAGUCUCAGCACCUGUUUCUAGGAGGGGUGAGAUUGAAGUGACUGAAGAAAAGGAGCAUCAGCAAACAAAGAAGGAAGAGGAGUUGGCCAGGAAGGUAGAGGAAUUGAGAAGUGAAGAAGAAGCAGCCAUGUUGAAGGAGCAAAGUCUGUUGGAGGAGAGAAAGCCAACGUUAAGGAGGCACUGGAAAGGCAACAAGGAACUGCAGAAAAGGCCAAUUUCUCUGUGAGUGCUGCCACCUUUUCAUGAUACAGCCAUCAUAAUGGAUGUUAAAAGCAGUCUAACUCUACAUACUUCCUUGCAUUAUACUAGUCAUUGAUGGGCUUAAAUUUUAAUUUAAAUGUAGUAUAAAUAUAUAAGUAGAUUGAUUGGGUCUGAAUUUGAACCUGGUUCGAGUCAUACUCCCAUCCAAUCCAAACUUGUGAUUGGGCUUGAAUUUCUUGGCCCAACCAGCGAAAUCAUUGACCAACGGCCCUUAGUUUGGGCUGGGCUUGAUGGUCCUCAGGUUAUGUAGGCUUAAUACUGAUUGGGUUUGGGCUUCCAUGCAGUUGUACUUGGAUUCUAUGUUUCCUAAUAUUAACACUAAAUUAGGUUUAAUUUAUAAUUAAAUAUAAUUAGUUUGAGACUAACUCCAAUCUUUAGUUAAACCAACUAAGUUUUAUGCAAAGGUUUAUAUUCCUAAUACCAUCAGGUAUUAUAGUAAAUACCAUUGAAAAACUAAAUUCAUGUGGAAGUUUCACUAGGUGAUACGACAUUAAAUUAUUAAGAUAAAAUUAAAAAAAGAUCAUGCUCGUAUGUCCCGUUGUUUGUCAUAAGAGAAUUUCUUUCUAGAUUUUUUUUUUUUUGCUCUUUUCAAUUCUAGAUAUUUUAAUAUAUCUUUACUUUUUCAAAAACAAUCCAUAGGAUUGUUCCCAAACAUAUAUCAUAUAAAUAUAUAUUUUUAAGAUUGAUUUUUAAGAAUGUUAUCAAAUAAACUCAUAAUAGCAUUUUUUUCUUUACAAUUACCAAUUCGUAUGAUGAAUUAAUUACUUUCAAUAACCGACAUCAUCUAAUCAAAAUUAUAAUUAAGUAUCAUAUUAAAAGAGUGUUUAAAAAAUCAAAUUUAAUAACUUAAAGUGAUUUAAUAAUUUAAUUUAAAUUAUUAAAAUAACUUGAUGUCACAAUUUAAAGUUAGAAAUGACUUAAUUUAUUUUUAUUUAAAUUUAAAACUAAGUUUACAAAAAAGGUUUAAAAUUCAUAUCAAUUAAGAAAUUAAGUCAUUAAGUUACUUUAAGCCAUUAAAUUGAUCUACCAAUUAAACACCCUUGAAGAUAUUACAUAAAGUUCACCUUCUACAUAUCAUGAAAAUUUAAAAUUAAUUACAACAUCAAGAAUCUUUAGUUCCUAAUCGAUAUCAUAUUUAAUCCUUGGUUGUAAAUUUCUUUACAUAUGUAGAUAUAUUUUUAUAUUGCAAGUGGGUUGCCGACUUUUCAUUUUAUACUAGUUUUGAAAUUAAGAUUGUAGUUUUUAUUUUGUCCAAAUCUAAUUUGGAGGGAGAAUCUUUAGAGGCUAUUUUAUAUUCAAAUAGGAAAAUUUUAAAUUUAAUAGUCCCACCUUAUAAAGGCAAAUAUCUUGGACCCUACAUGGGUGCCUCUUACAUGCAAAAGGACAAAGACUUAUUGAAAGCCUCUCUCAUUCACAUGGAUGCCAUCAUUCAUCAAAGUUGAAACAUGAAACCCACACAAAAGCAAUUUCAAUAUUUUUUUUCAUAACUAUAGCUGAGAAUCUCAAUAUUAUUAAAUAGUGACAAAAUUAAUUUCAAUAUUUUUUUUUCUUAUUUUUUGCUCCUUGUGGUUAUAUUUUCAUCUGGAAAGUAUUAAAUAUAUUAAAAAAGAAAAAAAUUAUAAAAAAAUUUUUUUCCUAGUUAAUUAUACUAUGAAAAAUAUAGAGUAAAAUAAAAUAUAAUUAAAAUUAGUUAAAAAAUUAUAUUUUUAUAAAAUUAUUUGACUUUUUUAUAAAAAUUUAAAAUAAGUGACAUGAGUUUGAAAUAGUAUAUAUAUUGACUUUAAUUCUUUCAAAUUAAUCACUAGGUUGUUAGAGACAUACACCUAUGAUCCAAAGGUUUUCCCAACAAAGAUAUCAAUAAAUCUUUCUACUCCAUUGAUUGCAUCUUGAAUUCUUUCAAAUUAAUCACUUCAUUGUAAUCAUUAUUCACUUCAUUGUGAUUUGUCAGACAACAAUUCAUUUCUGCUUCAUGGUUGGACCUUGAGGUAAGGCUUUAGAGGCAUAAGCCUCAAAAGCCUCUUAAAAUUGGUUCUACACUUCUUGCAUGAUGAAUGCAAGUUCCAAAUUUUGAUGACUUGGUAAUGUUGGAGUAAUUGGGUUGAAAGCAGUCAAACACAAAUAUUUAUUAAAGAAGAUAAAAAUUUGGAAGAAUUAAAAUUUUAUUGUAUUCUACCACUCUUUUUUUUAUUCAAAUAUUACAUAAUCCUUUAUUAACUAAAAAUGACAUAAUUAAAAGUAAAUUAUCAUUUGAUUGCAAUGGAUUUAAUAGAAUAUGGUGGAUAUGCUAAAUUUUUGUCUGAUAAUAAAAUUUGAUUUGAGUGAAUAUAAUUAGAGUAAAAUAGUCUUUUUAACUAUCACUUUUACAAUAAAAAGUGUUUUAUUUAAACAAAUAUUUAAUAAAAUUUUAAAAACAUUUGAUAAAUAAUUAUUAUAAAAACUCUUCCUCGAAAAUACUUCAAAGUUCGUCGGAUGGUAAAUUAUACAUCAAGAUCUUAAUGAUGGUCCAUGCAACCAUCACCAUUGAUUGUUUUUGAAAACACAACUUCAAUUUAAAUAAUAUUUUAAGGUAACUCCUAGUUAUCAUAUUUUACAAGAUAUUUUUUAAAAUUAUUGUUUUUUUUCUUUCAAAAUCCUAAGAGAGAGGUCACCAAUAUCAAAAUAAUGUGACCCAUCUCUAUACUAUUGUCUCCAUUAUUUGGACUAUAUCAUAGUUUCCUUAUUGACAACAUGGUAGCCAUGUUAAAUACCUACAACUUUGAAAACAAGAUCUCAAAACUAUGCCUAUUUGAUUAUAAGGCUUAAUUAUUAUAGUUUAUCAUUUCCUAGCAUAUAUAGUUCUUAGCAUCUAAGUAUUUGUUAUAUAAGAAUUUUUCUCAUUUUUCAAGCUUGCAUUUUGUUUAGAAAUUUUUUGAGUUUUUUACAAUCAUUUUGAAAAUGUCAACUCAUAAUUAUAUACAUUUUAGUUCUAUAAGGACUAAAAUCACUUAACAUCAUGGUAAUACUAUUUAAGGUAAUUUGCUUUGAAUCAGAAUGAACUUAUAUACAACUUACGAUUUAUGGUAAUAAUAGAGAUCGAAUUUAAAAAUACAUAAGUUUUCAAUUAAAUAUUAAUAUAUUUAUGUUUCCUUCUUAUUUUUAAUCCUAAAACACAUUAAAUGUAUGCUCUUGAAUUCCUCCAUGUAAUGCGAUUUGAUAUAAUGAUAAAUCAACAAUUAUGAUUUAAUAAUAUGGUGCUUUGACUUUUGACAUUUAAGUAACACCGUCAAUAAAAGCUCCAUAUCUUUGCUUCAUGGAAGAACGUACAAAUGAUGUGAUUGAAUUACAUUUCAAUUAUGUUUGAUUCUUUGAAAAUACUCAAGAAAAAUAAAUAUUUAAAAAAAUAAUUUUCUCAUAUUUGAUUUUACUAUAAAAAAAAUACAUAAUUAAAAUUAGUAAUAAAUUUAAAUAAUUUUAAAUUACUUAAUCUUUAUAUAAAAAAGUUAAAUUAGUAAAACGAGUUUAAAACAUGAUAUAAAGGUAAUUUAUUGACUUUAAUUUUUUUUUUUUACUUCACUUUUUCUUUCCUUCUCUUUGAUGAGAUCAUCUUAGAUAAAUUGUUAAUUGAUUGCAGCAUAUUCAAUUGAAUUCGAUAGUCUAGGUAUCAUAAAUCAUACAUGUUGUGCACCAUUUACAGUAAAUGAACCGUCACAAACCAUACAUAGAGGAGAUGUUGAUUUCAUUAUAAAUCAUACGAUAAUUACAAAAGAUAUGAUAUUAACUUGCAGUAAAUUGCAACAUCGGCACUCUAAUGCUAGACAAAGUAACUAGACAAAGUAAGUCUAAUUAUUGCUAACUUUCCUCAUCUUUCUUGGGCCUUUUGGGUGCUUUUUGUGCAAAAGAGAAAAAGCUAUAACUAAAUUGCCAAUCCAUCACCGACGUUAUAGACUGAUGAAGAAUACCAAAGGGAGUGUUACGAAAUAAUGAGAAUAAAUAAUAAGAAAAAUAGAAUAAGAACACAUAGAUAUACGUGAAAAACUUUAGAUGGGAAAAAUCAUGAGAAAACGAGAAAAAGAUCCGUUAUGUCAAAAAUUGGUACAAAAUGGGAGAGUUGAAAGCGACUACAACAAAAGUAUAAUCAUCGUAACCCUAAAACUAUACAUCAUUAUUAUAUAUAUAUAUAUAUGUAUAUAUAUAUAUAUGCGAGAGUUGAGAACAACUAUGGGAUGAGGUCUAUCGACUCGAUCCCUUCACUACCCCCACAAAUCUCUCAAAAAAUCUCAUAAUUUUAACUUUACUACAUAUAUUGCAUCGCGAGCUUUUCGAAUUGAAUAAAAAAGAAUUUGGAAUCAUCAAACAGUAACAAAGGGAGUGAGAUCAUAACUUUGGAAGGAUUUUUUUUUUUUUUAAAUGUAGACUUGAAUGGUAAAUACUAAAAUGUGUUUGAGAGUGAUACUUGAAAGUAUUUUUAAUAUUUUUAAUAUUCGAAAAAUAAAAAAUUUUCAAAUAUUAAAAAUAUUUCCUAAAAUCAAUAUCAAAAACCAUUUUACAAAAUCAGUAUCAAACUAUCAAACAUAAUUUGAAUUUAAAUAGAGACAAGAACAACAUUGACUCUUGACUCACCAAACCAGUCCUAGUUCACUUAUUGAAUGAAAAGAAAAUAAUUAAAAAUAAAUAACAGCAUCCAUUCUACCAUGUUAUGAAGAGUAAAAGACAAUGGAGAUUUUAACUUUGUUGCCUUAAAAGUCAUGCCCCCUUUCAUGAGUAUAUAUAAUAAAAUAUAUUCGUUUGCAUCUCUUGAAUGCAAAUAAUUUGAUAAUUUUUUUAUAAUUAAUUUAUGAAGAUAACAAUUUGAUAAUUAGACAAUUAUGUUGAUAUUUUGACAUUAUUAUCAAUUUACCAAAUAAGAUUGUUUUUCACCCAACAAUAAUUUACUUAGAAUAAUAAAUAAAUUAAAUUAGCUAACGUAACCAAAGCAUUUGAUUAAAAAUUGGUUUUCAUUUACAAAGAUAAGUUGAAAAUUAAUUUUAAUUUGAUUUAAUUAGGAAAUUAAUUUUUUGCUUGUUAAGUUUGUUUUAAUUUGUAAAUUCAUGUAAAUAAAAAAAAGGAUAAAAAGAUAAUUUUCAUGUGAAAAUUCAUUUAAUUUGAAAAUAAAUGAUGUAAUGUGUUUCAUUGUCGGUUAGCAUUUUUCUUUUUUUCUUGUUUGUAUAACUUUUUAAAAUGUAAAAGAUAAUAAUAAAAUAAGAAAUAAUCAAUAAAUUAAAAAAAUAAAAUAAAUGAUCUCACUAAAAAUGUUUUUUUACCUUAUGUCAUAUGACUUGGAUUAUUUUUUUUCUCUUUUCAGUAAAACAAACUUUUAAUAUAAAUAAAAAAAUAAAAUAGGACAUAGAGGAAAAUAGCUAAAGAGUAUAAAAAAAAUUCAAAAUAAUGCACUAAAAAUGGAAAGAGAAUAUGGUGAGUAGUUGAAUAAUAAUAAAUAAAAAAAAGUCAAAAAAGCUUCAAUACUCUUUGAAUCCACUGUUAGUGAAUGCCAAAAGGCAUACAUCAUACACGCAACUAGAAAUAAAAUGGUAAAAUAUAAAGAAAAGAGUCAGAAAAAGCACGAAGACUACAAUUAAUAAUCGUGGCAGGACUUCGACUCUCGUGAACCCCCCACUGUCACUCAAUGCUAUAGGGUUACAGGCUUGGAGCCAAUCAAAGAUAAUUGAGACAGAAGAACCAGACAUCCUCAACACCAUCGUCUCAGACUCUCAGCAUUCAAAGACCCCUUUGUAUUUUCUUCUUCCAAAUUCUGUUCUUGUAAUUUUGUUACAAUCCAACCAUGGCUUCCACUAGCAAUCCCAAGAGACCCUCUUCUUCUUCUAAUUCUAAAUGGAGGUACGAUGUGGUCUUGAGUUUCAGAGGCGAGGAUACCCGCAACAACUUUACUAGUCAUCUCUACAAGGCUUUGGAUCAUGCCAACAUUGAAACCUUUAUAGAUGAUGAAGGACUUCCAAGGGGAGAAGAGAUUGCGCCCGAGCUCCUAAAAGCUAUUGAAGGAUCAAGGAUUGCCCUUAUUGUCUUCUCGAAAACCUAUGCUCAUUCCAAGUGGUGCUUGGAUGAACUCGUCAAGAUCAUGGAGUGCGAGAAAGAAAAGGGACAACAGGUUUUUCCUAUUUUCUAUCAUGUAGAGCCGUCUGAAGUCAGGAACCAGACUGGGAUUUAUGGAGAAGCAUUUAACAAUCACGAAAGAAAUGCAGACGAGGAGAAGAAGAAGAAGAAGAUAGAGCAGUGGCGGACUGCCUUAAGGAAAGCUGGUAAUUUGAGUGGAUUUCCUCUGCAGGAUAGGUAAUCCCUACUUCACUUUUUCCAUUCCCAAUUUUCUGUCAGUUUAUUUUCAUUCUUGUUAAUAAAUAAAAUAUUUAUGAUUACAUUUAUCAAUCAAAAUCCAUUUUUAAGUAGUAGACAUUAAUAUGUUCGAUUUCUUGGAAAGUAAUAAGAAAGAGUAAAAAAAAAAAAAAAAAAGAUUUUCUCACAUUUAAUUUAUUAUUAAAAUUAUAAAAGGAAAUCAAAUAUAAUUAAAAUAUAUCAGAAAAAAUUAUAUUUGCCCAGCAGGUGGAAAUGCCAAGUUUUGAAUUGUUAAAAAUCUUUAAGAUUCCAAAAUAUUCUUCCUUUCUAAUCGAUCCAUCUUAGCCAUAAUUUCUAUCAGUUAAAAAAAAUGGUAGUCUGUCAAAUAAAUUGUUAAAAUUGGUUAUUUAUAUGCCUUGUAAAUUUGGAGAUAAUCUGAGAUGAUUAUUUAAAAUAUUGUAAUACUACCCUAAAUUUUUUUGGACCCUCUUAUGGGACAAAAAACUUAGUUAUUGCACCCUUAACCUUUUUCAAUUUUAGAGGAAUUUUCCAUUACUUAAAUAAUUUUCUCUUCUUCUCUGUGCACUACAUGAGUUUACAUUUCUUCUUUACUUAAUAUUGUUUGUUCCUCUAUAUUUGCAAGUUGAUUAUUAAAUUUAUUUACCUUUUAAUCUAAUGUUUGUAUCUCGUUUUAUUCUAAUUAUCCCAUGACUCUUCUUAAGACCUUGUCUUUCACGUUGAAUCAUCUAAUGCUAAACUUAUUCCCUUACUAUUCUACUUUGUGUACUCAUGGGAUUAAUGUAUUGCAAUCAAAAUUAUUUUUUUUAAUCUCUUUUUCUCUUGUAUGUUCUACAUUCCUCUAUACCUCACAAAUAAAAGCAAGUAACCUUACAGCUUGUUUGACAAUAUAUUUGCAACUAAUGUUCAAAAAAUAGUUUUCCCCAACACAAUGUUGAAAAUAAUGAACAAAAUUUUAUUUGAAAAUUCAAAUAUGAAGAACGACUUUCUCGACUUAUUAACUAUGAAGGUGCUAUAAAUUUUUGUACAACAUAACAAUUCUCUAAGUAUUAUCUAUAUUUUCAAUUCUUUAUCACAAUACUCUAUAAGAAAAUACCUAAAAACAUUUCAAAUAUGCUCUUAAAAAUGAACUUGUUUACCAAACAAAUUUUUGAAAAUUAUUUUUAAUAAAAGAAAAAAUUAAAAAUAUAAUCAAGUGACAUGAAAUAUGGGAUGAAAAAUAAUAAGUUCUGUAUAUUAGAUUGACUAUACACACAGUUUAUAUUGGAUAUUACAAGAGAAGAAAUAAGAAACAAGAGACAUAAUAGAAAACUAACUUAUUCAUAAACUAACUUAUUCCUAAAUCAUAAAACUAUCUAUUUACAAAAAUAAAAAACUAAUAUAAUAUGAAAAUAAUUCUCCUAUUCUAUUUACAGCUCAAUUACAACCUAUUUACAGCUCAACACUCCCCCUCAAGCUAAGGAAUAGAUGUCUUCCAUUCCAAGCUUGAAUACAAGAUCGUGAAACAUUGAACUGUUCAGCCCUUUUGUUAGGAUAUCAACUAAUUGAUGUUUUGAUGGAACAUAGGACAUACACACUACUCCUUCCUCCAAUUUUUCUUUGAUAAAAUGCCUAUUAAUCUCAAUAUGUUUUGUCCUAUUGUGUUGUAUAGGGUUAUGAGCAAUAUUGAUAGCUGACUUGUUGUCACAAUAGAGCUUCAUAUGACCAUCCCACUUGAUUCUCAAAUCAUCUAGAAUAAUCUUCAGUCAAAGUAGUUCAUACAACCCUUGAGCAAUGUCCCUAAACUCUGAUUUUGCAGACGACCUUGCUACCACAUUCUGCUUUUUACUUUUCCAUGUUACCAGAUUACCUCGAGGAAAAGUACAAUACCCUAUAGUUGAUCUUCGAUCCACUAGGGAACCUGCAUAGUCAACGUCAGUAUAUGCUUCUAGAGUAAGAGUAUUGUUCUUUUUGAACAAAAUUCCUUUCCCGGGGUUGCCUUUCAAGUAAUGCAGCACCCUGUAAGCAACUUGAAGAUGAGGUUCUCUUGGAUCAUGCAUGAAUUGACUGAUCACGCUCACCGAGUAGGCGAUGUCUGGCAAGUGUGAGCAAGGUAUAUGAGCCUACCAACUAGCCUUUGGUACAUUCUUUUAUCCACCACUGGUUCUUCUUUAGCUUCUCCCAACUUGUGAUUUGGAUCCAUUGGGGUAGAGACUAGUUUACACCCAAUCUUCCUUGUUUCUGUCAAUAAAUUAGUCACAUACUUUUGUUGAUAGAUGAAGAUCUCUUGUGUGGAAUAUGCCACCUCAAUAUUGAGGAAGUGCUUUACUUUCCCUAGUUCCUUUAUCUCAAACUCUGUUGCUAAUCUUUGCUUCACUUCAUGCUUUUCUCUCUCAUCAUUUCCAGUCAUUAUGAUGUCGUCAACAUAGACUAGAAAAGCAAUUACUCCCCCUGUAGCCGAGUGCUUAAUGAAGAGAGUGUGGUCACCUUGGCUUUGCUUGUACCCAUACUCUUUCAUGACUUUUUCAAAUCUCUCAAACCAAGCCCUAGGAGAUUGUUUUAGCCUAUAAAGGGCCUUUUUCAGCCUACACACCUUGUUACCUAUGUUUCCCUCAAAUCUUGGUGGGAUGUUCAUGUAAAUCUCUUCAUCUAAAUCACCAUGAAGAAAUGCAUUCUUAACAUCAUACUAUAGGAGUUGCCAAUUGUAGUGGGUAGCCAAGGACAGUAGGAUUCUUAUAGUAUUCAUUUUUGCAACUGGAGCAAAAGCCUCCUGAUAAUCAACUCCAUAAGUUUGAGUGUACCAUUUGGCUACCAAUCUUGCUUUAUGUCUCUCAAGAGAUCCAUCAGUCUUAUAUUUCAGCGUGAAAAUCCACUUGCAAUUAACAAUGUUUUUCCCUUUCGUCUUUCAACAAUCUCCCAUGUUUUAUUAUUUUCUAAUGCAUUCAUCUCCUCUCUCAUAGCAUCCUUCCAUUCCCUUUUUGUCAAUACCUCAGAAACAGUGUUAGAGAUGAUAGUGGUGUUUAAACUCACAAUGAAAUUCUUGUGGGCUAGUGAUAGGUGCUUAAGAGACACAUAGUGUGAUAGUGGAUAGAGUGGUUAAUUAGUGCAUUAUCCGGUGCCUUUUCUGACAGCAAUGAGAAGGUCUAGGUCUAGGUUGUCUGUUGAGUCAAUGGAAGUUUCACCAAGUUGUGUAUGUAAAGGUGGGUCUAAUCUUACCGUGAUUUCAUUCCUAGGAUUUGAGUUGGAUUCUUGGACCUGCUAUUGUUCUGGAAUGACCUUUUCCCUUUAAUACAUCUUAGGAAACUGUGGAAAAUUACAAGUGACACUGGUUGGAAUAGGGAAUGACACGGGUUUAGUGGUAAAAUUGGGUGACUCAGGUGUGAUUAGUUCGGAUGACUCAAGUUCUUCAUCACCAUGGGUUGAGACAUGAGGAAGGUUAAGAGGUUCAAAGGAGUCACAAGGACUAUCCUCCAUCAUUGAAAUCUCCCCCUAAAUAGAGGACUUGGGAAAAAAGGUUUAUUUUCUGUGAAGGUGACAACUGCAGAGAUGUAAAAUUUUCUGGCUAAGGGAUUGUAACACUUGUAUCCUUUUUGAGUAGAUGAGUAAACCAAGGAAGACACAUUUUAUGGCUCGGGGGUCUAGCUUGUCUCUAUGAUGGUUGUGGACAUGAACAAAUGCAAUGCAUCAAAAUACACUAGGAGUGAGCCCAUAUGAGGUUCUAAAGUGUGGAUAGAAACUCUUAAGUAUCUCUACGGGGCUUUUGUUGUCUAACACUUGUGAGAGAAUUCUAUUUAUCAUGUAUGUGGCAGUAAGAACAGCUUCCCCCCAAUAGGACUUAGGAACAUUCCCUUGAAAGAGUAAGGCUCGGGUUGUGUUGAGUAAAUGCCCAUUUUUUCUCUCGGGUAUCCCAUUUUGUUGGGGUGUGUUAACACAUGAUGAGUCAUGGAGAAUGCCCUGUGAUUGAAAAUUGGGUGACAAAGUAUGGUUAAAGUAAUCUCUAGCAUUGUCUGUCUUAAAACUUUUUAUUUUAACCCCAAAUUGGUUUUGAACCAUUGAGUGGAAAUUAGGUAUAACAAUGCUAACAUCAGAUUUUUGUUUAAGAAGAAAGAUCCAUGUAAUCUGAGUGCAGUCAUCAAUUAAGGAUACAAACCAACGAGCCCCAUAAACAUUAGGUAUAGUCGAAGGACCCCAUAUGUCACUAAGAAUCAAAUGAAAAGGAUGAGAACUUCUUUUAUUGCUAAUAGGAAAAAAUUCACGAGUAUGUUUUGUCAAUUCACAAGUUUUGUAAUGAAACUUAGAAAUAUCUAAUCCUUGAAACAAAUGAGGAAACAUGACCUUUAAAACCCUAAAAGAUGGAUGACCUAGACGUAGGUGAUACAACCAAAUGGUAUCUUUAUUUAAGGAACUCUAAAAAGACACACAAAUUAUUACUAGUUUUCUGAGAUGAUUCAAGGUGAUAAAGACCGCUCAUUUCCUUAGCAAGUCCAAUCCUCCUUCCCGAGCCUUGUUCCUGAAAAACACAAUAAGAAUGGAAAAAAAUAGCAGAACAUUUAAGAUCAUGGGUAAGCUUUUGAAUGGAAACAAGGUUGGCCGACAAUUUUGGUACAUGGAGGACAUUUUUAAGAAUAAGGGUAGGUGUGAUAUAUAUGUCUCUGAAACCUGCAACGGUAACUAAAAAGCCAUUGGCCAUUGCAAUUUUCUUGUUACUUGGGUUUGAGGUAUAGGUAUGGAAAAGUUGAGAUUUGGAGGUCAUAUGGUCUGUGGCACCGAAGUCUAUUAUCCAAUAGUCAUUAUAAACCUUGUGUGAGGCAUUUAUGCAAAAUGAGAGUGAAGGUGUACCUGAAUUUUCCAACAUCUUCCACGAAAAAAAAAACCUGAUCUCUUGGGAAUUAAGGUAGAUCGCGAAACAAAAAAACCAGCAACAAUGAAGGUUGGUAAAAGAACACGUGAAUAAAAAAAAUCUAACUAUGAAGGCCAGAAAAAUGGCGAUGAAGGCCAGAAUGAUGCCCAGGUCUUAAAAACCUACUGCUCUGAUACCAUGACACGAAAUGUGGGAUGAAAAAUAAUAAGUUUUGUAUAUUAGAUUGACUAUAUACAUAGUUUAUAUUGGAUAUUAUAAGAGAAGAAAUAGGAAACAAGAGACAUAAUAGGAAACUAACUUAUUCCUAAAUCAUAAAACUAUCUAUUUACAAAAAUAGGAAACUAACAUAAUAGGAAAAUAAUUCUCCUAUUCUAUUUACAGCUCAAUUACAACCUAUUUAUAGCUCAACAUUAAGUUAUAAAACUAUUUUAUAUUCUAAAGAAAAAAAAAAUCUAUUUUCAAAAACAAUAUCUAUAUAAGCAUUUUUCUUUUAAGUAUGAUUUUAAAAUGUUUUUCCAUGAGUCUAAUUGUUGCUAGGAUUUUGACCAAUAAACAAAUAUGUGUGACUUUCCUCGUCAUUGUAAUUUAUAUUUGGGAAAAAAAUGGGGAUUUCAUCAAAAUAUGAAACUUAUGUAACAAUUAUUAGCAACCUAAAUAUAAAUAAAACUAAAACGGAGAAUUUACUUGUUUAUGGAAUAAAUAGUUGAAAAUUUUAUAAGCAUUGAGGAUGGUCAUAAAUCAUGUUGUAAUUAAUAAAAGCAUUUCUAGGUUAUGGAACUUGGGUGGCAAAUUGGUAGAUUUCUAGCCAAACUAGUAUUUGUCUCUAUAAUAAAAUCUCUUAUCAUAAAGGGUAAUGAUACUUUAGAAAGGUCAACUUCAAAUUGGGCCUUUAGAAGCAAUUAAGAUAUUUACAUUAUUUUAUUGCAUGUAUACUUGACAUGACAUAAUGAAAUUUUAUUUAAACAUGCAAUUCAACACAUUUUUAAUUUACAUUCUAUUUGACCUUAAUUUAAUGGCACCGAACGAAACUAAGAAUCAUUCUAUAAUUUCCAUUUACUUCAUCUUUGUUUUCUUUGACAAUUGAUUGUAGCUCACUGCAUGUUUUAUUGUACUUUAUAAUGGACAGAUUUGAGUCAGAGUUUAUUCAAGAAAUCAUUGGUGAGAUUCGAAGAUUAACUCCUAAGUUGGUACAUGUUGGUGAGAACAUAGUUGGAAUGGAUGAAAAUUUGAAAGAGGUGGAGUUAUUGAUAAACGCCCAAUCAAAUGGAGUGAGCAUGGUUGGGAUUUAUGGGAUUGGUGGGAUUGGUAAAACUACCAUUGCCAAGGUUGUUUACAAUGAUAUGUUAGAUCAAUUUCAACGUCACAGCUUUCUUGAAAAUGUGAGGGAGAAAUCUAAAGAUGAUCAUGGUUUGCUUGAAUUACAAAAAAAACUUCUUUGUGAUAUCCUAAUGGAGAAAAAUCUGAAGUUAAGAAAUAUUAAUGACGGUAUCAAAAUGGUAAAGAGGAAGUGUCGCAUUGAAAAGGUUCUCAUUGUUCUUGAUGAUGUAGAUUGUCAAAAACAAUUAAAAUUCUUAGCUCCUAAUUCUGAAUGUUUUCAUCAAGGAAGCAUAAUCAUCGUGACCACGAGAAAUAAACGUUGCCUAGAUGUACAUAAGUCAUAUUCAUCAUAUGAGGCUAAGGGAUUAGCACACACGCAAGCUAAGGAACUCUUUUGUUGGAAUGCCUUUCAGCAAGACCAUCCCGAGUAUGAGGACCUCUCUAAUUGUAUACUAGAUUAUGCUAAAGGCCUUCCAUUGGCUCUUGUAGUUUUGGGUUCUUUUCUCUAUCAAAGGGAUGUGGAUUACUGGGAAAGCACACUGCAUAAACUAAAAACAAACCCUCUUGAGGAUAUUCAAAAGGUACUCCAGAUAAGUUAUGAUGGACUAGAUAAUAAAUGGAAGGAGUUGUUUCUUGAUAUUGCAUGUUUCUUCAGAAAUGAGGAUAAAAAAGUUGUUACAAGAAUACUAGAAGGUUGCAAAUUCCAUCCUAAGUCUGGACUAACGGUUCUUCAUGAGAGGUGUCUUAUUUCUAUAACAGACGACACCAUAAGGAUGCAUGACUUGUUACAAGAAAUGGGUUGGGCAAUUGUUCGCCAAAAUUUUCCAGAACAUCCUGAAGAAUGGAGCAGAUUGUGGGAAUUACAGGAUAUUAAAAGUGUUUUACCACAAAAUAAGGUAGGAGAAAAAUACAUGAACUUACUUGAGAUCUAAAGACAUAUAAAAGAUUCAACAAGAAUUAUUUUUAUUAUUAUUAUAGUUUUGAGUAUCUUAUCUAUAUAAUUUUAGUGAAUCCCUAUGCAUCUUAUAUUGCUUAUUCUCAAUGCUUGUUUUCAGGGGACAAAAAACAUAGAGGGGAUAUCCAUAAAUCGGUCUUGGGAUAGUAAAAAACGUAUACAACUUACUGCUGAAGCUUUCAGAAAGAUGAAUCGACUUAGAUUGCUCAAAGUUAAAGGCGAUAUGGUGCAGCUUUCCUAAGACUUUGAAUUGCCUUGUCAUGAUUUAGUAUAUUUUCAUUGGGAUAACUACCCUUUGGAAUAUUUGCCAUCAAAUUUUCAUGUAGAAAAUCCUGUUGAACUUAACCUCUGGUACAGCAACAUAGAACAUCUUUGGGAAGGAAACAUGGUAUUGCUAUUAUUUAGUUAUAUUUUUGCUCUAGACUAAUUUUAAAGUCUUUUGAAGUUUACUUAUUGAAACGAAUUUUCUUCUGUUACAGCCUGCUAAAAAGUUAAAAGUCACUGAUCUUAGUUAUUCCAGGCAUCUGGUUGACAUUUCAAACAUCUCAAGUAUGCAAAAUUUGGAGACUCUAAUUCUAAAAGGUUGUACAAGGUUACUUAAGUGUUUCACCCAUGCUUAAUGUUAUUAUUAGUCAUGAACUAACUGUUUUCUUGAAUAUAAUAGGAUGCAAGAGACUUGAGAGUCUUCCAAGGAACUUUCAUAAGCUGGAAUGCCUUCAAACACUCUCUUGUGAUGGCUGUUCAAACUUAAAAGUUUUCCGAAGAUCAAGGAAGAAAUGAGAAGUCUAAGAAAGCUUAAUUUAAGUCAUACAAGUAUAAUGGAAUUAACAUCAUCAAUUAGGCAUCUAAAUGGGCUUGAAGAGUUGGACUUAAGUAAUUGCAAAAACCUUUUGAGUCUUCCGGACAGUAUUGGUAGUUUGAACUCUCUUCAAACUCUCGAUCUAGUUGAGUGUUCAAAACUAGUGGGUUUUACAAAUAUCAAUAUUGGAAGUCUAAAAGCUCUUGAAUAUUUGGAUUUGUCAUGGUGUGAGAACCUUGAGAGUCUUCCAAAUAGUAUUGGUAGUUUGAGCUCUCUUCAAACUCUUUUAUUGAUAGGGUGUUCAAAAUUGAAGGGCUUUCCAGAUAUCAAUUUUGGAAGUCUAAAAGCUCUUGAAUUGUUAGAUUUCUCACACUGCAGAAACCUUGAGAGUCUUCCUGUGAGCAUUUACAAUUUGAGCUCUCUCAAAACUUUGGGGAUUACAAAUUGUCCAAAACUCGAGGAAAUGUUAGAGAUUAAAUUAGGGGUUGAUUGGCCAUUUUCACCUCUAACCUGUCACAUUUCAAAUUCAGCAAUAACCUGGUAUGAUGACUGGCAUGACUGCUUUUCCUCAUUAGAAGCAUUAAACCCACAGUGCCCCCUGUCAUCACUGGUAGAAUUAUCUGUAAGAAAGUUUUAUGGCAUGGAAGAAGACAUCCUCAGUGGCAGUUUCCACCUAUCCUCAUUGCAAAUAUUAUCUCUAGGGAACUUCCCUAGCGUGGCAGAAGGAAUCCUCGAUAAGAUUUUCCAUCUAUCCUCGUUGGUAAAAUUAUCUCUUACUAAAUGCAAGCCAACGGAAGAAGGAAUCCCUGGUGAUAUUUGGAACCUAUCUCCACUGCAACAAUUAUCUCUACGUGACUGCAAUCUAAUGGAAGGAAAGAUCCUCAAUCAUAUUUGCCAUCUAACAUCCUUGGAAGAAUUAUAUCUGGGUUGGAACCAUUUUAGUAGCAUACCUGCUGGCAUCAGUCGACUUUCUAAUCUAAAGGCCCUUGACUUGAGUCAUUGCAAGAACCUUCAACAAAUUCCAGAGCUUCCAUCAAGUCUACGAUUUUUAGAUGCGCACUGUUCGGAUGGUAUUUCAUCAAGCCCCUCGCUUCUACCUAUUCAUUCUAUGGUCAAUUGCUUCAAAUCAGAAAUUGAGGUAUGAUUCUCAUGCCACGUUCCUCUUUCUUUUGUACCCAUUGAAUUUACAUGGUGCUUUUGUGCAGGACCGCAAGGUUAUUAAUCAUUAUUCUUACUUCUGGGGCAAUGGAAUUGGUAUUGUUAUUCCUAGAAGUAGUGGAAUUCUAGAGUGGAUAACAUAUCGGAAUAUGGGAAGGAAUGAAGUAACAGUAGAGCUCCCUCCGAAUUGGUAUAAAAAUGAUGACUUGUGGGGAUUUGCUUUAUGCUGUGUUUAUGUUGCACCUGCCUAUGAAUCUCAGUAUGAAUUAGGUCAUAUAUCUAAGGAUGACGCUGAACUUGAAGAUGAAGGACCAGGGUUCUGUUGUGAUUUGAGUAUCGAAGGAAAUAAUCAAUCAGGAGACGUGGGUUUUUUCCUUCUUUAUUCUUGCUGUGUUAAAUAUGAUGUGUCAGAUAUGCAGUGGGUGAUAUGUUAUCCCAAGUUAGCUAUUGAGGAAAGUUAUCACACCAAUCAAUGGACACACUUCAAGGCUUCAUUUGGUGGUGCCCAAGUGGAAGAGUGCGGAAUCCGUCUUGUAUACACAGAAGAUUAUGAACAGAAGCAUCCAGCAAUGGCACAAGGCAGUACUUCUCAUGGGAAUUUUGGUGAGCAUGGAUCGGUAAGAGAAGAUACUGAUAGUAAGCUCACAAUAAAAGGAAUCCCACAGAACAGAGCCCAAGAGAGGAGUCACACCAUAAAAGAUCCAUAGAAACCCAAGACUGAUCCCAAGUAUUAGGCUCAACCACACUUGCAUCACUAAUGCUAUCUUUACUGGUAAUUCAUCUUCCUUUCUCUUUCUAAUUCAAAGGUCAGAAUUUUUUUUUAUCGUGUUUCUCCUUUUUAUUUGUCUUUUUCCCCAAGACAAACAAAACUUUGAGGCUAUCACCCAUGGGCGCAAACUUCAAUGGUACACCUCCCAAGUUUGUUUUUCUCUCUCUCCAACCGUCUUUCCCUAGAUUUUUCUGCAUUUUCUUCAAACCCAUAUUUCCAUAUGAAAUUCAAUUACAUUCGAGCAUUUCAAUCUCUGUAGCUACUGUCUGAAUCAUUUAUAGGGUUUCUUUUUUCUGGAAGUUUGUAAUGUUAUUGAUUUAAGACUUCAUGUUUGGGGAUGUUUUGGGUGGCUUGUUCACUGGUAUUAAUUGUGAUAAUUGCAGCUCUGGUGCUUUCAAUGACUUUGACAAUAGUCGAAACUAUGUUGAAUGCUUGUACCAAGGGAAUGGACUUCAGUUGCUCUAGGGUUAGUGCUAUAACAUCAGUAUUCACUCUUCAAGAAUGUAUAUAGUUGUUGUUUUGGAAUUUUGAAAUUACUUAGCAUCAGACAAUUUCUAACUCGGGAUUUGGAUUGGGAACCAUAAGUUAUCAUUAGAGAGUGUAUGAGAAGGAAUUUUAGAGUGAGAUGGGUGAUGCAUGUUGAGGGAUGAAAGAGGGAUGUAUCUCACCCUAGAGUUCUUUGGAAUAAUUAUAGGAUUUUGUAAGUAACUUUGGACUUACUUGCAAUGUUCUGGAUUUGUGAAUAAUUUAUAGAAUGCAUUGGGUUUUUUUUUUUUGUUUUUUUUUUUGGUCCAUAAGAAACUAAAAGAACUUUGAGAGUGAAUAAUGUAUGACUGUACUCUUCUCUAUCUCUCUGGUCAUAGCACACGUAUGAUUUGGUACUUUUUUGCAGGCUUCAACAGCAGCAAAGCAUCUGGUGGCUUGCAGUACUAAUCUUACAUUAUAUUCUCUGUUUUGCAAUCAUUUGGUACUUUUUGUCCCAACCAAGGAUAGCUCUGUGCAACAGUCUCGACUGUGGAACAAGUAAAACAAAUGGUACCUGCUGAAGCUGAGAGGGCAGAUAAUAAAUUGGUGCGGAAGGUGGUCAACCAAAAGAAUCAGACAGCAAAAACUAAAAAAGCCGAUGAAGCCUGCUACUGAAGCAGUCUCAGCACCUGUUUCUAGGAGGGGUGAGAUUGAAGUGACUGAAGAAAAGGAGCGUGAGCAAACAAAGAAGGAAGAGGAGUUGGCCAGGAAGGUAGAGGAAUUGAGAAGUGAAGAGGAAGCAGCCAUGUUGAAGGAGAAAAGUCUGUUGGAGGAGAAAGCCAACGUUAAGAAGGCAUUGGAAAGGAAACAAGGAACUGCAGAAAAGGCCAAUUUCUCUGUGAGUGCUGCCACCUUUUCGUGAUACAGCCAUAAUAAUGGAUGUUAAAAGCAGUCUAACUCUACAUGGCGUUUAUUUUCCCCAGCCAUAGAUUGGAAUCUGCCAGUCUGACUCUCAUAAGAAAGAAAAUUUUCCAUCGAUCCUCGUAUGGAUUAUUGGAGAAGAUUUUAACAUGGAGUUCACAAGAGAGUUUCUAACACCCACUUAAAAGGACAUUUUAGAAAACUUAUUGAAAAAUAACAUGAGAGUACAUAAAUUUUUAGAUAUUUUUAAAAAUAUUUGAAAAUUUAAAUUAACUAAAAGUAUUUGAAAAAUAUUUGAUUGAAUUAACAAAUAUCAAGUAUUUGCAUAUGAAAAAAUAAUAAACAUUGUGAAGAAUUUUUUUAUUAAUUAGUGCAUAAUAAUUUUAUUUUCCUUUUAAUCACAAAUUAAUCUAUGGCAAAAUCUCAUAUUUGUUGUAGGGACAAUGUUGUCUUACAUUUUUCUUUCAUGAUGGACUCAAAUUUUAAUUUAAAUGUAGUAUAAAUAUAUAAUUAGAUUGAAAUUUCGUCCACUAAGAUUGAUUGGGUAUGAAUUUGAACCCUCGUUCGGGUCAUACUUCCAUCCAAUCCAAGCUUGUGGUUGGGCUUGAAUUUCUUGGCCCAACCAGUAAUGUCAUUGACCAAUAGCCCUUAGUUUGGGCUGGGCUUGAUGGUCCUCAGGCUAUGCAGACUUAAUACUCAUUGGGUUUGGGAUUCCAUGUAGUUGUAAUUAGAUUCUAUGUUUCCUAAUAUUAACACUAAAUUAGGUUUAAUUUAUAAUUAAAUAUAAUUAGAAGAGGAAAAUGAAAUAUCAUAUCCUUGCAAUGAGUUAUGUGGAUAUUUCAUUUAAAAAGUCUAAUGUGAAAGGUUGUUAUGGGUAGUCGUUUUUUGAUGCAAAUUUUCUAUGGAGUCCUAAUCUUAGAAGGCAAUAGAAAAUUCACAACCAAGAUUUCUUAAAAAUAACUACAUUAAAGUGUAAACAAAAUAUCAAACUAGAAUUUCUUAGAAAUAUCAAACUAGAAAGUGAAAUAUAAUACAAUUCAAGUAUGAAAAUGAAGGACAAAAGAAUAGACCAAAUUUGAAAGACCGUUCAAAGACUCGUUUCUUGUUACAAUCCAAUCAUGACUUCCACUAGUAGAGAUCCUCUUCUUCUUCUUCUUCUUCUAAUUCCAAAUUGAGGGACCAUGCGUUCUUGAGUACCCUCAAAAGCUUUUUUGAUCAUUUAUACUGUAUAACCUUACUUGUAAUAACUGUAUAAGAUAUUUGUGCUAAUUGAUAAGAUAUUUGUGCUAAUUGUAUAAAACAUGUCCUUAUACAUCUUGAAUUUAUAAAUUUAUGAAUUUAUGAAUAACCCAAUAAUCAAUGACUUCUUAAUAAAAUUUUUUUAAUUUUGUUGCCUUAAAAGUCAUGUCCCUCCUUUACAAAGCUUCUUAGAAAUUUCAUAUAUUUUUUUUUGUCAUCAUCUAUAUUUCAUAUUUCUUUUUCGUCUUCAAUAUUUGUGUAUAUAUCUAAAAUAAAACCUAUAAGAAAAUGAAAAAUUUACACUUAAAAAGUGUUUAUUUGAAAUUUAGGCAAUGAACUUAAAGGAGUUUGGAAUUACUCCUCGAAGUUGAUAUGUUUGUUUUAAAAUCAAAGUGGAUUUCAAUUUUCUUUAAAUCCACGUUAUGAUAUUACGGUAAUAUGUAGUGUCUUUAAAACCAUGGCUUCCUCUAGCAAUUCUAAGAGACCCUUUUACUCUUCUUCUUCUUCUAAUUCUAAAUGGAGGUACGAUGUGUUCUUGAGUUUCAGAGGCGAGGAUACCCGCAACAACUUUACUAGUCAUCUCUACAAGGCUUUGGAUCAUGCCAACAUUGAAACCUUCAAAGAUGAUAAAGAACUUCGAAGGGGAGACGAGAUUGCACCCGAGCUCCUAAAAGCUAUUGAAGGAUCAAGGAUUGCCCUUAUUAUCUUCUCGAAAACCUAUGCUCAUUCCAAGUGGUGCUUGGAUGAACUCGUCAAGAUCAUGGAGUGCAAGGAAGAAAAGGGACAAAAGGUUUUUCCUAUUUUCUAUCAUGUAGAGCCGUCUGAAGUCAGGAAACAGACUGGGAUUUAUGGAGAAGCAUUUAACAAUCACGAGAGCAAUGCAGACGAGGAGAAGAAGAAGAAGAUAGAGAAGUGGAGGACUGCCUUAUGGAAAGCCGGUAAUUUGAGUGGAUUUCCUCUGCAGGAUAGGUAAUCCCUACAUCGCUUUUUCCAUUUCCCAUUUUCUGUCAGUUUAUUUUCAUUCUUCUUAAUAAAUAAAAUAUUUAUGAUUACAUAUAUCAAUCAAAAUCCAUUUUUAAGUAGUAGACAUUGAUUAAUAUGUUUGAUUUCUUGGAAAGUAAUAAGAAGAGUUAAAAAAAAAUGAUUUUCUUAUAUUUAAUUUAUUAUUAAAAAUAUGAAAGAAAAUAAAAUAUAAUUUAAAUACAUUGGAAAACUAUAAUAGGAAUAAUAUUAGAUAAUGUAUGAUAGCUGUUGUGGGCUCAUUCAGUCACAGCAGGUGAUAACAGUCAAUAAAAUAAAAUAAUUAUCCCAAAUGCCAAGUUUUGAAUUGUUAAAAAUUCUUAAGAUUCCAAAAUGUUCUUAGUUUCUAAUCAAUCCAUUUCAGCCAUAAUUUCUAUCAAUUUAAAAAGAUGGUAGUUUGUCAAAUAAAUUGUUAAAAUUGCUUAUUUAUAUGCUUUGUAAAUUUGGAGGUAAUCUAGGAUGAUUAUUUAGAAAAUUGUAAUACUGCCUUAAAUUUUUCUAGACCCCUCUUAUGGGACAAAAAACUUAGUUAUUAAACCCUUUACCUUUUUCAAUUUUUGAGGAAUUUUCUAUUACUAAAAUAAUUUUCUCAUAUUCUCUAUGAACUACAUGAGUUUACAUUUCUUCUUUCCUUAAUAUUGUUUCUUCCUUUAUAUUUGCAAGUUGAUAAUCAAAUUUAUUUGCCUUUUAAUCUAUUGUUUGUAUCUCGUUUUAUUCUAAUUUUCCAUGACAUCAAGAUAAUUAAUCUCAUCUUAAGACCUUGUCUUUCACAUUGAAUCAUCUAAUGCUAAAAUUAUUCUCUUGCUAUUCUACUUUGUGUACUCAUGGGAUUGAUAUAUUGCAAUCGAAAUUGCAUUUUUUUUUCUCUUUUUCUCUAGUAUGUUCUACAUUCCUCUAUGCCUCAAUUACAAAUAAAAGCAAGUAACCUUAGAGCUUGUUUGACAGUAUUUUUGAAAAUAAUGUUCAAAAAAUAGUUUUCCCCUAGCCAAUUUUGAAAAUAAUGAACAAAAUUUUACUUGAAAAUUCAAAUAUGAAAAAUGUCUUUCUCGACUUAUUAACUAUGAAGGUACUAUAAAUUUAUGUACAAUUUAACAAUUCUCUAAUUAUUAUCUACAUUUUCAAUUUUUGAUCACAAUACUCUAUAAGAAAAUACCUUAAAACAUCUCAAAUGUGCUCUUAAAGAUGAACUUGUUUACCGAACAAAUUUUUGAAAAUAAUUUUUAGUAAAAAUGAAAAUUAAAUAUAUAUUUAAGUUAUAAAACUAUUUUAUAUUCUAAAGAAAAAAAUCUAUUUUCAAAAACAAUAUCUAUACAAGCAUUUUUCUUUUAAGUAUCAUUUUAAAAUCUUUUUCCAUGACUCUUAUUAUUGCUAGGCUUUUGACCAACAAACAAACAUGUGUCACUUUCCUUGUCAUUCUAAUUUAUAUUUGGGAAAAAAAUGGGGAUUUCAUCAAAAUAUGAAACUUAUGUAGCAAUUAUUAGCAACCUAAAUAUAAAUAGAACUAAAGUGAAAAUUUACUUGUUUACAAAAUAAAUAGUUGAAAGUCUUAUAAGCAUAGAGGAUGGUCAUAAGUCAUGGUGUAAUUAAUAAAAGCAUUGCUAGGUUAUGGAACUUGGGUGACAAAUUGGUAGAUUUCUAGCCAAACUAGUACUGGUCUCUAUAAUAAAAUCUCUUAUCAUAAAGGAUAAUGAUACUUUAGAAAGGUCAACUUCAAUUUGGACCUUUAGAAGCAAUUGAGAUAUUUUCAUUAUUUUAUUGAACAUAUACUUGACAUAACAUAAUGAAAUUUUAUUUAAACAUGCGACUCAACACAUUUUUAAUUUACAUUCUAUUUGACCUUAAUUUAGUUGCAUUGAAUGAAACAAAACACCAUUCUAUUAUUUCCAUUUACUUCAUCUUUGUUUUCUUUGGCAAUUCAUUCUAACUCACUGCAUGUUUUAUUAUACUUUAUAAUGGACAGCCCUGAGUCAGAGUUUAUUGAAGAAAUCAUUGGUGAGAUUCGAAGAUUAAUUCCUAAGUUGGUACAUGUUGGUGAGAACAUAGUUGGAAUGGAUGAAAAUUCGAAAGAAGUGAAGUUAUUGAUAGACUCCCAAUCAAAUAAAGUGAGUAUGGUUGGGAUUUAUGGGACUGGUGGGAUUGGUAAAACUACCAUCGCCAAGGUUGUUUACAAUGGUCUGUUAGAUCAAUUUAAGCGUCACAGCUUUCUUGAAAAUGUGAGAGAGAAAUCUAAAGAUGAUCCUGGUUUGCUUGAAUUACAAAAAAAACUUCUUUAUGAUAUCCUCAUGGAGAAAGAUUCGAAGAUAAGUAAUAUUGGUGAAGGAAUAAAAGAGAUAAAGAGUAAGUGUUGCUUUGAAAAGGUUCUUAUUAUUCUUGAUGAUGUAGAUUGUCUAAGACAGUUAGAAUUCUUAGCUCCUAAUUCUGAAUGUUUUCAUCGAGGAAGCAUAAUCAUCGUGACCACAAGAAAUAAACGUUGCCUAGAUGUACAUAAGUCAUAUUCAUCAUAUGAGGCUAAGGGAUUAGCACAUGAGCAAGCUAAGGAGCUCUUUUGUUGGAAUGCCUUUAAGCAACACCAUCCAAAAGACAAUUAUGUGGACCUCUCUAAUCGUAUACUGGAUUAUGCUAAAGGCCUUCCAUUGGCUCUUGUAGUUUUGGGUUCUUUUCUUUAUAAAAGGGGUGUGGAUGAAUGGGAAAGCACAUUGCAUAAACUAAAAACAACCCCUUUCAAGGAUAUUCAAAAUGUGCUCCAGAUAAGUUAUGAUGGACUAGAUGAUAUAUGCAAGAAGUUGUUCCUUGAUAUUGCGUGCUUCUUCAAAGAUCACAAUAAAGAAUUUGUUACAAGUAUACUAGAAGGUUGUGAUCUCCAUCCCAAGAUUGGACUAAAAGUUCUUGAUGAGAGGUGUCUCAUUUCUAUAUUGGGUGGCACUAUAAGGAUGCAUGACUUGUUACAAGAAAUGGGUUGGGCAACAGAUUGUGGGAAUAUGAGGAUAUUAAAAGUGUCUUUACAAAAAAUAUGGUAAGAGAAAAAUAUAUGAAUAUACUUGAGAUCUAGAUCUAAAGACAAAAGAUUCAACAGUCUUUAUUUUUAUUAUUAUUAUAGUUUGAGUACCUUAUCUAUAUAAUUUUAAUGAAUCCCUAUGCAUCUUAUACUGCUUAUUCUCAAUGCGUGUUUUCAGGGGACAAAAAACAUUGAGGGGAUAUUCAUAAAUUGUACUAAAGCAAAACCUAUACAAUUUACUGCUGAAGCUUUCAAAAAGAUGAAUCGACUUAGAUUACUCAAAGUUGAAGAGGAUAUGGUGCAGCUUUCCCAAGACUUUGAAUUGUCUUGUCAUGAUUUAGUAUAUUUUCAUUGGGUUGCAUACCCUUUAGAAUCUUUGCCAUCAAAUUUUCAUGCUGACAGUCUCGUUGAACUCAACCUCCAGUACAGCAACAUAAAACAUCUUUGGGAAGGAAACAUGGUAUUGCUAUUAUUUAGUUAUACUUUUGCUCUAGACUAAUUUUAAGGUCUUUUGAAGUUUACUUAUUGAAACAAACUAUCUUCUGUUACAGCCUGCUAAAAAGUUAAAAGUCAUUAAUCUUCGGCAUUCCAAGCAUCUGGUUGAUAUUUCAAGCAUCUCAAGUGCGCCAAAUUUGGAGAUUUUAAUUCUAGAAGGUUGUACAAGGUUACUCAAGUGUUUCACCCAUGCCUAAUGUUACUAUUAGUCAUUAACUAACUGUUUUCUUGGAUAUAAUAGGGUGCAUAAGACUUGAGAGUCUUCCAAGGAACCUUCAUACAUUGUGAAGAAUUUCUGAACUCCUUUAUUGAUAUUUUAUCGGUACACACCAUACACAUAUAUAUACACAUAUAUAUACACAAAUGACUGAAUAAGAAAGAAUCAAUCUAGCUUAAUUCUCUCCUAAAAUUAGGAAACUAAAUCAUAAGGAAAUAUCCUAAAUGAUCUCUCAUUUUUUAUUCCUAAAUUAAAGUCCUAACUUUGGCAUUAUUUCAACACUCCCCCUCAAGCUGGAGAAUAUAUAUCAUAUAAUCCCAGCUUGCAAGUUAAGUCUUCGAAGUUAGGCCUAGGUAAAGCUUUGGUGAGGAUGUCUGCGGUUUGGUGCUUGGUAGGAACAUAGUUCAAUUUGACCGUCUCACUAGUCACCUUCUCUGUGAUAAAGUGUCUGUCAAUCUCAACAUGCUUGGUCCUGUCAUGAUGCACGGGGUUCUUUGCUAUGCUUAUAGCUGCCUGAUUAUCACACAUCAUCUGAAUUGGAGAUGAACUCGUUUGUCCCAGUUCACUAAGAACCCUUUUUAUCCAAAUCCCUUCACAGAUUCCCUGUGCAAGAGCUCUGUACUCAGCUUCUGCACUACUUCUGGCUACAACUGAUUGCUUCUUACUCCUCCAGGUAACAAGAUUUCCCCAGACAAAAGAACAAUAUCCGGAAGUGGACCGCCUGUCAAUGAUGUUUCCUGCCCAAUCCGCAUCUGAGUAUACUUCAGUGUCACGGUUCUCUGUCUUUCUGAAGAAUAGGCCUUUCCCUGGUGUCAUUUUUAAAUAUCUAAGAAUCCUGUAGACUGCUUCCAUGUGUUCCUCAGUGGGGCUGUGCAUGAAUUGACUUACAACACUCACUGCAAAGCCAAUAUCUGGCCGAGUGUGUGAGAGAUAAAUCAAGCGCCCGACAAGCCGCUGAUAUCUCCCCCUGUCUACUGGUGUACUUUCUUUCUCGAUACCAAGUUUCUUCUGACUAUCCAUAGGAGUAUCAAUUGGUUUGCAUCCAAGCAUACCGGUCUCCUUAAGAAGAUCGAGUAUGUAUUUUCUUUGAGAGACUACGAUUCCCUUCCUUGAUCUAGCCACUUCCAUACCAAGGAAAUAUUUCAAAUUUCCAAGGUCUUUAACUUCAAACUCUUCUGACAAAUACUUCUUCAAAUUCUGUAACUCCCCCAUAUCAUUCCCAGAUAGAAUAAUAUCAUCGACAUAGACUAUCAAUAUGGCCAAUUUCCCGGCAUGAGACUUCUUGACAAAUAGAGUAUGAUCAGCCUGACCUUGUUUGUAGCCCAGCUUCAGGACUGCUUUUGUGAAUCUAUCAAACCAGGCUCGAGGAGAUUGUUUAAGGCCGUACAAGGAUUUUUGGAGUUUGCAAACCUGAUUCUUUGCCAUACUUUCUUCGAAACCAGGUGGUAUUUCCAUGUAGACUUCCUCUUCUAGGUCCCCAUUUAGAAACGCAUUUUUUAUGUCCAGUUGUUGCAAGCACCAAUCUUGAUUGACAGCCAAUGAGAGAAGGAUCCUGAUAGUGUUCAGUUUUGCAACAGGAGCAAAAGUUUCCUGAUAGUCUAUCCCAUAGGAUUGUGUAAACCCUCUAGCUACCAAACGAGCCUUGAAUCUUUCGAAUGAUCCAUCUGCUUUGUAUUUUAUGGUGAAAAUCCACUUGCACCCCACAGGCCUCUUCCCAACCGGCAAAUCUGUGAUAGUCCACGUCCCAUUCUUCUCAAGUGCAUCAAUCUCAUCUUGUACUGCCUUCUUCCAUUCUGAAAUUUUUAAUGCCUCUUGUAUUGUGUUGGGAACCUGAGUAUCAUCAAGAGAAGUAGCAAAUGCUCUGUAAGAUGGUGAUAAUCCUUCAUACGUAACAUAAUUCCCAAUUGGAUGAUCUGUACAUCUCCUAACACCCUUCCUCAAUGCAAUUGGCAAAGUAGAAUCAUCAAUGCUGGGAAUUAACACCUCUCCAUCCCUAUCCUCACCUAUGUUCUCUUCAGGAAGACUUGAAUUGGAGUCAAUAUAUUGGCCACAUGUUGACUGUGAUCCGUGCUCUAAUUCCUGUCUUUUCCUCCUCCUGAUGUAAACUUGUAAGUUCUCAUUAGCAAGUUGUGGGCUAUAGGUUGAAUAGGCAUGGGAGACUGGAUGGUCACGGGAGAAGGAACAUUUGUGUGCUGGGCUGGCUGAACUGAUGGCGGCAUGGGUGUGGACAACUCAGUGGGCGUGAAUUGGGAAGGAUUUGGUGACUCUGAGUGAAAAGAAGGUACACCCUCAAGAAAAGACUCCCAAACUUGAUGUUCAUUCAUGCUCUCCCCCUGAACAUGAGAUUUGGGAUAGAAGAAGACAUGUUCAAAGAAAGAGACGUCCAUGGUGGUGUAAAAUCUUUUGUUGGUUGGAGAAUAGCAUUUGUACCCUUUUUUGGUUGGAGAAUACCCUAGAAAAAUGCACUUAUUUGCUCGAGGAGCAAAUUUGCUACAAUUUUGAGGAUACACAUGAACGAAUGCUGUGCAACCAAAUACUUUGAGUGGUAAAUCAGAAGAGGCGGCAUGGGUGUGAGGAAACUGUUUUAAGAAAAGUUGACGUGGGGAUUGAAAGGUAAGCACUCUGGAUGGCAUACGGUUAAUCAAAUAGGUAGCUGUGAGAAUAGCUUCCCCCCAGAAAUAGUUUGGAACCUUAGAGGAAAACAUAAGGCACCGGGCAACCUCCAAGAGAUGUCUAUUCUUGUGUUCAGCCACCCCAUUUUGUUGUGGGGUGUCAACGCAAGAACUUAUGUGGAUAAUGCCAUGAUUUUGAAGAUAAGUACUGAGACUACUAGUAAAGUAUUCCUUUGCAUUAUCUGACUUGAGGACUUGUAUUUUGGAAUUGAAUUGAUUUUGAACCAUAAGAUUGAAGGUUUGAAAAAUGUGCCCGACCUCUGACUUUUCUUUCAUAAGGAAAACCCAUGUUACCCGAGUAUGAUCAUCAACGAAUGUCACAAACCAUCGAGUGCCAGAAAUAUUUUUUAUCCGGGAGGGACCCCACACAUCACUAUGUACUAGAGAGAAAACAGUCGAAGGUUUGUAUGGGAUUUGAGGAUAUACUGUUCGAGUAUGCUUUGCAAACUGACAAAUUUCACAGUGAUAAGAUGCUGGAUUUUUAUUGAUAAAUAAUUUGGGAAACAAUUUCGCAAGGUAAACAAAGCUAGGAUGACCAAGGCGAUAGUGUAACAUUAUAAUCUUACUAUCUUUAUUGACCUUAGAAUUUGACACAGAAUUGAAAGACUCUGACAUACUCUGAGACUGUACGCAACUUGCUUGAGAGACUUGGUUUGAGAAUUGGCCACAUGAAAGGAGGUAGAGCCCGGAACACAGUUCAGCACUGCCAAUCAUCUUCCCCGAUUUCAAGUCCUGAAAAACACACAAGUUUGGAUAGAAUUUAGUAACACAUUGGAGAUCACGAGCCAAUUGGCUAAUGGACAAAAGAUUACAAUCCAAGUUUGGAACAUGGAGGACAGAGUCAAGAUAUAAGUCUUUAGUAAGUUUUAUAGAACCUGUCCCGGCAAUUUUUGACUUUGAACCAUCAGCAAUAUGGACGGAUGAAUGACCAUUACUUGGCUUGUAAUUUUGAAGAAUGGCAGCAUCUCCUGUCAUGUGAUCAGAAGCACCUGUGUCUACUAUCCACGGCCUCAUUCCUCCUCGAUUAGCAGUGAAGGCUACACCGGUAGUACUGCCGCUGCCAACUUGGCUUAAUAAUUUCUGUAGCCUCUCCAUCUGCUCUUUGUUGAAUGGACUCGGCUCGGGAACAGAUGUGCUCUCAGAGUUGGCAGCCACGUGUGCUCUGCCAUCUCUGUCAAACCGUGGCUUUGGUUUCCAAUCAGCCGGUUUGCCAUGAAGCUUCCAGCAAGUCUCCUUAUAAUGGCCUGGUUUCUUACAAUAAUCACACCAAGGCCUAUCCCGUUUCUGACGAUCUCCACCACUACUAUUAAAUGACCGAGCAGCAAGGGCAGAGGCAUCCAAUGUUGGGGCAGGUUGCUCUUUUGAUCCCAUCAUCACUUUCUUUCUACUUUCUUCACGCCUAACCUCUGAAAAAGCCUCCCUGAGACUUGGCAGGGGUUUAAUGCCCAUGAUUCGGCCUCUAACAUCAUCCAAUUCCCUGUUUAGUCCUAGGAAGAACUUGAACAGUCUCUUUUGUUCCACAAUUUGCCUGUAUGUUGCUGCAUCAUCCGAACAUUUCCAUGAGUGAGUCUCAAAUAAGUCAAGUUGCUGCCAAUACCUUGUGAGUGUGUUGUAAUACUGAGUAACUGACUGCUCUCCUUGGCGGAAGUCAUGUAGAGCUGAUUCAACCUGAAACAGUUCUGAAGUAUUUUCAGAACUUGAGUAAGUUUCUUUGGCUGCAUCCCAUAUGUCCUUUGCAGUCCCAAACAACAAGAAAUUUUCGCCUAUGUCAUUGUUCAUGGAAUUGAUAAGCCAUGACAUGAUCAUGCUGUUUUCAAUCUUCCACUUCCUAAAACCCGGUUCUGUAGUUUCUGGCAUGACUGCUUCUCCAGUGAGGUACUCAUCCUUUCCUUUACCGCAAAUGAACAGCAACACAGAUUGUGACCACUGUAAAUAGUUAUGGCCAUUUAAUUUGUGUCCUGUGAUGAGAAUAGGAGAGGAAUCAUUGCCACCAAGGUUUGGAAUUUCAGAUCUGCCCCCUGAUUCUGGUGACGUGACGCUGGAUACUUGUGAUGAUGCCAUUCUGUAUUUUGUCAUGGACCGGAAAGGUAGAAGAACACUUCCCAAGGCACGUGCAGGGACUGGAGUUGAGAAAAAAUAGCCGGAGGACGCCGGAAAAUCUUAUCAGAGGGCCCGCGGAAGCAAAAGAACCCCAAAAGAGGCACGUGCAGGGCUCGGAUUGCACAAACAGGUAGGAAGGGUGGCUGGUCGGCGUCAGGCGAGCCUGGAGGAGGAAGCGCGUCGCCGGAAAGUGGCUCACGUGCCCUCACGCGCCGGCGCGUGAGAUGCAGUCGCCGGCCGGAAAAACGCGCGUGGGCGGCGCGUGGAUGGGUUUCUGGUUCCGGUGCUUUGGGACAAAUUGGAGAUCUCCUCCAGGCGCUCCUUGCGGUGUAGAAAAAAAACCGUCGCCGGAAAGUUCGCCGGAAAAUUUUGCCGACGGUGAGUGUUUUCUGACGACGAUUCGACUGAUCGGAAAGCUUUUUCUCCCUUGGCUCUGAGAACAGGGACUGAUGACCGGAAUGAGAGAGAGAGAGAGAGAGAGAGAGAGAGAGAGAGAGAGAGAGAGAGAGAGAGAGAGAGAGAUGAUCGGAUUGAGAUAUGGCCAGAGAGAUUUGGCCGGAAUGAGUGAUGGCCUGAAUAAGAGGUGGCCAGAAGGGAUUAGGGUUUCAGAAAACUGGCUCUGAUACCAUGAAGAAUUUCUGAACUCCUUUAUUGAUAUUUUAUCGGUACACACCAUACACAUAUAUAUACACAAAUGACUGAAUAAGAAAGAAUCAAUCUAGCUUAAUUCUCUCCUAAAAUUAGGAAACUAAAUCAUAAGGAAAUAUCCUAAAUGAUCUCUCCUUUUUUAUUCCUAAAUUAAAGUCCUAACUUUGACAUUAUUUCAACACAUUGGAAUGCCUUCAAACACUCUCUUGUUAUGGUUGUUCGAAGAUGAAGAGUUUUCCGGAAAUCAAGGGUAAUAUGGGAAGUCUAAGAGAACUUGAUUUAAGUGAAACAGAUAUAAUAGAAGUACCAUCAUCAAUCAGGCAUCUACAUGGGCUUAAAACCUUGAAGUUAAGUGAUUGCUUAAACCUUGUGAGUCUUCAGGUCGGUAUUUGUAGUUUGAGCUCUCUUCAAACUCUUUUGAUGGAUGGGAGUUUAGAACUAAAGGCCUUUCUAGAUAUCAAUAUUGGAAGUCUAAAAGCCCUUGAAUGGUUAGAUUUGUCAUAUUGCGAAAACCUUGAGAGUCUUCCGGAUAGUAUUUGUAGUUUGACCUCUCUUCAAACUCUUUUGCUGAAUGGGUGUUCAAAACUGAAAGCCUUUCCAUACAUCAAUAUUGGAAGCCUCAAAGCUCUUGAAUUGUUAGCUUUGUCAUAUUGCGAAAACCUUGAGAGUCUUCCGGACAGUAUUUGUAAUUUGACAUCUCUUCAAACUCUCAUGUUAAAAGAGUGUUCAAAAUUGAAGGGCUUUCCAGAUAUCAAUAUUGGAAGUCUAAAAGCUCUUAAAUUGUUAGAUUUGUCAUAUUGCGAAAACCUGACAGUAUUUGUAGUUUGACCUCUCUUCAAACUCUUUUGCUGAAUGGGUGUUCAAAAUUGAAGGCUUUUCCGGAUAUUAAUAUUGCAAAUCUAAAAGCUCUUGAAUUGUUAGAUUUUUCAUAUUGUGAAAACUUUGGGAGUCUUCCAGAUAGGAUUUGUAGCUUAACCUCUCUUCAAACUCUUUUGUUGAAAAAGUGUUCAAAAUUGAAGGCCUUUCCAGAUAUCAAUAUUGGAAGUCUAAAAGCUCUUAAAUUGUUAGAUUUGUCAUAUUGCGAAAACCUUAAGAGUCUUCCAGACAGUAUUUGUAGUUUGACCUCUCUUCAAACUCUUUUUUUGAAUGGGUGUUCAAAAUUGAAGGCCUUUCCAGAUAUCAAUAUUGGAAGUCUAAAAGCUCUUGAAUUGUUAGAUUUGUCAUAUUGCAAAAACCUUGAGAGUCUUCCGCAUAGUAUUUGUAGUUUGACCUCUCUCCAAACACUUUUGUUGAAUGGGUGUUCAAAACUGAAGGCCUUUCCAGAUAUCAAUAUUGGAAGUCUAAAAGCUCUUAAAUUGUUAGAUUUGUCUUAUUGCAUAUACCUUGAGAGUCUUCCGCACAGUAUUUGUAGUUUGACCUCUCUUCAAACUCUUUUGUUGAAUGGGUGUUCAAAAUUGAAGGCCUUUCCAUGUAUCAAUAUUGGAAGUCUAAAAGCUCUUAAAUUGUUAAAUUUGUCAUAUUGCGAAAACCUUGAGAGUCUUCCGGAUAGUAUUUGUAAUUUGACCUCUCUUCAAACUCUUUUGCUGAAUGGGUGUUCAAAACUGAAGGCCUUUCCAGAUAUCAAUAUUGGAUGUCUAAAAGCCCUUGAAUUGUUAGACUUCUCAUAUUGCAAAAACCUUGAGAGUCUUCCGCACAGUAUUUGUAGUUUGACCUCUCUUCAAACUCUUUUGCUGAAUGGGUGUUCAAAACUAAAGGCUUUUCCAGAUAUCAAUGUUGGAAGUCUAAAAGUUCUAGAAUUGUUAGAUUUGUCAUAUUGCGAAAGCCUUGAGAGUUUUCCGGACAGUAUUUGUAGUUUGACCUCUCUUCAAACUCUUUGGCUGAAUGGGUGUUCAAAACUGAAGGUCUUUCCAGAUGUCAAUAUUGGAAGUCUAAAAGCUCUUGAAUUGUUAGAUUUGUCAUGUUGUAAAAAGCUUGAGAGUCUUCCGAUGAGCAUUUGCAAUUUGAGCUCUCUCAAAACUCUGCGGAUUAAAGAUUGUCCAAAACUCAAGGGAAUAUUAAAGAUGAACCUAGGGGUUGAUUUAUGCUCCUCGAGAUCUUUGAAUCUGACUUGUCACAUUUCAAAUUCAGGAGUAAUCUGGGAUAAUGACUGCUUUUCCUCAUUAAAAGCAUUAAAUCCAUGGUGCCCCCUGUCAUCACUGGUAGAAUUAUCUGUAAGAAACUCUAAUCUCAUGGAACGAGACAUCCUCAGUGCUAGUUUUCGCUUAUCCUCAAUGCAAAUAUUAUCUCUAAGGAACUUCCCUUUGAUGGUAGGAGGAAUCCUUGAUGACAUUUUCCAUCUAUCUUCAUUGGUAGAAUUAUCUCUUAGUGAAUGCAAUCUGAUGGAAGUAGGAACCCUCCAUUAUGUUUGGAACCUAUCUUCACUGCUAAGAUUAUAUCUAAGAAACUGUAAUCUAAUGGAAGGAGAGAUCCCCAAUCAUAUUUGGCACCUAUCAUCAUUGUGUAGACCCUCAAUUUUGUCCCUUUAGCACAUGUCUUUAAAAUUCGUUUUCAAUGCUCCACAAUAGUUCCUUGGUGGCCCAUGGCUACUCAUACCACUUACCUUUUUCUGAGUCACCUCGGAGAUUUUGGUUGAGGGAUUAUUUGAUCCCUUAUUGUGACCCUUGGCAGCCCUAACUUAGACUUAGGCUUUUCUUGUUUUUUUAGGAUAGCUUUUAGAUACACUUGGCCCAUUAGGCACUACCCUAGGCCCACUUAGUCUCACCUUAGGCCCGUUUAGGCACACUAGGCCUACGAAGACUUUUAUUUUAUUUUAUUUUAUUUUAUUUAUUUAUUUAUUUAUUUUGUUUUUAGUUUUAAUUUUAUGAUUAUCAUUCACUUUUUAUUGGUUAUCUUCCUCUUUAUAUCAUUUUCCUUAACUUAUUUAUUUAUUUAUUAUUUUUACCAUUUUUUAAUUUAUUUACUUAUUUAUCUAUUCAUGCAAUUAUUUAACUUCAAAAAUUUCAUGUUUUUGCAAGGAAACUUACCAUUGGAGUUUAAGGAAGGCGGGACUCUCCUUGGAAGGUUUUGGAGGGGAAUUUGAAAUUGGGAAGAUUGCUUUUGAUUGGAGGAUUUAAAAAAAGAAGAGAAGAAGAAAGGAAAGAGGAGAAUUUUCCUUUUUGGAAACAAAUUUAGGUCUUGAGGGGUGAUAUAUAUAGGUGAGAAAAGGAAAAGAAUAGGGGGAUUUUUCUAGGGGGGCAGGGCACACGGAAUUUUGAAAAAAAAGCAAGGGACUUCGAACGGAGAUCGGGCUGUCAUUUAAUCAUCAAGAGAGGAUUUUCUCUCACUUCAAAGGUUAGUUUUCUAUAUAGUACUUUUAUUUAGCCUAGAUUUUUUUUUUUUUUUUUUUUUUGGAAAUUUUAGUUUUUGAUUAAUUCUUUGUGUUAAAGUUUAUAUUAUUUUCUUUUUAAAUCCCCAAUUAGUUUAAUUCUAAUCUAUCUUUUAGUUUAAGUUUGUUAAUGAUUUUAAUUCUUAAGUUUAAAUAAUCCUAUCGAAUAAAGUUUGUAUUUUUAAUCCCAAUUAGUUUGAUUUUAAUUUGUUUUUUAGUUUAAAUGUAUUUUGUUGAUCUUAAUUCUUGACUUUAAAUAAUCAUGUUAAAUAAAGUUUGUGUUUUUAAUCUCAAUUAGUUUGAUUUCAAUUCGUUUUUAGUUUAAAUACAUUUUGCUGAUCUUAAUUCUUUAGUUUAAAUAAUCAUAUCGAAUAAAGUUUGUAUUUUUAAUCCCAAUUAGUUUGAUUUUAAUUUGUUUUUUAGUUUAAAUGUAUUUUGUUGAUCUUAAUUCUUUACUUUAAAUAAUCACGUUAAAUAAAGUUUAUGUUUUUAAUCUCAAUUAGUUUGAUUUCAAUUCGUUUUUAGUUUAAAUACAUUUUAUUGAUCUUAAUUCUUAAGUUUAAAUAAUCAUAUCGAAUAAAGUUUGUAUUUUUAAUCCCAAUUAGUUUGAUUUUAACUUGUUUUUUAGUUUAAAUGUAUUUUGUUGAUUUUAAUUCUUANNNNNNNNNNNNNNNNNNNNNNNNNNNNNNNNNNNNNNNNNNNNNNNNNNNNNNNNNNNNNNNNNNNNNNNNNNNNNNNNNNNNNNNNNNNNNNNNNNNNNNNNNNNNNNNNNNNNNNNNNNNNNNNNNNNNNNNNNNNNNNNNNNNNNNNNNNNNNNNNNNNNNNNNNNNNNNNNNNNNNNNNNNNNNNNNNNNNNNNNNNNNNNNNNNNNNNNNNNNNNNNNNNNNNNNNNNNNNNNNNNNNNNNNNNNNNNNNNNNNNNNNNNNNNNNNNNNNNNNNNNNNNNNNNNNNNNNNNNNNNNNNNNNNNNNNNNNNNNNNNNNNNNNNNNNNNNNNNNNNNNNNNNNNNNNNNNNNNNNNNNNNNNNNNNNNNNNNNNNNNNNNNNNNNNNNNNNNNNNNNNNNNNNNNNNNNNNNNNNNNNNNNNNNNNNNNNNNNNNNNNNNNNNNNNNNNNNNNNNNNNNNNNNNNNNNNNNNNNNNNNNNNNNNNNNNNNNNNNNNNNNNNNNNNNNNNNNNNNNNNNNNNNNNNNNNNNNNNNNNNNNNNNNNNNNNNNNNNNNNNNNNNNNNNNNNNNNNNNNNNNNNNNNNNNNNNNNNNNNNNNNNNNNNNNNNNNNNNNNNNNNNNNNNNNNUGAUGGAUAUUUCAUUAGCUUAUUUGAUCUAAAUAUUAAUAAUUUAUUGCUUUGAUAGUUUCCUUUUUGUUCAAAGGCCAUUGGAAAAUCAUGAAGAUUGGCCUCUACCAUCACCAUUAUCAUUUUUGUUAAUUACUAAAAAAAUUUUACUUUGAGGUUUCAUUUUUGUUUUGUUGGGUAUUUUAUUUCUUAUAUUUUAUUUUUUCCAAAUUAAUUCCUUUUAUUUUAAAAUAAAAUACUUUUCUCAAAAAAAUCAUUUUAAAAAUCUAUUUCAAAAACUCAUUUAGAGUCCUCAGGAUCAAAAUCUUUUUUUUUAUUAUUUAAAAAUAAUAUGCAACCAUAUCUUGUUCGGUUUGCAUCCUUCUCGGUUUUCAACAAAAAUUUUGGUUUUGAACAAAAACACGAAUCAAAGCUUGUGGUCCCAAAUAAUGGGAUAAUUCUGGGCUAAAUUUGUGUAUAUUAAUUUGGGGAAUUGGUGAAACCCCUACAUAAGAAAAUCUUUUCAAAAAUUAUUUUUGUUGCCAUCUUUGUCACUUGUUGAAAUUAUGUCUAUUUUUUUUAAGAAUUGUAUACAUGAUGAGUGUGAUAAUUAAUGUUUUCAUAUGCUUUGAUAAUUUUUGUUAUGCUAAUUAGAUAACAAGCAUGCUAGGGUUUCUUUAUUUUAUUAUUAUCUAAUCCCUCAUGUCUUAUGGAAGCGCAUUGUAAGUUAUCUAUGCUAUCCAGGUAUGCCCCCUAAUGACCUACUUUCUAAAUUUCGUAAACAAUCAUGUCACUGUGAAGUAUGCAUAUGUUUGAUAAUCCUUAGGUGUUUAGAUGUAUGCUUGAUUCACUAUGAUUAAAUACAUGUUGUGUGUUAUACUUCUAUAUUAACUCUGAUGUUUUAUGAUAGCGCUUGAAGAGCGGUUCAGGUACGCACCCUAACUCUCAGUUUUUGUGAUUUGAUCUUGUUUAGCAUGCAAAUCUUUUGAAAUCACCUAGUCUACCUAGGUCCAUAAUUAACCGAUUAAUUGCCAUAUUCCCCUUAACUUAAUUAGUAGAGACCUUUUUAGGGCUUAGAAGGGUGCUACCUCUUAGAGGUACCUUCCCAAUAAGUAACCUGAUCCCCGGACCAAGACUUGGGUUUUCAAAGACACGCUUUUCCAAAAAUUAUGGAGUCAUUUUUUUUAGGGUUUUAUUUCUUGUUUUAUUUUCCCUUCAAAAAUAAAAAUAAAAUAAGUGGCGACUCCAACUUUUUUUUUUCAAAAAUCAAUUUUUCACAAAAUAAUAAAAAGCGAGUCUCACCGAUCGAGUGGGGGCGCACGUGAAAAAUGCGGGUCCACAAAUUGGCGACUUCGCUGGGGAUUUUGAGGAUCAAGCUUGAACACUAGUUAGGAAAAUGUGGCGUUUAAUUGGUCGAUUAGUGGGUACCUCUUUUUUUAGGCAAGGUGAUUCGAUUUGCUUGCUUGUUUGGUUUGCUAUCUUAACAUGUUUGAUUGCCUUGGAUGAUCACUUAACUGUUUGCUCACUUUAGCAUGAUUCACUCUCACAUAUGUUAGAUAGGACUUUGUUUGUUUGAUAUUUAUCUGCUCAGCAUGACUGUUUGUUGUGUUUGCCUUGGAUGAUCACUUGAUUGUUUUGCUCACUUUAGCAUGAUUCACUCUCACAUAUGCUAGAUAGGACUUUGAUUGUUUGAUAUUUAUCUGCUUCACAUGACUGCUUGUUGCAUGACAACCCUUGCUCUUGCAUGUUCGUAUGAUUGCUUGUCUUCAUUCACUAUCUCACUUUAGACCUUAGGUUUUUCGGAUGCACCCACAUCCUUCAUUGUGCACUUUAGAUUAUCCUUGAGUGUUGAGAGAUGGGAGAGCCUUCACCAUUAAGAAACCCCCUGGGAACGCGAGGAAGUGCAUGUGUGGAGGUGAUGACCACCUUGCAUGGAAGCACCCCGUCUUCUUGGAGGCGUGCAGAGGGUUGCGUACCGCCGGAGGGUACGAUCGCUUCUGCUAGGGAUCCUUUGACCCGCUCAUUUUAUCUUAUAGAGCCACCUUAACCUUGUAGGUUAGCCUAGACCCAAUUAAGAUUUCAUUCCUACACGUGGGUGCAUCUGUGGACCUUCAGAGCUGCCUUGGUCACAAUUGGAAUUGGUUAUCCCUUCCUUAGUCUCCUUUUGGUGUAAUCAGAAGAGGGUAUCAGAUUGAGUAUAUUUGGGCUUUGCUUCUACGCCUUUGAUUCAUACAGAGUCACCUUCGAGUUACACCUUAUUCAGUGUUUCCAUAUUUGUAGGAGGGUUUACCGUGACCGAUCUGGAUUCACCUUUGUGGAUUAGAGUUGGAGGUAGAUUGAGCAGAGUAUCAGACCAGUCAGAUCAGAGAUCAGAUCAGAGGGAUAUGGACUCACAGGUAGUUACCGUUGACCAGUUUGCCGCAGCCAUGGCUUCUAUCCAGGAGGCUAUAGCUAACCUUGGUCAGAGGAUAGAUGGACAGCAGACCCAGCAGGUCCCAGUUCAGGAGAGUACCCAGUUCGAUACCAUAGUACCGCCACCACCUCUGCCUAGUCAGUCAGUACCACAGGUUAUACCUUUCACUCUGCAUAGUCAGAUCGAGGUUGCCCCGCCUCCUAUCACAUCGCCUAUCCCGGCUUCAGAGGACCCACAUGCUCGUAUGGAUAAACUUGAGCAGAAGUUGAGACAGAUGAGGACUUCAGAGGGAGCUAUUACUUGGGAGGAUUUUGAUGGAGCACCAGUGGCCAGUCUACCGGCCAAAUUUAGGAUGCCUGAGAUUGAGAGAUACACAGGCAUAGGAUGCCCUCGCAUCCAUUUGAGACUUUAUAGUACUGUUAUGAGGGCCCAUGGACUGGAUGAUGCCCAGAUGGUUAUGCUCUUUCCUAUGUCAUUGAGUGGUGCUGCACAGCGUUGGUUCGCUUCAUUGGAGGUAUCACGCCGUAGGACUUGGGAUGACUUAGCCCAGGAGUUUUUGAGACAGUUUGCAUUUAACACUGUCAUUGAUGUUUCGAGGAGAGAGUUGGAGGCUUUGAGACAGAGGCCGGAGGAGUCAGUCACUUCAUUUAUCUCCCGCUGGAGGGAGAAGAUUUCACAGAUUAUAGACCGUCCUUCAGAUAGAGAUCAUAUUAGCAUGAUCAUGAGGAGCUUGCAGCCUAGAUUUGCUAGACACUUGAUGGGAUUUCCCCAUACGGAUUUUGGAUCUUUGGUACAGGCUUUGUACGGUAUAGAGGAGGGCAUUGCUAGAGGAUUAUGGUCUGAGUCUUCCCCUACUGAUUCUAAGGGGAAGAGGCCUUCAGGAGGACAGAGAUCAGGAGAUGUUGGUGCUAUCAGUUUAGCAGGGAUGAGACCUUCUAGACACUAUCAGACAGUUGGGCAGACUCCUGGGUACUACUAUCCACCUUCACCUCAUGCGCAUUACAGACCACCCGCUCCUUCCAGACCCAUGACUCCUACCUAUCUACAUCCAGUCUCACAACCUAUUUUCGCUGCACACGUCGUAGAGAGGCCUCCUGCCCCAUAUAUUCGACCCCGAGCUCCACAGACCACUACUUAUGUGCAGAGGCCACCACGUCAGUUUGCUCAGUUGGGUAUGCCUUUGAGUCGAGCUUUUCAGAAGCUCACAGAGGGUGGAUUACUGAUUCCAUUAGCAUCCAGGCCUUUACCCCAACCCAUACCACCUCGCUUCAGGAUGGACUUACAUUGUUCCUACCAUCAGGGACCAGGGCAUGACACGGACCAUUGCACUGCUUUGAGACAUGCUAUUCAGGACUUGAUAGACCAGGGUUUGGUCAACUUGGGGCAGCCAAGUGUGACUACGAACCCUCUUCCUGCUCAUUCUACACACGCAGUGCAUCCAUCUUUAGGAGAUAUUCGUCACAUGGACCUUAUAGAGGAUGACAGUAUACACAUGUUGAGUUGGGAUGAUGGAUUACUUGAGCCGAUUGUUCUGCAUGACAGCUAUGAGAUUGAUGGGGUUUCAUUGGUCCCUCAGGCUCCUGCACCAUUCAGUUUGAUCCCGGACGAGGCACUAUUCCAAUUGACUCAUCCUACACCCUUAGUUAUCGGAUGUCAGGAUACUUUUGUCCCAUUCACUUUAUGGCCAGAGGAUGAUGAUUCAGCAGGAAGAGAGAUACAGAUUGUGACUCGCAGUGGGAGGAUAGCUCAGCCACCACCACCAGCAGUUAGACCAUUUGAGGGUACAACCUCUCAUGAGGAGGUUAGGAGAGAGGAUGAUGAGGUUUUGAGGCAGCUACAGAGCACUCAGGCUCGCAUUUCCAUCUGGAGUUUAUUAGCAUCAUCCAGUACUCAUAGAGAUGCUUUGAUUCGAGCCUUGAGUCAGAUCAGAGUAGAGACUACCACCACUCCAGAGGGAUUGAUUCAUAUGAUGACGGCUGGCAGGGCCACUUGCAUUGUAUUUUCAGAUGAUGACUUGCCACCUGAUGGUUUAGACCACAUGCGCCCUCUAUAUAUCACAGUUGGAUGUUUAGGCCGUAGAGUCUCGUCAGUCCUACUGGACAACGGCUCAGCCCUGAAUGUUUGCCCUUUAGCCACUGCUAUAGCCCUUGGUUUCGCACCUUCAGAUUUUGGUCCUUCUACUCAGACAGUCAGAGCGUAUGAUAGCACCAAGAGGGAGGUUAUGGGUACCUUGAUGAUCGAUUUGCAGAUUGGUCCAGCCACAUUUUCCACUUUGUUCCAGGUUUUGAGGAUUCCUGCAUCCUUUAGCCUGCUACUAGGCCGACCAUGGAUUCAUGUAGCUGGAGCUAUUCCUUCUUCCCUUCAUCAGAAGGUGAAGUUUAUUCAUGAUGGGCAGGUCAUCACAGUGCGUUCUACCAGGGAUAUAUUUGCGUCUUCUGAGCCAGUACUUCAGAUCAGUCACAGUGAGGACGACCUACUUCUGACUGGGUUUACUUUUGAUGAGAUACAGACUCUCGAGAUUGAGGAUUUUUGUAGAGACUUUGUGGCUAUGUCAUUUGAUCAGCACAGUAGCACAGUGGUCCUUGAUAUGAUGAGGGGUAUGACCUUUCUACCUGGCAUGGGGUUAGGAUGACGUCAACAGGGACCGAGCGAGUUCAUAGCUGCCAUUGACCAUGAUACGACAUUUGGACUUGGAUUCAUCCCUAUUGAGGCCGAUUACCGUCACAUGGCGCGGCUGCGCAAGGAGAAGGUGAGAGCCCGUUUAUCCCACACACCAUUUGAUUAUCCUAUUCGACCCUAUAGGAUGAGUUUGGCUGACUACUUUGUCAGAGGAUCAGAGACUCGACCUCGUCUAGAGGAGAUUGAUAGUGUGGUUCAUACAGAUAGAGAGACCGAGCUUCAUGACUCAUGCCCAAUUGGUGUCUCAGCUGAUUUGUAUUCAGCUGGUGCUCCUUGAUUGAGGAAGUGAUCAACAAAAUUUAUACCUAUAACACCAUACACUAGGGUAGCAAAUACAAAGCUACUAUAGUAUAGUGGCUCUAAGGAUCGUUCACUGGGAAUGAUUUGCAAGCAAUCAAGGAUACCAAUUCCAAGUGAAUUGGUCUUGUUUCAUUUCACGGUUAGCUUAAGAAGUAAAACACAAAGUUUGAUUGGUAAAGGUUUAGACUUAAACUAACUAACUUAACAGAAGUUUGGAAUAAUUUAGGAAGAAAAGCAUUCCUUGGAGAUUUAGGUUCACUGGGGUGGUUCCUCAUGCAAAAGACAUAGCUCCGGUCAGAUGGUUCAUUUCCUCGCAUUAGAGAUUCAACUUAGAGUCAAUUCUCUAACCGGUGAUGUACAGAGACUCCUUCAAUUAGAUUUCACUUUAAUUCUCUCACUGAUGCAACUUGCAAUGGUUCAUGCCUCUCACGAGCACUUACCAUUCAAGGUGAUCUUUAACCUUGGAUUCCCUUCACAAACUCGCAAGAGAUAACUAAUGGAUGUCUCCUAAGAGUCCAAAAGCUUACCAAGUGUUGGUAAUUCCAGAAAAUCCUACCUUGAAGUCACCUACCAAAGGCUCGCAAGGGGUAAACUAGUGCAUUUCCACGGUUGGAAAUCACUUGCCUUACCAAGUGUUGGCCCAGGUGACUCCAAAGUGUUUUAAGUUAACUAAAAACAUUGAAAUCACUAAAGGAUUUCACUUCCUCUUCAUUUCUAGCUAAAACCACAGAGCUUUGCAUUUUUGCACUUGGAACCUUCCCCGGCAACCUUAGCUCCAAGGAAUUGGAGGUUUAGUUACUCAUUCUCUGGGGAAAACUCCUCAGAGAAUUCAUAACUUAGAAAUAAAAUGAAAAUACAAAGUGAGAAGGUGAGGCAAUAGAAGGAAAAGACUUUACUUGCUUACCAAAAUGGUUACAGAAGGAACUCCUCUCUGAGAACAGGCUCCCGAGAGGUAUAUAUAUCAAAGCAAUAUAAAACUAAUUGUUACACUGAUAUUUGGUCUUUUUACUAACUUUAAAACUAAGGAAUCAUGUAAUUGGUGGUUUACAAGGAGUAUUUUGGGAUUUAGACAACAAAAAUCUAAUGGAAAAUAUCUCCCAAUGUCGGUAGCAAGCUUCGGGAGGCUUCAGGAGCCAUUUCGCAGGAGAAAAGUGGUGCCUGCGAAAUUUCGCAGACACCCAAUAGGGCUGCGAAAUUAUUUCGCAAGACCGAGCUAUCUUCACCAGGCUGCAAAGUUGGCUUCCAUCUUGAAGUUUCCAGCUUCCCUCUCGCGGCAUGGUUCGUGCAUCGUCAGAAGAAGAAACACCUUACUGUACAAAAGUGUUGCAAAAUUCUCGCAACAAAAGGCUGAUUCCGCAGCACUUUAGAGUGACUGGCUUGUAAUGGCUGCAACUUCUUCGUUUCAACUCCAAAUUGCACACCGUUUGAAGCAUUGGAUUGUUGACUUCCUGAGCUUUGAAAUGGUAUAUAGCAUGCAUCAUUUGGACUUCAGAAAGUGCUCCAAAAGUGGCUGCUACGACUGUCAUCAAGAAUAAGCUUCAUGACUGAUCCUCUUUGCUUUUUCUCCUUGCAAUCCGGAUUCACUCUUGGCAAUUGAAUUCUAAGCUUUGCCCAAGAUUCCUCAUAGCUCUCCUCAUUCUUGACUUGCUUUGGUGAUCAAAAUACUAACAAAAACACCAAAACUUACACAAAGUGAUCAAAAUUGCUUUAAAGGAUCCUUAACAUGCCAAUUGAGUUAAAAGGCCUAAACUACUACUCAAAAGUGGUAAAAAGGAUUAAUUAAAGGCUAUCAAAUAGCACUUUUUGAGUAGUAAUCACUCCCCCCAACCGACAUAUUGCUAGUCCCUUAGCAAUAUAGGAGAGAAAAAUGAAAAUAAAUAGCUAAUUAUACUAAAAUUUACAACAUCAUGCUAAAGGAAAAUAAUUCUCAAGUGGCAUGAUGAUCUAAUUCUCACAUGAAUCAUUAAAGAAAUACAAACCCAAAUCUCAACAAGAGUCAUAACAAACUAUGUUAAGCACUGUCAAUCAAGGGAGUGCAUUAUGCAAACUGAAGUUUUAAAAUCAUUUCAACUUUCAAAGAACUAAACUUCAAUCUUCCACAAAAAUCUAUGUGUAUUGGUUCCUUAGGUUCCGAGAAUAAUAUGCUACUAAUCUCACCCCCCAACCUAUCUCUUUUCAACACUUUAGCAAACUGACCAAAAUCAAUAAGAAAAGAACACACUUUCAUCUUUUUUUUUUUUUUUUUUUUUUUUUUUCAAGGUAGCUUUAUGGGGUACUCUUUCUGACUUGUCCAUGUAAUGGGGGUCCAUCGAUGACUCCCAACCAAUUAAGGUUUAGGGCACCAAGUUUUAAGGAUCUUUCAACCACUAACUCCUCGGAUUUUUCCCCGGACUUUUAAGAAUGAGAUUCUAAUACCCAAGCAUCUACCAUAUGCUAACUCUACCUAUUCACCCUUGUAACGAGCAUUGAGGUCGGUGACUCCCAACCAAUUAAGGCUUAGGGCACCAGGCUUUAAAGGCUUUCACCAUAUGCCCCUCAGACCUUGCUCGGGUUUCAAGGCAAGCAAACAAAUUUCUUUAUUUCAAAGGCUCAUUGGCCUUUUGCAGAGUGUUUCAAUUUUUAUUAAAUGAGGUCAAAUAUACCAAGUCUCAAAAUUAUCCUAAGUCAAGAGGGAAAUAGCUUUUCAUCUUAUAAUCGGAAACUAAUGUGCACAGUGUGUGGAUAGCUUAAAGUGGAAGAACUUAAUUCAAUUUCAGUAGAAGUUUCAACAAUUGAACCACUUUAGUAAGCAUAAUCCAUACUCUAAGUCAAGUGAAAAACAACAGUUCAAUUUCUCUUGGUUUAAUUUGAAAAUUUUUCCUCAAAAUUCAUGGAGAAUAGAGUAACACUAAUAAAAAGUAAAAACUACAACUAAUUAACCAAUAUAAUUAAAAUACCAAAAAGGUUUAGAAUACUUCCUUCCUCAUACCCCCCAACCGAAUUGAGCAUUGUCCUCAAUGUGAUUUGAGUGACUGUAAUAAAAGGGAGGAAGUUGUAUCUCCAUGCUGAUAUCAAAUUCGAAUAUUGAUUGGGGAAAACCACAUGUUUCAAAAAGAAUAGAAUAUGUGAGAAAAGGAAAUAAUAAUAACUUAAUGCUAACUUUUAACAAGAAAUAGUCAACUUGUAUUACUUUGAGUUCAUUUAAUUACAAUGCUAAAAACAAGUAACACAAGGAAUCCCAUAUAUAGUACCAAAAUACUGGGAUUUCAUUUCAACUAAAACAAAACAAACAUGCAUAAAAACAUAAACAGAAAAUAUAUAUAAUGUCUGAUGAGUGGGGUGAUGGUGCUAAGCAGAAGGAUCUGCCUUCUCAGUAGGUGGAUCAGCUGGUGCUUCUGGCUCUGGAGCUUGAGACUCUGAAGGCUGAGAGUGUGGCUCUGGUGGAGUCUCAGUGGAGGGCUCUACAGCUUGUGGCAGGUCGAAAUGGACUUGAAGCUGCCUUAGGAUGGCAGCUUGUUGAGCCUGAGAGGCUAACAUCUGCUCCUGGCAUGCUUUGAUGGCUGCCAACUCCUGAGCAAGAUUGCUCUGGGUAGCUGUAAGAGUCUCCAAUGCACGACACAGCUCUCGAUAUUCGGAUAUAGGGAUGGCCAUCCUCGGCUCAGCUGAUGUGGAUGGCUGUGAUGGAGCAGGUGCAGGUGCAGGUGCAGCUGGUGGAGCUCGAGGGAUGGCAGGAGUAGCAAGUGUGAUAUCCUCUGGUCUGUGCCUUGGGGAGGCUCUCCUUGCUGCUAGCUGAGGCUGCCCAGGCUGAUCAAUUUUGUAGGCCGUCAUAUUAUUCCAUUUAUCAAGGGUAAAUGGCUCACGGCAAAUUCUCUUUCUUUCCUGCUGAGGCUCAGAGGGGUAUCCGAGAUGCUCCAAAACUUGGCAUAGCAGCCUUGGGAAGAGGAGUGGAAUGCAAUCUGCUCUUUGAAGCUUCUUCUUGUAAACCUUCUCCUCAAAGUAGAGAAGGGCUGCCAUGAUCAGAUGAUGAGGCCCAAAGAAGAAUCCUUCUGGCAUUUUGUACAGGGCUUCCAGGAGAAUUCCCCUUCUUUGGGUCCAAUGCUGUAGGGGAUAGAUAUUAUGCCUCAAAAAGGCAUCAAUCAAAAACAUCACUGGAGGUAGCUCCCCCCUCAACAGGUGUGACCGAUUUGCAGCUCCUCUAGACAAGGUGCUAACCAUCUCUAGCUCAGCUGGAUUUACCCAAGCCUUAAAAUUGUCAAAUUGGGUUGGCUCAAAAGGAAUUUGCAGAGCUUCAGCAAUAUGUCUUGCUCCCAAAAUACCAUGUCUACCAUCAAUAAUAAAAUGAAUCAAGGUUGGAUUUCUUACUUCUUUGGUUGUCAUGGUCUGGUAGAAAUCAGUGACUACCCGGGGAUAGAAAAAAUCCCUUGGAGCUAGCAGAUGCUCCAUAUGAUACUUCCUCAGCAGCUGGAAGGAUUGGGCAAGCUCUGGCCUCACUCUAAAUGUUGCUAAAUCGAAGCACAAUUCAGAAUGGAAUGCCCGAGUUCGACAAUCCAAGUUUCCUUCGAUUGGGGGCUGGGGCAGCAUUGGCCUUCGGAUCACUUCUUCCAGAGGUGCUUCAGCUGCAAUUUGGGGCUCUGGAAUUGGCGCUUGAGACUCCUGAGCUUUUUCUUGGGGUGCCGGAGAUGGUACCGGCGAUGGAAUUGGAGUUGCUUCUGGUGAGGGAACCGGUGACGGCAUUGGAAUUUGUACCGGUGAAGGAUUUGGUGAAGAUACCGGAGAUUGAACCGGUGUUGGCUUUGGGGAUUUCUCAGGGGAUUGCUCAGUCAAAUUGAUUGGUUCAGAGCUCUCAACCCUGGCUUUCUUCUUCAACGGUCGACCGCCUGACCUGGUUAAAUAUCGCCUUGCCGGCGGCUUUGGUGGCGCCGGCUUCACUGGAGAAGGUUGUGGUCUCGACGGCGAAGGCUUUGGAGCAGGUUCUGGAACAGAGCCUGGACUUGGCUCCUUUCGCAGACUCCUUUUACGGUUCGAAGGGGAUGAAGACUUUGCCCCUCGCGUUCGUGCCAUUUUGGGCUAUCGAUCUUUGGCCGGCGCUGCUAAACGGAGAAGAUGACCGGAGAAGCGAACGGCGUGGCUUGGCGAAGAAGAUGAAGGGGCCGCGAGAAUGGUGCUCUGAUUUUUGAAACCCUUUUCGCAACACUUUUGACCGGUAUAAAUAGGAAAAACGGAAGCCCAGGGGUCAGUUUAAGUUUCGCAACAAAACGCCAAUUUCGCAGCAACUUGCCAUUUUCGCAGCAACUUCGCAGUGAGUUUCGCAGCUGCGAAAUCGAUGUCACUGUGCUGCGAAGUGGCACUCGUGUGCCAAAACCACUUUCGCAAUUGCGAAAUGCCCUGCGGAAUGGGACUUUUGGUGCGAAAUCACGCUUUUCCAUUUCGCAAUGAGUUUCGCAGCUGCGAAAUGGAUGCUACUGUUCUGCGAAGUGGCACUCGUGUGCCAAAACCACUUUCGCAAUUGCGAAAUACACUCGCAGGGACUUCUACAGUGCUGCGGAAUGGUUUGGCAACAAAAAUCACAUUUCGCAGAAGUUUCCUUCACUCUGCGAAAUUUCGCAGAGCUCUGUUUUUCCCCUGUUUUUGCUCUGUUUCUGUUUUGUUUCGGCUCCAAUUUCGACCCGAUUUUUUUCUUUUCAAUUUCCUUGAAAUUUCUUCCACCUGGGAUCAUAUAAAACGAUUAAAACACACCUAAAAACAUGAUUUAAGAUAAAAAAACUAAGAUCAAAAGUAUGGAAACAACUUGAAAAUUUACAAAAUUUACAAAAAAUUUGGACUGUGGUAAAACCACGUCCAGCAAACCCAUUUCACUUAGGCUUUUUGAGGUUCAAGGAGGUUGAUUGCCUCCUUUUCUGAUUUGAACGACUCCAUGAAUGGCUUAAGAUGAUAUCCAUUGACUCGAAAACUAUCCUUGCCAUUGGAAUUCAAUAAGUCCACCACUCCAUUGGAAUAUACUCGGUGAAUAACAAAUGGACCAAUCCACUUUGACUUGAGCUUCCCAGGAAAGAUAUGGAGUCUUGUGUCAUACAUCAAAACUUUUUGCCCUUCUUGAAAUUCCUUGUUGGAGAUGAGUUGGUCAUGCCACUUCUUCAUCCUCUGUUUUGCAACUUUGGAAUUGAUAUAAGCAUUAUUUCUUAAUUCCUCCAUCUCAUUAAGGUCUAGAAAUCUCUUUUCUCCGGCCUUGAUCAAAUCCAUAUUCAGCUUCUUUAUUGCCCACCAAGCUUUGUAUUCAACUUCCACAGGGAGAUGGCAUGCUUUACCAUAGACAAGACGAUAGGGAGACAUCCCUAGAAUAGUCUUAUAAGCUGUUCUAUAUGCCCACAGUGAAUCAUGAAGCCUAAUAGACCAAUCUUUUCUGUUGGAAUUCACCACUUUCAUCAAAAUGUUCUUUAUUUCUCUGUUAGCUAGCUCAACUUGCCCGGAAGUCUGAGGAUGAUAAGGUGUGGCCACCUUAUGCUUCACUCCAUACUUGGAUAACAGAGCUUCAAAAGGUUUGUUACAAAAAUGAGCACCUCCAUCACUGAUUAUGGCCUUGGGCACCCCAAAUCUUGAGAAAAUGUUCUCUUUAAGAAACUUGAGAACCACCCUAUGAUCAUUUUGCUUACAGGGGAUUGCCUCAACCCAUUUAGAAACAUAAUCUACCCCUACCAAGAUGUAAGAAUUACCAAAAGACAUUGGGAAAGGUCCCAUGAAGUCAAUGCCCCAUACAUCAAAUAUCUCUACUAUCAGAAUGGGGUUCAUAGGCAUUUGAUUUCUUUUUGUUAGCUUUCCAAGCCUUUGGCAUCUAUCACAACUCCUACACAUGAUAUGGGCAUCUUUAAAAAGAGAGGGCCAAGUAAACCCUGACUGUAAUACCUUCAUGGCUGUUUUCUGAGAGGCAAAGUGACCUCCACAUGCAUUCUCAUGACAAUGAGAUAGAAUCCCUUGCUGCUCAUCUUCAGGGACACACUUUCUAAUAAUCUGAUCUGCACAAUACUUAAAGAGAAAGGGCUCUUCCCAAUAAUAAGAAUGAAUUUUGGCGAAGAAGUGCUUCCUGUCCUGUGCAUUCCACUCACUUGGAAUUUCUCCAGUUACUAAAUAAUUAGCAAUAUGAGCAUACCAAGGAGUUUUCACUAGGAACAUGAGUGAUUCUUCAGGAAAAUCAUCAUUGAUAGGCAAGGGAUGGGAAUUAUGUGCUAUAACUAACCUUGACAAGUGGUCAGCUACUACAUUCUCCACUCCUUUCUUAUCUUUGAUUUGAAGAUCGAAUUCUUGUAACAAUAGAAUCCAUCUAAUCAACCUUGCUUUUGCAUCUUGCUUUGUCAAUAAAUACUUCAAGGCUGAAUGGUUAGUAAACACAAUGAUGAAAGACCCCACUAAAUAAGCUCGAAAUUUGUCCAAAGCAAAUACCACAACUAACAAUUCUUUCUCUGUAGUUGUGUAGUUCCUUUGAGCUUCAUUUAGUGUUUUACUUGCAUAGUAAAUCACAUAAGGCUUCCCAUCUUCUCUUUGGCCAAGCACAGCUCCUAUAGCAAAGUCACUGACAUCACACAUCAAUUCAAAAGGUAACUGCCAGUUAGGGGCUCUUACUAUUGGAGUUGUUGUUAAAAAUUUCUUCAGUUGAUCAAAGCUAUGCUGACACCUUUCAUCCCAUAUAAACUUAGCAUCCUUAGCUAACAGCUCACAAAGAGGUUUUGAAAGACUUGAAAAACCUUUUAUAAACCUCCUAUAGAACCCUGCAUGGCCAAGGAACUGCCUUACUCCUUUCACAGUUGUUGGAGAUGGUAAUUUGGCAAUAAGCUCCACCUUUGCUUUAUCAACUUCAAUGCCUCUUUCAGAGAUGAUAUGGCCAAGGACAAUUCCUUGACGUACCAUAAAAUGGCAUUUUUCCCAAUUCAGCACCAAAUCUUUUUCAAUGCAUCUUUGAAGAACUGCUUCCAAAUUAACCAAGCACUCCUCAUAUGUACCUCCAUAUACGGUGAUGUCAUCCAUGAAAACCUCCAUAAUUCUCUCCACCAUAUCACUGAAAAUACUCAACAUACAUCUUUGAAAUGUAGCAGGUGCAUUGCAUAAACCAAAAGGCAUUCUUCUAUAAGCAAAUGUUCCAAAUGGACAUGUAAAAGUGGUUUUUUCCUGAUCUGCCAAAUCAAUUUCAAUCUGAAAAUACCCUGAAUACCCAUCCAAGAAACAAUAGAAUGGAUGUCCAAAGACUCUCUCCAGCACUUGGUCAAUAAAUGGCAAUGGAAAAUGAUCUUUCCUGGUGACAGCAUUCAGCUUUCUAUAAUCAAUACACACCCUCCAACCUGAAGUGAGGCGUGUAGUAAUUUCUUCCCCUUUUUCAUUUUGAACCACUGUGAUCCCUGACUUCUUUGGUACCACUUGAAUAGGACUCACCCAAGGGCUAUCAGAUAUAGGGUAAAUGAUUCCUGCUUGAAGUAGCUUCAGCACCUCAGCUCGCACCACCUCUUGUAGAUGAGGAUUCAACCUUCUUUGAAAUUGACGAAUUGGCUUUGCUUCCUCCUCCAUAUAUAUAUGAUGAGUACAAACUAAAGGACUAAUGCCUUUCAAAUCAGAUAUUUGCCAUCCUAUUGCUUUCUUACACCUCCUGAGAACUUCCAUUAAACCAUCCUCUUGAUGACUGGUCAGAGAUGAAGAUAUUACAACAGGACAUUGAUUAUUUGCUUCAAGGUAUGUAUAUUUCAGCUCCACAGGUAAAGGCUUCAAAUUGAGUUUUGGAAUUUCUUUUUCAACAGCUGCCUCCUCUUCUUCAUUGAACAAAGGUAGAAUUCCUUCUAUCUUUCUCCAACUUUGUAGAGUAGCAAGCCCACUAGGAGAUUCAGAAAAACCUUCCUCAAUAUCCUCAAGACUUUCAUUCAACUUGUCUUGCAUAUGUUGAUUGCAGUGCUCCUCCACCAAAGUAUCAAUUAUACAUAGCUCUUCUGGACCUUCUUCUUCUUCAGGAGUGAUUUGCUUUUUAGACAUAUAGAAAAUAUUGAGAUCCAGGGUCAUAUUACCAAAAGUGAGUUGCAUCAGCCCAUUUCUACAGUUGAUGAUUGCAUUUGAAGUUGCAAGAAAUGGCCUUCCAAGGAUGAUAGGAACUAAAUUAGCUUCCUUUACAGUAGGAUCUGUAUCAAGAACAACAAAAUCUACCGGAUAGUAGAAAUUAUCUACUUGAACUAAUACAUCCUCAAUUACUUCUCUUGGAAUUUUCACUGAUCUAUCUGCCAAAGAUAAAGUGAUUGCUGUUGGCUUUAACUCUCCAAGUCCCAGUUGCUUGUAGACUGAGUAUGGAAGCAAAUUCACACUUGCUCCCAAGUCUAGCAAGGCUUUCUCCACUACCUUUCCUCCAAUCAUGACUGAAAUGGUAGGACUUCCAGGGUCUUUGUACUUCAAAGGGGACUUACACUGUAAGAUUGCACUUACUUGCUCAGUCAAGAAGGCUUUCUUGUUUACAGUCAACCCUCUUUUGAUAGUACACAAGUCCUUUAGGAAUUUUGCAUACGUUGGAACUUGUUUGAUCAUAUCCAGCAGUGGAAUAUUAACUUUCACUUGUCUCAAUACUUCAAGGAUUUCAGCUGCAUUUCUAACCCCCUUUUUCCCCUGUAAUGCUUGAGGAAAAGGUGGAAAAGUUGAUUUCUUCAGCUUUUCUUCCUUCAGAAGCUCCUUCUUUUCUUCAUUGAUCUCACUCUCUUUAUCUUCCAUUUCCUUCCCUUUCUUUAUCUCUUCUUCUUUCUCAACAUGUGGCUUGGGUGUUGGCUGCUCAAUUUUCUUACCACUCCUUAGAGUGAUCAAAGCUUUCACUUCUUUCACCUGUGAUGAUUCUCCCUCAUGGCUUUCCACUUCAUGGACACCUUUGGGAUUUUGAUGAGGUUGAGAAGGAAAUCUUCCUUUUUCUUGCAGUGUAUUCAAAUUUGUAAGCCUUGAAAUUGAAUAUUGGAUGUUAUCAAACUUUUGGUUCAUAUCAUUUUGCAUUCCAUCCAUUCUUUUGUUCAACACACUCUCCAUUCUAUCCAUUCUUUGAUCCACUCUGUCCAUUCUUUGAUCAACUCGAGCAUUGGUGGCUUCUUGCUUUCCCACAAAAUCUCCCACUACCUUGCUGAGAUUAGCUAUUAUUUGUUCAAUACUUGAAGAUUGCUGAGAUGGUGGAUCCGGCUGUUGGUAUUGAGUUGCUCUGGCCUUCCAUGAGAAAUUUGGAUGAUUCCUCCAACUUGAAUUGUAGGUAUUUCCAUAUGGUGCAUUGUUAUUGGGCCUGAAUUGUCCAACAACAUUUGCUUGAUCUCUAUACAUUUCCCUUUCAGCUGAAAUUGCAGGGCACUCCUCUACCAAAUGUUCAAACGAUUGACAAUUGGGACACAACUUCACUUGCACUGGUGCUUCAGCAACAGCUUGCACUUCAUGCAUUCUUUUCAGCUCCAGCUCCUUCAAUCUUCUUGUCAUAGCUGCCAACUUUGCUUUCAUGUCAUCAUCUUCUUUUAAAUUAUACAUCCCAGCCUUUGCAUUGUAAGCAUUCAACUGAGACUUCAUCUUUCCCACUUCUCCUUUAGUUGGUUCAUCCCAUCCCCUUGAAACAUCAGCUACAUAGCUCAAGAAAUCCAUAGCUUCCUCUGGAUUUUUGCUCAUGAAAUCUCCUCCACACAUUGUCUCGAGGAGUUGCUUCAUUGAGGAUGACAUACCAUCAUAGAAAUAACUCACCAAUAGCCAAGUAUCAAAGCCAUGGUGAGGACAAGCAUUUAUAGCUUCCAUGUAUCUUUCCCAACACUCAUAGAAUUUCUCAUUCUCUUUAGCUGAAAAAUUUGAAAUUUGCCUUUUCAAGCCAUUUGUUCUAUGAGUAGGAAACAAUUUCUUAAGGAACUCAGCUUGUAAAUCAGUCCAAGAGCGGAUACUCCUUGGCCUUAAAGAAUUAAGCCAAAUUUUGGCCUUAUCCUUUAAAGUAAAAGGAAAUAACUUAAGCCUUAUCAAGUCAAUUGAAGCUCCUCCCUCUUGGAAUGUAUUACAAACAUCUUCAAAUUCCUUGAUGUGUGCAUACGGAUUCUCACUUUCCAUCCCAUGGAAAGUUGGUAGAAGUGGAACAAGGUAUGGUCUGAUCACUAGCUGCUCUGUAGGGGGCACUAUACAUGAUGGUGCACUCAUACGAGGUGGAUGCAUACGGUCCCUCAUUGAUCUGAAUUCAUUGAGAUUGUCUUGACGACCUUGGUGACUAUGCUGAUCUUCAGGUGCAGCCUCCAUGAUAUUCAAGAUUACUUCAAAUUCUCCUUUCUGAGGUGUAUCACACUUAACAAGCCUACCUCUAAUGUCUCGUAUCCACUUGGGCAUACACAACUAGUAUUCAGCUGCAACUAAAAUGAAAAUAGAGGACAACAAGAACAGAGGACUACAAUAGCAAAAUUAAACUAGACUAAAAUUUAAAAAGAUAAACUUAGAUUGUAAAAUAAACAAAGAAAGAAUGAAAAUUAGUAAAGUGAAAGAAACUUUACCAACUUGUGAUGAAAAUCACAAGUACUCAAAAAUGGUAUCACAAUGAACUUGACACUCAUUCCCCGGCAACGGCGCCAUUUGACUCAUGCCCAAUUGGUGUCUCAGCUGAUUUGUAUUCAGCUGGUGCUCCUUGAUUGAGGAAGUGAUCAACAAAAUUUAUACCUAUAACACCAUACACUAGGGUAGCAAAUACAAAGCUACUAUAGUAUAGUGGCUCUAAGGAUCGUUCACUGGGAAUGAUUUGCAAGCAAUCAAGGAUACCAAUUCCAAGUGAAUUGGUCUUGUUUCAUUUCACGGUUAGCUUAAGAAGUAAAACACAAAGUUUGAUUGGUAAAGGUUUAGACUUAAACUAACUAACUUAACAGAAGUUUGGAAUAAUUUAGGAAGAAAAGCAUUCCUUGGAGAUUUAGGUUCACUGGGGUGGUUCCUCAUGCAAAAGACAUAGCUCCGGUCAGAUGGUUCAUUUCCUCGCAUUAGAGAUUCAACUUAGAGUCAAUUCUCUAACCGGUGAUGUNNNNNNNNNNNNNNNNNNNNNNNNNNNNNNNNNNNNNNNNNNNNNNNNNNNNNNNNNNNNNNNNNNNNNNNNNNNNNNNNNNNNNNNNNNNNNNNNNNNNNNNNNNNNNNNNNNNNNNNNNNNNNNNNNNNNNNNNNNNNNNNNNNNNNNNNNNNNNNNNNNNNNNNNNNNNNNNNNNNNNNNNNNNNNNNNNNNNNNNNNNNNNNNNNNNNNNNNNNNNNNNNNNNNNNNNNNNNNNNNNNNNNNNNNNNNNNNNNNNNNNNNNNNNNNNNNNNNNNNNNNNNNNNNNNNNNNNNNNNNNNNNNNNNNNNNNNNNNNNNNNNNNNNNNNNNNNNNNNNNNNNNNNNNNNNNNNNNNNNNNNNNNNNNNNNNNNNNNNNNNNNNNNNNNNNNNNNNNNNNNNNNNNNNNNNNNNNNNNNNNNNNNNNNNNNNNNNNNNNNNNNNNNNNNNNNNNNNNNNNNNNNNNNNNNNNNNNNNNNNNNNNNNNNNNNNNNNNNNNNNNNNNNNNNNNNNNNNNNNNNNNNNNNNNNNNNNNNNNNNNNUGGCUUGUAAUGGCUGCAACUUUUUCGUUUCAACUCCAAAUUGCACACCGUUUGAAGCAUUGGAUUGUUGACUUCCUGAGCUUUGAAAUGGUAUAUAGCAUGCAUCAUUUGGACUUCAGAAAGUGCUCCAAAAGUGGCUGCUACGACUGUCAUCAAGAAUAAGCUUCAUGACUGAUCCUCUUUGCUUUUUCUCCUUGCAAUCCGGAUUCACUCUUGGCAAUUGAAUUCUAAGCUUUGCCCAAGAUUCCUCAUAGCUCUCCUCAUUCUUGACUUGCUUUGGUGAUCAAAAUACUAACAAAAACACCAAAACUUACACAAAGUGAUCAAAAUUGCUUUAAAGGAUCCUUAACAUGCCAAUUGAGUUAAAAGGCCUAAACUACUACUCAAAAGUGGUAAAAAGGAUUAAUUAAAGGCUAUCAAAUAGCACUUUUUGAGUAGUAAUCACUUCAGCAUCUAUUUCACCAGCUACAGUUGAGUGAUGGGGCUCCCGACACUUCUUUCCCUGUGGCGAUUACUCCUACGUCUCCAGAUCGAGCUAGCAUGUUGUCUCUAUGCUUUCCAGAGGAGAUCAUGAGUGAUGGGAUGAUUCUUGAUCCUAUUGAGGUGAUUGAUGGAGUUGUUCCCCAUGAUGAGUACCGUGAUGAGAUGGACAUGAUGACCGUGAGCCAGAUUGCCGGCAUUGUUCAGCUUCAGCCUGUUUCAGCAUUUGAUAUGUUUGGGGUAUCUACCAUUGAGGUUUUUGAGGGGACUCAGACUCUUCCUGUUCCAGAGCUUCCAGAGGAUGAUAGUAGUUUGUUUGAGGGCAUUGUUAGCCCAGUUGAGGGAGCGUCCGACCUUGUGGACCCACCUCUUUCUUUUGAUGUUUUAUCGGGAUUUGUCUCCCGCUCUGACGAUGUUUCUGUUGCUUCAUUUAUGGAUUUGAGCAUUUUUGAGUAUUCGCCUGUCUUUUGUGAUAGUAUCUCUACGUCUGCACCCCACUCACCCAUUACACAGAUAUUUGAUAUAGAUGAUGAGAUUGCACAGCCCAAUUCGGAUAGGGACUCUUUUGAUCAUGACUCUGGUCCCAUAGAUGAGAGAGUUUCACCUGCUGCAGGGGGCGUUGAGACUGUUGAUUUUGGCACAGAGGAUCAGCCUAGAGAGCUGAAGAUUGGUUCACCCCUAUCUACAGAUGAGAGAGAUAGACUCAUCCAUUUACUCAGGACAUACUUGGAUGUCUUUGCAUGGUCUUAUGAGGACAUGCCAGGUCUUGAUCCCUCUAUAGUCCAGCACCAUUUACCUACCCUACCACAUGCUAGACCAGUUAAGAAAAAAUUGAGAUGGUUGCAUCCACGUUGGAGUCUACAGGUAAAAGAGAAGAUUCAGAAACAACUCAGUGUUGGGUUCAUAUCAGUAGUUGAGUAUCCAGAGUGGUUGGCUAAUGUCGUCCCUGUUCCUAAAAAGGAUGGCAAAGUUAGGGUUUGUGUUGACUUCAGAGAUCUCAAUAAAGCCAGCCCUAAAGAUGACUUUCCCCUUCCACACAUUGAUUUGUUGGUUGAUGGCACCGCAGGCCAUUCGAUGUUGUCUUUCAUGGAUGGGUUUUCAGGGUAUAAUCAGAUUUUGAUGGCUCCAGAGGAUAUGGAGAAGACAACCUUUAUUACUGAGUGGGGUACCUACUGUUAUAGAGUUAUGCCAUUUGGGUUGAAGAACGCAGGAGCCACUUAUCAGAGAGCCGCUACCACUUUGUUUCAUGACAUGAUGCAUAGGGAUGUCGAGGUUUACGUGGAUGAUAUGAUUUUGAAAUCCCGAGGUAGAGCAGAUCACCUAAAUGCUUUAGAGAGAUUCUUUGAGAGGAUCCGGAAGUUUAGAUUGAGGUUGAAUCCCAAGAAGUGUACCUUUGGAGUGACUUCUGGGAAGUUAUUGGGACAUAUAGUCAGUGAGCGGGGCAUAGAGGUCGACCCAGAUAAAAUCAAAGCCAUACUUGACAUGCCUGCACCAAAGACUGAGAAAGAGAUUAGAGGUUUUCUGGGCAGAUUACAGUACAUUAGUCGGUUCAUAGCCAGAUUGACAGACAUAUGUGAGCCUAUCUUUCGUCUUUUGAGGAAGAACCAGCCAACAGUUUGGAAUGAUGACUGUCAGUUUGCAUUUGAGAAGAUCAAGGAGUAUUUGCUUUCUCCUCCUGUUUUAGUGCCUCCUACGCCAGGACGUCCACUUCUUCUAUAUUUGUCAGUUUCAGACAUGGCAUUGGGAUGUAUGUUAGCUCAGAUUGAUGACUUAGGAAAGGAGCGAGCUAUUUACUACCUAAGUAAGAGGAUGUUGGAGUAUGAGAUGAAAUAUGUUAUGAUUGAGCGCCUAUGCUUAGCACUAGUUUGGGCUACCAGGAGAUUGAGGCAUUACAUGACGGAGUACUCAGUACAUUUGAUAUCCCGCUUGGACCCGUUGAGAUACUUGUUUGAUAGACCUGCAUUGACUGGUAGAUUGAUGAGAUGGCUUGUACUUUUGACAAAGUUCGAUAUUCAGUAUGUUUCUCAGAAGUCUAUUAAGGGAAGUAUUGUUGCCGAUCACUUAGCCUCACUACCGACAUCUGAGGACAGACCAGUUGAUGAUGAUUUUCCAGAUGAGGAGUUUGUUGCUAUGACCAGCUUAUCGGGAUGGUGCAUGUACUUCGAUGGUGCAGCCAAUCAGUCAGGGUAUGGGAUUGGUGUUCUAUUGGUAUCCCCUCAGGACGAUCACAUUCCGAGGUCCGCUCGUUUGACAUUCUCUGAUCGACAUCCUGCCACGAAUAACAUAGUUGAGUAUGAGGCUUGUAUCCUUGGUUUAGAGACUGCAUUGGAGCUUAACAUUAGACAGAUGGAGGUGUUUGGUGACUCCAAUCUGGUACUCAGGCAGAUUUAGGGGGAUUGGAAGACUAGGGACGUGAAGCUUAGGCCAUAUCAUGCUUAUUUAGAGUUGUUGGUUGCGAGAUUUGACGAUUUGAGAUAUGUUCAUCUGCCUAGAGCGCAGAACCGAUUUGCUGACGCCUUAGCUACUUUAGCUUCCUCCGUGGACAUUCCGAUUGAUGUAGUCAUACGUCCAUUACUGAUUGAGUCCAGGUCUGCACCCGCCUAUUGUUGUCUGAUUGGAGAGACAGAGGUCCAGGAUGACCUACCUUGGUAUCAUGACAUUUAUCAGUUCCUUAGAUCUAGCACAUACCCUGAGGUAGCCACUACCAAGGAUCGGAGAGCACUGAGGCAUUUGGCUACUAGAUUUGUGAUUUCCGGAGAUACCUUGUACAGACGAUCAGCUGAUGGUAUGCUUCUGUUGUGUUUAGAUCGAGCCUCUGCAGAUCGAGUGAUGAGAGAGGUUCAUUCAGGAGUUUGUGGUCCGCAUAUGGGAGGACACAUGCUAGCUCGUAAGAUUAUGAGGACGGGUUACUUCUGGUUGACUAUGGAGACAGAUUGUUGUCAGUUUGUCCAGAAAUGCCCAGAGUGUCAGAUUCAUGGUGAUCUCAUACAUGCACCACCAUCAGAGUUACACGCCUUGACUUCGCCAUGGCCAUUUUCAGUAUGGGGUAUUGAUAUUAUUGGGAAAGUUUCACCAAAAUCUUCCAGUGGUCAUGAGUUCAUCCUAGUUGCCAUAGACUAUUUCACCAAGUGGGUGGAAGCCGCAUCAUAUGCGAGGUUGACAUCUGCUAGGGUUGCCAGUUUUAUCAGAUCACACAUCAUUUGCCGCUAUGGGGUUCCUCAUGAGUUGAUUUUCGACAGAGGGGCGCACUUCCGAGCUGAGGUAGACACUUUGUUGCAGGAGUAUGACAUCCGACAUCAUAGAUCUUCAGCAUAUAGGCCACAGACCAAUGGGGCAGUAGAGGCUGCAAACAAGAAUAUUAAGAGGAUUUUGAGGAAGAUGGUUGAGACCUCUCGAGAUUGGUCAGAAAAGCUUCCUUUUGCAUUGUGGGCAUACCGCACCUCUUUUCGCACUUCUACAGGAGCUACGCCUUACUCCCUAGUGUAUGGUAUGGAGGCUGUUUUGCCAGUCGAGACAGAGAUGGGCUCAUUGAGAGUAGCCCUUGAGCAGCAGAUUUCUGAGACAGAGUGGGCUCAGGCUCGAUUUGAUCAGCUUAACCUUUUAGAUGAGAGGAGAUUGAGAGCAAUAGAUCAUGUUCAGGCCUAUCAGAGAAAGAUGGCUCGUGCCUUCAAGAAACGAGUCAAGCCUAGACCAUUGCAAAAAGGGGACUUAGUUUUGAGGAUUCUCAGAGGUUUGAUUGGAGACCCUAGAGGAAAGUUUAGACCUAGUUGGAGUGGGCCUUAUGUUAUCCGGGAGUUGACUCCAAAAGGGGCUGCAUGGUUGACAGACUUAGAUGGAAACCAAUUUUCAGAGCCUACCAAUGUGGAUCAGCUGAAGAAGUAUUAUGUUUGAGACUGUGGUCGUAGGAUGGGUGGCCACCAUUUCGGUUAGCCUCAUACUUUAUCACCUCUAUAUAUUAGACCGUUGCUAGCCCAUUGAGCUUCGCAUGGUAUGUUAUAGCCUUAUUUCUUUCUUAUAGCUUUGAUUACCAUUUCUAUACCCGGGUUGGGGCCCUUUGAUGUAUAUGUAUGCUUUGCUAGGAAAGUCUCAUGAGCUUUAGACUUAUAGGUCUAUCUUCUCAUUUUGUUACCAUCCUCUUAUCACCCUAUUUGUUCUAUUUUAUUAUCACCACAUAUUCAUUCUCUUUCUUGUCCCUAUCAUUAUUUGCUUCAUCUUAUCUAUUCUCUUCCUUGGGUUGAUGAUUCUUCACGUCUUAGUGCAAGGAGGGUUGUCAUAUCACUCUAUUCAUUCCAUCAUUUGACAUUGAUUCGGAGAUUUUAGUUUGAGAGGUUAUCUCAGGGGUUGGGGUUCAUGUAUCCAUCAGUGGUCAGAGAGAGUUUGUUCAUUCCUUAUAUUUUUCCAUUGGAGUUUGAUUUAUUGAUGAUCAGAGCAUGCGCAAAAAAAAUCAAAAAAAAAAAAAAAAAAAAAAAAAAAAAAAAAAGCGCAAGGAUAUGCUCAUGUAUGGUAUCUCAUUCCAUUGGGUAUUUAUGCCACCUUUUGAGGUUCAUUUAUUGGGUAUAUUUGUCAUUAUGGGUUUUUGUGAGUUUUUAUGAGUUUUUUCAGUCCUUGAGCCACUCCUGUUAUGCAUUUGGAGUGUCGAGGGUUCAUAUGAGAGUUCUAUGAGAUCCUAUGCUUCUUAGAUCAUGAUUGAUAUAUUUUAGGUAUGAGAGAUGAGUGACCUUUUUACUAGGGUCUCCGGAUCAUUGUCUUAUACCCACCAUUCCAUCAUUGGUGAUAUGACUUUCCUUUAUUGUACUAACAUGGGUUGAUCAUCACUCAUUCCACUUUCCCAUUGUUUUCUUUUGUAUCCCAUUACCUCUUUCCAGAUCUUUGUUCCACCUUUUAUUCAUUCCUUACAUAUUGAUACCCAUUACUGAUUUGAUACCUUCUUGACAUCAUUCACAUAUUUCAUUGAUGGCUUGACCAUUCAUCCUUUCNNNNNNNNNNNNNNNNNNNNNNNNNNNNNNNNNNNNNNNNNNNNNNNNNNNNNNNNNNNNNNNNNNNNNNNNNNNNNNNNNNNNNNNNNNNNNNNNNNNNCCAUUCAUCAUUUCUCUCAUUCGUUAUCGACAUUCCCUUUGGUANUCUAAGUCCAUGACUCAUGAGAUUUUCUAUGCAUACAUCUGUGCACGAGGGUACGGGUUUGAUCAUUGGGUAUUUGAGCNUAGUUUCCCUUUCAUUUCUUUCACCCUAUCACCUUGACNUAUGUUACGUCCCGUGUCUUAAGACCACCCUGAGGCCAUGAGAUCAGACAUUAUCUUUGACAGUCUUCACUUGGACAGACUUUUGUAGAUUGGUUGAAGUAUGGUCGUUACUAUGUUAUCUUUUAUGGAAGAUACUUUUGGAAGCAUUUGGUCUCUCUCUUGCUUGGCAUAUUGAUGUUUGAUGGAUUUUUGGGUUUGGAGACAGUUCAUUGAGGAUAUUAGAUUCAUCAUUUGGUUGUACAUCAGAUAUCCAUACUAGGGCAUAUUCCCCUUUCAUUUGGUUGAGAUGAGCCCCUAGUGGAGCACUUUCUUUGAGUCUGGGUAUUUUCACCGAUCAGAGAUCCCUAGUGAGGUAUGUUGAGACUAUAUCAGUUCUAGUGGAGCAUCGUUGAGCCCCUAGUGAUUCCAUUCCCGGAAUACUUCUGAGAUAGACUAGUGGAUUAUUACUGAGUUGGAGGCAGUUUUCAGUGCAGUGUAUAGACCAGGCAUACUGGGGCAUAUUUCCCCAUUUUGAGGUUACCAGAUUCCUAUCAGAUUCAGUCAGGGAUUCAUCAGAGACAUGUUUCUAUUUUUGAGAUUACCACAUUUCUCAUCAUUUUGGCUAUUCAUUUGAGAUUAGAUUUAGAGUGUCUCCCUUGAGGCAUUGGUCGAUACAUCAUUCUGACUUCUUAGCGGAUUAUUGUUGAGCUGAGGAUAGUUGAUUGAUGAUGUCGGAUUCAUCCUUUGGUUGUGCAUCAUAUAUUCACACUGGGGCAUAUUCCCCCAUUCCUCCGAGAUUCUUAUCUGUUAUUGUAUACGGUACGAGGAUGGAUGAUCAUUGUUAGUUUGUUUACCUCACGACUUCGACAUUAGAUUAUCCACACUGAGGCAUAUUCCACUCUCCUUGAUGAGAUUGUGUUUGGACAGCGAUACGAGGAUGGAUGAUCAUUGUUAAUUUGUUUGCCUCACGACUUCGACAUCCGAUAUCCAUACUGGGGCAUAUUCCCCUCUCCAUUACGAGAUUUAUUUGGGCAGUGAUAUGAGGAUGGAUGACUGGUGUCGGUUGUUUAGCUUAUGACUUUGACGUUAGAUCUUAUACUGGGGCAUAUUUCCCCCAUUUUCUUUGAGUAUCCUUGAGAUUGAGACAGUGGCCAGCUUGGUUUUAGAUUGAGCACUAGCCUAGAGCUUCCGACGAUCGACUGUAUCAGGGCCUCCCUACAUGGAUUUGUUGAGAUAGAGACGGAUCGCAUCAGGUUUCACCCGAGGAGUGUGGGUGGAUCCUUUAGCCAGAUGUUCAUGAGACAGAUUUAUUUUCGUCAUUGUUACCUUGUAGAUUGGAUUAUCCAGAUGAGCAGUAUUUUACACACUUUGAGGUUUACUUUUAGAUGAGCCAUGAUAUACACUCUUUGAGAUUUACCUUUUGAGAUUCAUCGACAGAGCAGCUUUUCAGACAUAGAGGGUUUCUUCAGUUUAGACUUUUCAGAGGUUUGUCACGAUGCAUCAGUUUCUGACCUAUUGAUUUCAGCGGAUGAUUGAUUUACUGGUUGUUUCGGCAGUGUGAGCACCCUGGAUACUGGGGCAUAUUUCCCUUCUUAGUUUCAGUAGUCCGACCCUUGACAUUUUGAGUAUGUGGCUUUGAGCCAAUUUAUUUCAUGUCCACUUUCAAGUUGGUCUUCUCUAUUAUUCCCUUCUAGGCCCUGAGCCUCAUAGCUUUGAGUUAUUCAUUCCUUCUAGACCCCGAGUCUUAUAGCCUUGAGCAUCCUUUUUCCCUUAGGCCCUGAGCCCGCUAGCCCUGAGCUAUCAUUUCCUAUAGACCCAGAGUCUUUCCAGCUCUUAGCUGAGCUUUCAUCACUUGGUCGCCCAUGAGUGGUUUGACCUGGAGUUUGCGUAUCGCAUUCUCCUUCUAGCCGAUCAGUCAUAGAGCCCUGAGCUAUUCAUCGACCCAGAGUCAUUUUCCAUCUUGACCCAGAGUCAUUCAUAGCACCUCGAGCCCUGAGCUCACGACCCGGAGUCAUUUGCAUUAUUCACAUCCCUAAGAUGUUUCGUUUUCAUCAUUCUAGCCACUUGUGAGUGGCCUCGACCCGACAUCUUGAGUCGGAAAGUAUCCUGAUCGGCUAUCUAUUUAGAGCCCGGAGCUCUCGACCCAGAGUCACUUUCCAUUUCGACCCAGAGUCAUUGUUUCCUAUUUUAGAGCCCGGAGCUCUCGACCCAGAGUCACUUUCCAUUUCGACCCAGAGUCAUUCUUUCCUAUUUUAGAGCUUAGAGCUCUCGACCCAGAGUCACUUUCCAUUUCGACCCAGAGUCAUUGUUUCCUAUUUUAGAGCCCGGAGCUCUCGACCCAGAGUCACUUUCCAUUUCGACCCAGAGUCAUUAUUUCCUAUUUUAGAGCCCGGAGCUCUCGACCCAGAGUCACUUUCCAUUUCGAACCAGAGUCAUUCUUUNNNNNNNNNNNNNNNNNNNNNNNNNNNNNNNNNNNNNNNNNNNNNNNNNNNNNNNNNNNNNNNNNNNNNNNNNNNNNNNNNNNNNNNNNNNNNNNNNNNNAGCUUUUAGAAUACACUUGGCCCAUUAGGCACUACCCUAGGCCCACUUAGUCUCACUUUAGACCCGUUUAGGCACACUAGGCCUACGAAGACUUUAUUUAUUUAUUUAUUUAUUAUUUAUUUAUUUAUUUGGUUUUUAGUUUUAAUUUUAUGAUUAUCAUUCACUUUUUAUUGGUUAUCUUCCUCUUUAUAUCAUUUUCCUUAACUUAUUUAUUUAUUUAUUAUUUUUACCAUUUUUUAAUUUAUUUACUUAUUUAUCUAUUCAUGCAAUUAUUUAACUUCAAAAAUUUCAUGUUUUUGCAAGGAAACUUACCAUUGGAGUUUAAGGAAGGCGGGACUCUCCUUGGAAGGUUUUGGAGGGGAAUUUGAAAUUGGGAAGAUUGCUUUUGAUUGGAGGAUUUAAAAAAAGAAGAGAAGAAGAAAGGAAAGAGGAUAAUUUUCCUUUUUGGAAACAAAUUUAGGUCUUGAGGGGUGAUAUAUAUAGGUGAGAAAAGGAAAAGAAUAGGGGGAUUUUUCUAGGGGGGCAGGGCACACGGAAUUUUGAAAAAAAAGCAAGGGACUUCGAACGGAGCUCGGGCUGUCAUUUAAUCAUCAAGAGAGGAUUUUCUCUUUCACUUCAAAGGUUAGUUUUCUAUAUAGUACUUUUAUUUAGCCUAGAUUUUUUUUUUUUUUUUUUUUUUUGGAAGUUUUAGUUUUUGAUUAAUUCUUUGUGUUAAAGUUUAUAUUAUUUUCUUUUUAAAUCCCCAAUUAGUUUAAUUCUAAUCUAUCUUUUAGUUUAAGUUUGUUAAUGAUUUUAAUUCUUAAGUUUAAAUAAUCCUAUCGAAUAAAGUUUGUAUUUUUAAUCCCAAUUAGUUUGAUUUUAAUUUGUUUUUUAGUUUAAAUAUAUUUUGUUGAUCUUAAUUCUUGACUUUAAAUAAUCACGUUAAAUAAAGUUUGUGUUUUUAAUCUCAAUUAGUUUGAUUUCAAUUCGUUUUUAGUUUAAAUACAUUUUGCUGAUCUUAAUUCUUUAGUUUAAAUAAUCAUAUCGAAUAAAGUUUGUAUUUUUAAUCCCAAUUAGUUUGAUUUUAAUUUGUUUUUUAGUUUAAAUGUAUUUUGUUGAUCUUAAUUCUUUACUUUAAAUAAUCACGUUAAAUAAAGUUUAUGUUUUUAAUCUCAAUUAGUUUGAUUUCAAUUCGUUUUUAGUUUAAAUACAUUUUAUUGAUCUUAAUUCUUAAGUUUAAAUAAUCAUAUCGAAUAAAGUUUGUAUUUUUAAUCCCAAUUAGUUUGAUUUUAACUUGUUUUUUAGUUUAAAUGUAUUUUGUUGAUUUUAAUUCUUAAGUUUAAAUAAUUGUAUUGAAUAAAGUUUGUAUUUUUAAUCCCAAUUAGUUUGAUUUCAAUUCAUUUUUAAUUUAAAUGCAUUAGUUGAUCUUAAUUCUUUGUUUUAAAUAAUCACGUUAAAUAAAGCUUGUAUUUUUAAUCCCAAUUAAUUUGAUUUCAAUUCGUUUUUUAGUUUAAAUAUAUUUUGUUGAUCUUAAUUCUUGACUUUUAAUAAUCACGUUAAAUAAAGUUUGUGUUUUUAAUCUCAAUUAGUUUGAUUUCAAUUCGUUUUUAGUUUAAAUACAUUUUGUUGAUCUUAAUUCUUAAGUUUAAAUAAUCAUAUCGAAUAAAUUUUGUAUUUUUAAUCCCAAUUAAUUUGAUUUUAAUUCGUUUUUAGUUUAAAUGUAUUUUGUUGAUUUUAAUUCUUUACUUUAAAUAAUCACGUUAAAUAAAGUUUGUGUUUUUAAUCUCAAUUAGUUUGAUUUCAAUUCGUUUUUAGUUUAAAUGCAUUAGUUGAUCUUAAUUCUUAAGUUUAAAUAAUUAUGUUAGAUAAAGUUCAUGUUUUUAAUCCCAAAAUAGUUUAUUUUUAAUUUAUUUGUUAGUUUAAAUAUGUAUGUGAUUUUAAUUUAUUAGUUUAAAUAAUCAUGUUAGAUAAAGUUUAUAUUUUUUUUAAUUCUAAAUUAGUUCAGUUUUAACCUAUCUUUUAGUUUAAGUAUAUUUGUGAUUUUAAUUCAUUAGUUUAAAUAAUCUUGUUAGAUAAAGUUCAUAUUUGAAAUUCCGAUUUAGUUUAGCUUUUAUUUAUUUUUAAUUUGGAUGUGUUUGUAAUUGUAAUUUAGUAGUUUAAUUAAUCUUAUUAAAUAAAGUUCAUGUUUUUAAUUACAAUUUAAUUUAGUUUUAAUUUGUUCUUCACUUGUAUGUGUUUGUGAUUUGAAUACAUUAGUUUAAUUAAUCCCGUUAGAUAAAGUUUAAUCUUGAUUUAAUUUAUUUUUUUAGUCUAGAGGCAUUUAUGUGUUUAGUUAAUCUUAUGUUAAUUAUGGAUUGUUAUUCUCAAUUUAUGCGCUUCUUGAAUCCUUGUUGCUAAUUCUUGAUGGAUAUUUCAUUAGCUUAUUUGAUCUAAAUAUUAAUAAUUUAUUGCUUUGAUAGUUUCCUUUUUGUUCAAAGGCCAUUGGAAAAUCAUGAAGAUUGGCCUCUACCAUCACCAUUAUCAUUUUUGUUAAUUACUAAAAAAAUUUUACUUUGAGGUUUCAUUUUUGUUUUGUUGGGUAUUUUAUUUCUUAUAUUUUAUUUUUUCCAAAUUAAUUCCUUUUAUUUUAAAAUAAAAUACUUUUCUCAAAAAAAUCAUUUUAAAAAUCUAUUUCAAAAACUCAUUUAGAGUCCUCAAGAUCAAAAUCUUUUUUUUUUUAUUAUUUAAAAAUAAUAUGCAACCAUAUCUUGUUCGGUUUGCAUCCUUCUCGGUUUUCAACAAAAAUUUUGGUUUUGAACAAAAACACGAAUCAAAGCUUGUGGUCCCAAAUAAUGGGAUAAUUCUGGGCUAAAUUUGUGUAUAUUAAUUUGGGGAAUUGGUGAAACCCCUACAUAAGAAAAUCUUUUCAAAAAUUAUUUUUGUUGCCAUCUUUGUCACUUGUUGAAAUUAUGUCUAUUUUUUUUAGGAAUUGUAUACAUGAUGAGUGUGAUAAUUAAUGUUUUCAUAUGCUUUGAUAAUUUUUGUUAUGCUAAUUAGAUAACAAGCAUGCUAGGGUUUCUUUAUUUUAUUAUUAUCUAAUCCCUCAUGUCUUAUGGAAGCGCAUUGUAAGUUAUCUAUGCUAUCCAGGUACGCCCCCUAAUGACCUACUUUCUAAAUUUCGUAAACAAUCAUGUCACUGUGAAGUAUGCAUAUGUUUGAUAAUCCUUAGGUGUUUAGAUGUAUGCUUGAUUCACUAUGAUUAAAUACAUGUUGUGUGUUAUACUUCUAUAUUAACUCUGAUGUUUUAUGAUAGCGCUUGAAGAGCGGUUCAGGUACGCACCCUAACUCUCAGUUUUUGUGAUUUGAUCUUGUUUAGCAUGCAAAUCUUUUGAAAUCACCUAGUCUACCUAGGUAUCCAUAAUUAACCGAUUAAUUGCCAUAUUCCCCUUAACUUAAUUAGUAGAGACCUUUUUAGGGCUUAGAAGGGUGCUACCUCUUAGAGGUACCUUCCCAAUAAGUAACCUGAUUCCCGGACCAAGACUUGGGUUUUCAAAGACACGCUUUUCCAAAAAUUAUGGAGUCAUUUUUUUUAGGGUUUUAUUUCUUGUUUUAUUUUCCCUUCAAAAAUAAAAAUAAAAUAAGUGGCGACUCCAACUUUUUUUUUUCAAAAAUCAAUUUUUCACAAAAUAAUAAAAAGCGAGUCUCGCCGAUCGAGUGGGGGCGCACGUGAAAAAUGCGGGUCCACACAUUGGAAGAAUUAUAUCUGGAUGGGAACCAUUUCAGUAGUCUACCUGCUGGCAUCAAUCGACUUACCAAUCUAAGAGUCCUUGACUUGAGUCACUGCAAGAACCUUCAACAAAUUCCAGAGCUUCCAUCAAGUCUACGUUUCUUAGAUGCGCAUUGUUCGGGUGGUAUUUCAUCAAGGCCCUCGCCUCUGCCUAUUCAUUCUAUGGUCAAUUGCUUCAAACCAGAAAUUCCGGUAUGAUUCUCAUGCCAGGUUCCUUUUUCUUUUGUGCCCAUUGAAUUUACAUGGUGCUUUUGUGCAGGUACCCAGGAUUCAUGCUGGUUGUACAUUCUUUGUAGGCAAUGGAAUUAGCAUUGUUGUUCCUAGAAGUAGUGGAAUUCUAGAGUGGAUAAGGUAUCAGAGUAUGGGAGGUUAUAAAGUAACAAUAGAGCUCCCCCCGAAUUGGUAUGAAAAUAAGGAAUUGUUGGGAUUUGCUUUAUGCUGUGUUUAUGAAUCCAACAAUGGAUUUGUCUUUGAGUCUCGGUAUGAAUCAACUGAUACAUCUGAUAAUGAGCCUGACAAUGGAUCUGCAUAUGAAUCUCAGCAUGAAUCAGCUGAUACAUCUAAUAAUGAACCUGACAAUGGAUCUGCCUAUAAAUCAGCUGAUACAUCUGAUAAUGAACCUGACAAUGGAUCUGCCUAUGAAUCUACCUAUGAAUCUCAGAAUGAAUCAGCUGAUACUUCUAAUAAUGAACCCACCAAUGGAUCUGCCUAUGAAUCUGAAAAUGAAACAGCUCAUACAUCUGAUAAUGAAGAACCAGUGGAGUUCUAUUGUAAUUUGAGUAUCCGAGGAAAUAAUCAAUCAACAGUCGUGGAUUCUUUCAAAUUGGGUUCUUACUGUGCUAAUGAUGUUGCAUCAGAUAUAGUGUGGGUGAUAUUUUAUCCCAAGGUAGCUUUUAAGGAAGCUAUUAAGGAAUGGUAUCGCUCUAAUCAAUGGACACACUUUAUGGCUUCAUUUGGCGGUUUCGGAAGAGUGGAACAGUGCAUGAUCCGUCUUAUAUAUGCAGAAGAUUAGGAACAAAAGCAUCCAAAAAUGGCGCAAGACAGUUCUUCUCAUGGGAGUUUUGGUGAGCAUGGAUCAGCAACAGAAGAUACUAAUAGUAAAGCUCAUAAUAAAAGGAAUCCCACAGAACAGAGCCGAUGAGAGGAGUCACACCAUAAAAGAUUCAGAGGAACCCAAGACUGAUCUCAAGUUUUAUGCUCAACCACACUGGCAUCACCAAUGUUCUCUUUACUGGUAAUUCAUCUUCCUUUCUCUUUUUUUCCCCAAGAUAAAUAAAAAUUCAAGGCUAUCACCCAUGGGCGCAAACUGAUGGAGUUAACCCUGCUUCUUAGGAUUCUGGCAUUCAUCAGGGUCCAUUCCUUAAGCUUAUAUGAAUUAACGACUUUCCUGGAAAAGAAAUCAAAAUUCACGAAAUCAAAAUCAGAUAGUUUACUGAAAGUUUGGAAUCCACAUAUUACUGCUUCUUGUUUUUUUUCCUACUUCAAAUGGAAUUCCAUUUAUGUAGUACAAGAAAUUUCUUUAUUAAAUGAUGCUUGCUUUGAAAGGAAUCCUAUAUUUGUUUAGAUACAACUAUUGUCUCGCCUUACGCAAGCCAAUGAAAAGAGUUCAUCUCUCCUCGAACCACUCAUGGCACAUGAAUCCAAUCUGUCUAAAAUGCUAUAGUUGAGUUUUCAAAUCUGUUGCAAAUUUUUGCUACUCCCAGCCAUGAACACUUUUCUUAUAAAAAUUAGAUGUUUGAGUUGAAAGCAAAUUUUUGCAUUCUACUUGUAUAUGUUUUUGCCUAUAAAAGGUUCCAGAUUCAUUGAGUUCAGAAUAGCAAUAACUCAAUUGUUAGCAUUUUAGGUUCGAUUAAAUCUAACAAUACUUGGAGGAAACUCAAAUGCAGGGUUGAAAUCUAAAGAAUGUGGGUUAAUUAUUUAAUCAAUUGCACGUUUUUCUUGUCAGGAUAAUCACGUGGAGGCACCUAAAGAGCUUCCUAAGAAGACUAAGUUGUUCUUUGGUCAUUCUAUCGGUAAGUAGGAUGUUGAAUUCUAUGCUAAAGAAAAAAUAAUACUGCCCCUAUAUGAAUGAUAGUGAGUAUCAAUAGUAUGAGCUCUUGUUUUUCAAUUAGAAUUUUCAUGCUUGCAACUACACUUGAUUUUCUAUGUUGAAAUAGUGAAGAUUAAAUUGGAAACAUGUUAUAGUCAACUUUCUUUAAUUAUCAGAUUAUCUAUUUAUAUCUAAUUAGCUCAAUAUGUUAAGGAAAUUUCUAAAAACUAAAAACAAAGUCAAAAUUGAGAUAGGCCCCCUCUUUUCUUAAUGUAUAAGAGGUGGAUGAGGUUUUCAAUGAUUGAUUUAGUUUUCAAUAUUUGCAGUUUUGAGGGAGAAAGUAGAUUCACUCAAAUACAAGGUUCAGAAAGCUAAAGCUAUAUCAAAAGCUGCUAAAAAGGAGUAGUAAAGUGAAAAUAAAAAGCUGAAUGAGUUGCGAGCUCAUUUUAAGGCCAGAAAUGAUAUUCACCAAGAAGCAUACACACAUUUGCAGAGUUUGAGGAAGAACUUGUCUGAGAAGGUAUGGUCUAUAAGCUAUGCAUGGAAAUAUUUACAAUUGAUGGAUUGGAAUAUAUGUAUGAUAUGCUGAUGUUUUUAAUGACAUGUUGGAAGUCUGCCAUGAGUUCCAUAUAAAGAUAUGUGACUACUAUACAAGAGUACCAUCAAAACUUGAUAAAAUUGACACACAACCACUAUAUGGGUUUUCUUCAGUCAAGUUUGAUAAUUCUAAUGGUAGGAUUAGAUUUAUCUUAGAGAAAAAAAUAUCAAGUUUGAAAUUGAUUAUGCACACUCUUAGUGUCAUGACAAAAAUGACUUCUGAAAUGUGAAUCUCAAUGAUAGAACACACCUAGAGGGGGAGGGGGGGUGAAUAGGUGUUUUUGUCCAAUUUAAAGGUCUCCCAACACAAGUUAACUAACCUUAACAAAUUUUACAAUUUUUCCUUCUCUUUACAAACACUUAAAAGCACAAAUUAGAAAUCACAUGCAAAUAUGAAUGUAACAGUACUCCCCAACAAAAAUAAAAUACAAUUCACAUGCACAUGUUCCAACACUCCCUAACACAAAACCUUUAAACAGUUUUUGAUUAAUAACAAGAAUAAAAUAUCUCAAGUAUACCUUUGAACAAUAUUCAGAAACAGCAUUAAAGGCAACCUAUAUCUAUGUUACAUCAACAUUCAACCAAAAAUUAGAUGUCCAAAUUAUCAAAGAUAGUUAAAACUGAAAAUGAAAUGAAGAGGAGAAUGAGAGACAAUGAGACAACACCAAAAUUUACGUGGAAAACCUCCUAGGAGGUCAAAAACCACAGGCUUACAACUGAUAAAAAAUUCCACUAUGAAGGGCAAUCAAGGUCUACAAGGAUUUACCUAGCUCAAGAUUUCCAAUCCCUCACAAACUACUUGACAAGCACUUUCACACCUCUCCACCACGCCUUCAUCUUCAGGAACAUGCUUGGAGUCCUUCCCAAGCUUGAUCUCAGCCUUCUUCUCGAAGCUCCAUCAAGAAGAAAAUGGGUUUUCACCCAAGCCCAAAUGAAUGAGAGAUGAAUGUUCAAAGAACUCAACCCAUUUUUCUUUUUAGAAAAUCCAUUAGAAAAAUUUUCUUGAAGACUUGAAUGAGAUUUUCUUGGAAAGCAAACAACCUCCAAAGGGGAAGGGAAUGAAGAGCUCACUCACCAGUUGUUGCUCUCUACAUUCCAUACAUGAGAGAAAUUUGUUUUUAAAAGGGAAAUGAAACACUUAAUCAGGCUGAAAAAAGAUCUCAAAAAGGAGUAAUUUAGAUUGAUCUGCCCCUGUACUUGGAUCGAUCCAGAGACAAGGUAACUUAAAACUUUUAGCAAAAAAUAUUUUUCCCAUGCUUCCCUAACUUUUUUAAUAUGAUUCAAGGCAACCAACAUUUUGAAAAUAGGGUUGAUUCAAAUUCAUUCAACAUAAACUCAGCUACUUACUUUGACUUCUUAGCAAAUCCAAUGUCUUGAUCUUCAUAAGUCAAGUAGUCCAACAACGGAUUUAGAGAACCAUAGCUAGUAGACACUUAGGCAUUUUGUCCGGAAUUGCCAACCUAACUAUAACACUCACAACUUCAUUAAAAGGACCACAUAGAUAUCAUCUGCACAUGCAAUGAUAGUGUAUAAGUCGAGUGUUUUCUUAGCAAUGAAGUCAUAUAUAAAAAUUAACAUGAAAUGGGUUUUUUUUUUUUUUUUGUAAAUAAUAAAUAAUAAAAUUCACAUGUUUAGACACUCAUUCUUUCUGGUUAGACACCAUUUUAUGUAAAGAAGAAAUUGUCGUCUUCUUGUCUCUUUUUACUUGUGUUUAAGUUCUGUCAUAAAUGCAAACUUUGGCUUCUUACUUCAAUCAUUAGGGGUCUGUUUCGCUAUUUGAUCUUAUCCUCUAAUCUUGUUAUAUAUGAUAACUUGUUAUGUAUCUAUUACAGUUAUAAAAACAUCAAUGUUAAGAAUUUAAGAUGUUCUGAUUAUUUCAUUAUUUGGUCUUUUACAUUAUAAUUUGGGUGGUAUGUACAGAUAAACAAUAUAGAGAACAGGUCAGUACUUCAUGAUGCCCUCUGUGCUCCAAAGGACGCUAUUAUAUAGAGUGAUGGAAAGAGUAUGGUCCCAGAUGCCUACAAGGUUCUAGACAAGAUCAGAGUAUUUUUUUUAGAUUGCCUAUAGUGGUUCCUUAGUAAUUAAAGUUGUUUAUAAAUCUAAUUCAGAUAUGUUAUCCAUAAAUAUCAAGUAGUGAUUAAUUGUUAACCUACGAAAAAAGUAAUAAUUAAAUUUUGGUAGGUUGGAGUCGCUAGAAAAGCAUUGAUGGAUGUAAUUUUUGUUGGCAUUGGUGACAGGUUCUUAGCUACACCCUCCUUUUUGUGCACACUGCUCUACAAACAGGAUUAGAUUCAUCUUCCAAAGUUGAAAUUGCUCGUCAUCUUGGAGGAAUAUGGAAUUGGGUGUAAGCUUGAAUUCAUCUUCCAAAGUUGAAACUCAUCUUCCAAAGUUAUUCAUUGUGAUUUUAUUGGUGUUGUGAAGAGUCAACAACAUGUGUACCUAAAGGCACUAGACCCCAAGAAAUGGAUAUUUCUGAUAAUCUGCUGUUUACAUUUAAGGUGUUCCUACAUUGCAUUACAUAAUUCUUGAUUAGAUAUGGUUUGCAGAUGAAGUGGUAAGUAACCACGACACUCCAGUUUCUUGCAGACCCCUGAACAAUUGCAGAAUGAGAAUGUUCCCCAGCAUCUUAUUCCUCACAAGGUAAUGUCCUUUCAGUUUGUGCUCUGAAGUCUUCUUUCAACGAAUAACCGUUUUGCUUUAAUGAUUGCAUUUUCUUUCACAGACCUUCUCUGGCAACCGGCCAUCUCUGAGCCUUCUGCUUCCGUCACUGGAUGCUUAAUAUUUAACAAGUUCAAGAUUUUGUACUCCUUUUUUGUCCUUUAUCGAACCAUCUUGUUCAAGCAGAUAAAUUGUUAUAAGUGUUCAUGGAUUUUGGAUUAUUCCAUGAUGAUCAGAAACUACUAGAAUCUGUCAAGGUUAGAUUAUCAUUAAAGCCUCACAAAUUUUUGGGCUCCCAUAUGUCAUGUAUUUUACCAUUGAUGAACCGGAAGUGUAGUAUUUACUAUGCUUUUUUGUUAUCACAGGAUGUGUGAAGAGCAAUCUUUGAAUCAAACAGUGGAGGAAAUUGGCCUUUUGACUUGGGAUCAGACUAGAAACAGGUCACUUACAUAUUAAACAAACUUCAGAGUUUGUUCUGAAUCAACUUCAUGAAACCAUUUCUCAGCUUCCUAGGAGCCAUGGAACAGCAAUAUUGAUGAGUUCCAGAAAGAAAACGUCUGAUGCAACACAAGGAGCAGACUGAGGAUUUUGGAUGGACACUCUUUCGUCCCUGGCAAGUUGCCGCCUUUGCUACCCAAUUCCAAUUCUCCAAAUGAAAGAACUGACAGAUCACUUUUUGCCUCAACCAAGGACACCUCUGUGCCAGCAGUCUUGACUGUGGAACAAGUAAAACAAAUGGUACCUGCUGAAGCUGAGGGGGCAGAUGAUGAAUUGGUGCUGAAGGUGGUCAACCAAAAGAAUCAGACCGCAAAAACUUAAAACCCCAUGAAGCCCGCUACUGGAGCGGUCUCAGCACCUGUUUCUGGGAGGGGUGAGAUUGAAGGGAGUGAAGAAAAGGAGCAUAAGCAAACAGAGAAGGAAGAGGAGUUGGCAAGGAAGGUAGGGGAAUUGAGAAGUGAAGAGGAAGCAGCCAUGUUGAAGGAGCAAAGUCUGUUGGAGGAGAAAGCCAACGUUAAGGAGGCACUGGAAAGGAAACAAGGAACUGCAGAAAAGGCCAAUUCCUUUGUGAGUGCUGCCACCUUUUCAUGAUACGGCCAUAAUAAUGGAUGUUUAAACAGUCUUUAACUCUACAUACUUUCUUGCAUUAUACUAGUCAUUGAAGAUUCAAGAUCAUCAUUUCAGACAUAUGGUCGUUCACUAAAAUCAAUAAUUUGUUAUUUUUUUAGUUUUAGUAACAGGUAAUGUAAUUUUUCAAGGAAAGAUUUGAUGCAACUUUUUGCCCAGCCAUAGAUUGGAAUCUGCCAGUCUUAACUCUCAUAAGAAAGAAAAAUUUCCGUCCUCCUAUGGAUUAUAGGAGAAGAUUUUAACAUGGAGUCCACUUGAGAGUUUCUAAUACCCACUUGAGAUUUUAACUCUCAUAAAAAAGAAAGUGCAGAAAAGGCCAAUUCCUUUGUCACUACUGAGGCCACCAUUUCAUGAUACAGCCAUAAUAAUGGAUGUUUAAACAGUGUGAUUAGACAUAAGUUUGCCAUUCAUAUAUGGGAACAUGUUGCUUGUCAAUUAUGAAUAGUUUGUCAUUCAUAUAAGUAGGACACACAAAAUAUGGUUUGUCAUUCAUAUGAAUAGUACCCUCUUGAAUUAAUUGAUUAAAUAGACCUGCAAAUAUAGUGCAGAAAAGAAGCCAUGGGAUGAGAAUAAUAGAGAAAAUAUGAACAAAACUUAGCUUCGGCUUUCGAUGAGUCCAGGUAAAAUCAAUAUCAAUAUAACCUUGCAGGUGAAUCAUCAUAGUGAAGUUUUUGGAAUUUCAAUGCAUGAACAUAAAGCCACUAAAAGGGCCCCUGAUAUUCAACCAUUACCGGUUCAAGGAUUGUAUUCAGUCAGCGUAUAAUGAGGUGGAUAUUUUGAUUAUUAGGCGAAUCUCAAGAAGUGAUCUCAAUGUUUGACCAGAGAGCCUUACACCAUGGGUGUGAUUUGUCAGACAACAAUUCAUUUCUGCUUCAUGGUUGUGCCUUGAGGUAAGGCUUUAGAGGCAUAAGCCUCAAAAGCCUCUUAAAAUUGGUUGUACACUUCUUUGCAUGAUGAAUGGAAGUUCCAAAUUUUGAUGACUUGGUGAUGUUGGAGUAAUUGUGUUGAAAGCAGUCAAACACAAACAAUUAUUAAAGAAGAUAAAAAUUUGGAAGAAUUAAAAUUUUAUUGUAUUCUACCACUCUCUUUUUUUUUUUUCAAAUGUUACAUAAUAUUUUAUUUAUAGAUACCCACACUUAAUUAAAAAUGACAUAAUUAAAAGUAAAUUAUCAUUUAAUUACAAUGGAUUCAAUAGAACAUGGUUGAUAUGCUCAAUUUUUGUCCGUCAAUAAAAUUUGAUUUGAGUGAAUAUAAUUAGAGUAAAAUAGUCUUUUUAACUAUCACUUUUACAAUAAAAAAGUGUUUUAUUUAAAUAAAUAUUUAAUAAAAUUUUAAAAAUAUUUUUGAAAAAUAAUUAUAGUAUUUUCUAAGAAACAUUUGAUAAAUAAUUAUUAUAAAAAUACUUUUAAAAACACUUCCUUGAAAGUACUUCAAAGUUGGCCGAAUGGUAAGUUAUACAUCAGGAUCUUAAUGAUGGUCUAGGUAACCAUCACCAUUGAUUGUUUUUUAAAACACAACUUCCAUUUAAAUAAUAUUUUAAGGCAAGUCCUAAUUAUCAUAUUUUACAAGAUAUUUUUUAAAAUUAUUGUUUUUUUUCUUUCAAAAUCCCAAGAGGGAGGUCACCAAUAUGAAAAUAAUGUGACCCAUCUCUAUACUUUCGUCUCCAUUAUUUGGACUACAUCAUAGUUUCCUUAUUGACAACAUGGUAGCCACGUUAAAUACCUACAACUUUGAAAACAAGAUCUCAAAACUAUGCCUAUUUGAUUAUAAGGCUUAAUUAUCAUAGUUUAUCAUUUCCUAGCAUAGUUCUUAGCAUCUAAGUAUUUGUUAUAUAAGAAUUUUUCUCAUUUUUCAACUUGCAUUUUGUUUAAAAAAAUUUUUAGUUGUUUAAAAUCAUUUUGAAAAUGUCAACUCAUGAUUAUAUACAUUUUAGUUCUAUAAGGACUAAAAUCACUAAACGUCAUGGUAAUUCUAUUUAAGGUAAUUUGCUUUAAAUGAGAAUGUGUUUAUAUAUAACUUAUGAUUUACGGUAAUAAUAGAGAUCGAAUUUAACAAGACAUAAGUUUUGAAUUAAAUAUUAGUAUAUUUAUGUUUCCUUCUUAUUUUUAAUCUAAAACACAUUAAAUGUAUGCUCUUGAAUUCCUUCAUGUUUUUGACAUAAUACGUAUAAUGAUAAAUCAAUUAUUAUUAUUUAAUAAUAUGGAGCUUUGACUUUUGACAUUUAAGUAACAUUGUCAAUGAAAGCUUCAUUAUUUUUGUUUCAUGGAAGAGCAAAUGAUGUGAUUGAAUUACACUUCAAUUAUGUUUGUUUCUUUGAAAAUACUCGAGAAAAAUAAAUAUUAAAGAAAAUAAUUUUUUUAUAUUUGAUUUUACUAUAAAAAAUAAUAUAAUUAAAAUUAGUAAUAAAUUUAAAUAUUUUUAAAUUACUUAAUCUUUAUAUAAAAGAGUUAAAUAAAUAAAACGAGUUUAAAACAUAAUAUACAGGUAAUUUAUUGACUUUAAAUAUUUAUCUCUCUCUUUUUUACUUCACUUUUUCUUUUCUUCUCUUUUUCCUCUAUCUUCUUUCUUUUGUAUUUUCCUUCAUGCUUUUUGGAACCGAACAUAUUCACAUAUAUUCUUGAUUUCUAUUGGGUUUAUGAAAUUUGAGUAGACAUAAUUAAUGGGUCAGUCUUUAUUUUCAUUUGACAUAAUUAAAAUAUUCUCUUUGAUGAGAUAAUCUUAGAUAAAUUGUUAUUUGAUUGCAGCAUAUUCAAUCGAAUUCGAUGGUCUAGCUAUCAUAAAUCAUACAUGUGCACUAUUUACAGUAAAUGAACAGCCACAAACCAUACAUAGAGGAGAUGAGGAUUUCAUAAUAAAUUAUACAAUAAUUACAAAGGAUAUGAUAUUAACUUGCAGUAAAUUGCAACAUCAGCACUCUAAUGCUAGAUUAGAGGAUGGGCAAUGGGCUCAGAGUAAUUAGACAAAGUAAGUCUGAUUAUUAUUAACUUUCCUAAUCUUUCGUGGGCCUUUUGGGUGCUUUAUGUGCAAAAGGUGAAAAAGAGAAAAGACUAUAACUAAAUUGCCAAUCCAUCACUGACGUUAUAGAUUGAUGAACAAUACCAAAGAGGGUGUUACGAAAUAAUGAGAAUAAAUAAUAAGAAAAAUAGAAUAAGAACACAUAGAUAUUUAUGGAAAACUCUAGAUGAGAAAAAUCAUGAAAAGACGAGAAGAAGAUUCAUUAUGUCAAAAAUUGGUACAAAGUGAGAGAGUUGAAAGCGACUACAACAAAAGUAUAAUCAUUGUAACCCUAAAACUAUACAUUAUAUAUAUAUAUAUGCAAGAGUUGAGAACAACUAUGGGAUGAGGUCUAUCGACCCAAUCCCUUCACUACCCCCAUAAAUUUAUCAAAAAAUCUCAUAAUUUUAACUUUACUACAUAUAUUGCAUCGUGAGCUUUUCGAAUCGAAUAAAAAAGAAUUUGGAAUCAUCAAACAUUAACAAAGGGAGUGAGAUCACAACUUUGGAAGGAUUUUUUUAAAAAAAAAUGUAGACUUGAAUGGUAAAUAGUAAAGUGUGUUUGAGAGUGACACUUGAAAGUAUUUUCAAUGUUUUUAAUAUUUGAAAAACAAAAAUUUUUAAAAUAUAAAAAUAUUAAAAACAUUUUCUAAAAUCAAUAUCAAAAACCAUUUUAUAAAAUCAGUAUCAAACUAUCAAACAUAAUUUGAAUUUAAAUAAAGACAAGAACAACAUUGACUCUUAACUCACCAAACCAGUCCCAGUUCACUUAUUGAAUGAAAAGAAAAUAAUUAAAAAUAAAUAACAGCAUCCAUUCUACCAUGUUAUGACGAGUAAAAGACAAUGGAGAUUUUAACUUCGUUGCCUUAAAAGUCGUGCCCCCUUUCAUGAGUAUAUAUAAUAAAAUAUAUUCGUUUGCAUCUCUUGAUAGCAAAUAAUUUGAUAAUUUUUUAGAAUUAAUUAAUGAAGAUAAUUUUUUGAUAAUUAACAGACAAUUAUGUCAAUAUUUUGACAUUAUAUUCAAUUCACCAAAUAAGAUUAUUUUUCACCCAACAAUAAUUUAUGUAGAAUAAUAAAUAAAUUAAAUUAGCAUUUGAUUAAAAAUUGGUUUUGACUUUUGUGAAACCCCACAGUCGCUCACUGCUAAAGGGUUACAGCUAAUCAAAGAUAAAUGAGAGAGAAGAACGGGACAUCGGACAUCCUCACCACCAUCGUCUCGGCAUCAAAGACCCUCUUUCUUCUUCUUCCAAAUUCUGUUCUUGUAAUUUUGUUACAAUCCAACCAUGGAUUCCACUAGCAAUUCUAUGAGACCCUCUUCUUCUUCUUCUUCUUCUUCUUCUUCUUCUUCUUCUAAUUCUAAAUGGAGGUACGAUGUGUUCUUGAGUUUCAGAGGCGAAGAUACCCGCGACAGCUUUACUUCUCAUCUCUACUCGGCUUUGGAUCGUGGCAUCAUUAAAACCUUUAGAGACGAUAAAGAACUUCGAAAGGGAGGAGAGAUUGCACCCGAACUCUUAAAAGCUAUUGAAGAAUCAAGGAUAGCCAUUCUUGUCUUCUCGAAAACCUAUGCUCAUUCCAAGUGGUGUUUGCUGGAGUGCCAGGAAGAAAAGGGACGAAAAGUUUUUCCUAUCUUCUAUCAUGUAGAGCCGUCUGAAGUAAGGAAACAGACUGGGAUUUAUGGAGAAGCAUUUAACAAUCACGAGAGCAAUGCAGACGAGGAGAAGAAGAAGAAGAUAGAGAAGUGGAGGACUGCCUUAUGGAAAGUCGGUAAUUUGAGUGGAUUUCCUCUGCAGGAUGGGUAAAUCCCUACAUCGCUUUUUCUAUUUCCAAUUUUCUGUCAGUUUAUUUUCAUUCUUGUUAAUAAAUGAAAUAUCUAUGAUUACAUAUAUCAAUCAAAAUCCAUUUUUAAGUAGUAGCCAUUAAUAUGUUUGAUUACUUCGAAGUAAUAAGAAAGAGUUAUAAAAAAAAAAAUGAUUUUCUCAUGUUUAAUUUAUUAUUAAAAAAUAUGAAAGAAAAAAAAAUUAAAAUUAAAAUACAAAGGAAAAAAUCAGUGAUUUAAAAAUUUUGGACUGGCAUUGAACCGGUUUUCAUAGAACCGCUCAAUAUGUGGGUUGACCAAAACACUCUUGGGCUUUGUCUGCUGCAUUGGGCCUAUGAUCUUCCCAUCCACCAGCCAGCCCAUAGGCAGCCCAUUGAACAACUUGUCCAUUCCUUCAGGUGUAGGUUAUUUGCAUUGUGAGGAUUUGAACUUGGAUGUUUACAAAAGAAAGAUGCCAACCAUUAUGUUGUACAACUUCUUUGAUAGGUAUAGGUAACAAUAUUUUAUAUUAAUACUAUUUGUAAAUUUUUAUAAUAUAAAACAUUUAAACAAAUAUAAAUAUUUAUAUUCAUGUUUAUUUUUAUAAUAAUUAUUAACAAUAAAUAUGAAAAUAAAUUAAUUAAUAUAAUAUCUUUAAAAUUUUAAAAUAAUAAAAUGUAUAGAUAUGUAGAUAAAAUAAAAUGUUAUAAUUUUCUUCUCAUAUGUAAAUAUUAUACAUAUUUUAUUUAAUAAAAUUUGAUAUACUAAUACAUUUAUAUUUAUGUUUAUCAUUUAAUAGACAUAUCAAAUACAAAAAAAGUGAAAUGCUAUAAUUUUAAUAUUAUAUAAAUUUCUUAAAAUUAUUUUUAAUUUUAAUAAAAUAUAAAUUAUAUAUUUAUGACAUCACCGGUUCGACCACCAGUCCGACUAGUGAACCAUGAACCGGUAACUUUUCCGGUUCAAUAACAAAUCCAGUUCUAAAAACAUUGGAAAAAAAUAUAUAUUUAGUUUAUAAUUGAAAUGAUAUUAGAAAAUCUAUAGUAAUAACAAUAAAAAAUAUAAUAAAAUAAAAUAAUUGUGUCAAAUGCCAAGUUUUGAAUUGUUAAAAAAUCUUUUAGAUUCCAAAAUAUUCUUCCUUUCUAAUCAAUCCAUUUUAGCCAUAAUUUCUAUCAAUUAGAAAAAAGGUAUUCUAUCAAAUAAAUUGUUAAAAUUGCUUAUUAAUAUGCUUUGUAAAUUUGGAGAUAAUCUAGAAUGAUUAUUUAAACAAUUGUAAUACCACCCUAAAUUUUUCUAAAACUUAGUUAUUAAAAUAAUUCUCAUAUUUUCUAUGCACUACAUGAGUUUACAUUUUUUCUUUCCUUAAUAUUGUUUCUUCCUCUAUAUUUGCAAGUUGAUUACCAAAUUUAUUUACCUUUUAAUCUAAUGUUUGUAUCUCGUUUUAUUCUAACUAUCCCAUGAUGUUAGGAUAAUUAAUCUCUUCUUAAGACCUAGUCUUUCACGUUGAAUCAUCUAAUGCUAAACUUAUUCCCUUGCUAUUCUACAUUGUGUACUCAUGGGAUUAAUAUAUUGUAAUUGAAAUUGUUUUUUUUUUUUCCUCUUUUUCUCUUUUAUGUUCUACAUUCCUCUAUGCCUCAAUUACAAAUAAAAGUAAGUAACAUUUGAGCUUGUUUGACAAUAUUUUUGAAACUAAUGUUCAAAAAAUAGUUUUCCCCAACCCAAUGUUGAAAAUAAUGAAUAAAUUUUUAUUUGAAAAUUCAAAUAUGGAAAACACCUUUCUCAACUUAUUAACUAUAAAGGUACGAUAAAUUUAUGUACAAUAUAACAAUACUAGUAUUAUCUAUAUUUUCAAUUCUUUAUCACAAUACUCUAUAAGGAAAUACCUAAAAAAAAUCUCAAAUAUGCUCUUAGAAAUGAACUUGUUUACCAAACCAAUUUUUGAAAAUAAUUUAUAGUAAAAAAAAAAAUUAAAGGGUUUAAUACACUUUACCCCCUCAACCUAUCCCGUGUUUUGUACAUUGCCCCCUUUAGGUUUAAAAUCAAACACAUUACACCCCAAAUUUCUUAAAUUGCAGCAUUCUGCCUUUUUUGUUGGACAAUGUUAGUUUAAGUGGACAAAAAUCUCACAUGUUGUGCAUGUGACUAACUAAUGAAGGGUAGAUUUAUAAAUUCUCAAACCAAAAAAAUCCCCUAACAACUCUCCUUCUCUCUGUCUUCAUCUUCGUUUUCAUCAAACCCUAACCCUCUCUCUGUCUUCAUUUUCAUUUUCAUCAAAUCCUAACUCUAUUUGGAGUGCAAUUUUCAGCAUUCCCCCCCUCUUAUAAGUGGUCAACAGUUUUAGCAUUUUGUCUUCGUCUUCUUACUAUCUUCUCCUCCUUACUAUCUUCUUCUCUUUCCUACUCCAAUCUUCAAACCCUAAUCAUACAUUGUUUUCUUAGGCAUUGUAGAUCUUCCACCUCUGAAGAAGGAGCUAAGGGAGCUUUGAGUUUUGAAUUUUGGGGGUUUGUAGAUGGACAUUUUCUGAUGUGAUUAUUGGAAUGACUUUUUAUUUUUAUUUUUUUCUGCAUUGAUUUUGAAGGGUACCCAUUUGGGUGAAAUUGUUUUUGUGUGUGCAAUGCUCGAUGAAAGGUGGGAUUUGGGUGGUUUGACUUUACAUGUUCUUGUUGUUUGGUUGCUGAGAAAGUGGGGAAAAAGAGGGGAGAUUGGAAUUUUGGGUUGUUAUGGGUUUUCUUUGAUUUGGUUUCUAGAAGGAAAUUGAAAUCUCUACUCAAUGAUGUUAACUAGUUAUAGUGAGGUCGAUGAAUAUUACAAUUUAGGAACUUUGAUUCGUUUUAUUUUUAAUUUUCUCAUUAGCCAAACGAGGUUAGGGGUGUAAUAUGUUACAACUAAAAUGAAGACCAAGAUUGAGAGAGGGAGAGCGACUUUUUAGGUUUAAGAAUUUACAAAUCUACCCUUCAUUAGUCAGUCACAUGCUCAACACGUGACAUUUCCAUCCACUUAAACUAACACUAUCCAACGAAAAAGGCAAAGUGCUGCAAUUUAAGAAGUUUAGGGUGCAAUAUGUUCGAUUUUAAACCUAAAAGGGUAAUGUACAAAACACGAAAUAGGUUGAGGGGGUAAAGUAUAUUAAAUCCAAAAUUAAAUAUAUAUUUAAGUUAUAAAACUAUUUUAUAUUCCAAAGAAAAAAAAUCUAUUUUCAAAAACAAUAUCUAGACAAGCAUUUUUCUUUGAAGUGUCAUUUUAAAAUUUUUUUCCAUGAGUGUAAUUGUUGCUAGGCUUUUGACCAAUAAACAAACAUGUGUAACUUUCCUCGUCAUUGUAAUUUAUAUUUGGGAAAAAAGUGGGGAUUUCAUCACAAUAUGAAACUUAUGUAGCAAUUAUUAGUAACCUAAAUAUAAAUAGAACUAAAAUGGAGAAUUUACUUGUUUACAAAAUAAAUAGUUGAAAGUCUUAUAAGCAUAGAGAAUGGUCAUAAGUCAUGUUGUAAAUAAUAAAAGCAUUGAUAGGUUAAGGAACUUAGGUGGCAAAUUGAUAGAUUUCUAGCCAAACUAUUAUUUGUCUCUAUAAUAAAAUCUCUUAUCAUAAAGGGUAAGGAUACUUUAGAAAGGUCAACUUCAAUUUGGCCCUUUAGAAGCAAUUGAGAUAUUUACAUUAUUUUAUUGCACAUAUACUUGACAUAACACAAUGAAAUUUAAUUCAAACAUGCAACUCAACACAUUUUUAAUUUACAUUCUAUUUGACCUUAAUUUAGUUGCAUUGAAUGAAACUAAACACCAUUCUAUAAUUUCCAUUUACUUCAUCUUUGUUUUCUUUGGCAAUUGAUUCUAACUCACUGCGUGUUUUAUUGUACUUUACAAUGGACAGAUUUGAGGCAGAGUUUAUUGAAGAUAUCAUUGGUGAGAUUAGAAGAUUAAUUCCUAAGUUGGUACAUGUUGGUGAGAACAUGGUUGGAAUGGAUGAAAAUUUGAAAGAAGUGAAGUCAUUGAUAGAUGCCCAAUCAAAUGAAGUGAGCAUGGUUGGGAUUUAUGGGAUUGGUAAAACUACCAUCGCCAAGGUUGUUUACAAUGAUAUGUUAGUUCAAUUUAAACGUCACAACUUUCUUGAAAAUGUGAGAGAGAAAUCUAAAGAUGAUGAUGGUUUGCUUUAAUUACAAAAAAAAAACCUUCUUUGUGAUAUCCUAAUGGAGAAAGAUCCGAAGUUAAGUGCUAUUGGUGAAGGAAUCGAAAAGAUAAAGAAUAAGUGUUGCUUUGAAAAGGUUCUUAUUGUUCUUGAUGAUGUAGAUUGUCCAAGACAAUUAAAAUUCUUAGCUCCUAAUUCUGAAUGUUUUCAUCGAGGAAGCAUAAUCAUUGUGACUACGAGAAAUAAACGUUGCCUAGAUGUACAUGAGUCGUAUUCAUCAUAUGAGGCUAAGGGAUUAGCACACAAGAAAGCUAAGGAACUCUUUUGUUGGAAUGCCUUUCGGCAACACCAUCCACAAGACAAUUAUGUGAACCUCUCUAAUCAUAUAUUGGAUUAUGCUAAAGGCCUUCCAUUGGCACUUGUAGUUUUGGGUUCUUUUCUUUAUAAAAGGGAUGUGGAUGAAUGGGAAAGCACAUUGCAUAAACUAAAAACAAACCCUCUUGACGAUAUUCAAAAGGUACUCCUGGUAAGUUAUGAUGGACUAGAUUAUAAAUGCAAGAAAUUGUUCCUUGAUAUCGCAUGCUUCUUCAAAGGUCAAGAUGAAAAAUUUGUUACAAGAAUACUAGAAGGUUGCAAAUUCCAUCCCAAGAUUGGACUAAGAGUUCUUCAUGAGAGGUGUCUUAUUUCUAUGAAAGACAACACUACAAGGAUGCAUGACUUGUUACAAGAAAUGGGUUGGGCAAUUGUUCGCCAAAAUUAUCCAGAACAUCCUGGAAAAUGGAGUAGAUUGUUGGAAUUAAAGGAUAUUGAAAGUGUAUUUACAUAAAAUAUGGUAAGAGAAAAAUGCAUGAGUAUACUUGAGAUCUAAAGACAUAUAAAAGAUUCUACAAGAUUUAUUUUUAUUAUUAUUAUAGUUUGAGUACCUUAUCUUUUAGUGAAUCCCUAUGUAUCUUAUACUGCUUAUUCUCAAUGCUUAUUUUCAGGGGACAAAAAACAUUGAGGGGAUAUUUCUAAAUAGGGAUUGGAAAAAAUCUCUACAACUUCUUGUACAACUUACUAUUAAAUCUUUCAGAAAGAUAAAUCGACUUAGAUUGCUCAUAGUCAAAUACAAUAUGGUGCAACUUUCCCAAGACUUUGAAUUGCCUUGUCAUGGUUUAGUAUACUUUCAUUGGGAUCGCUACCCUUUAGAAUGUUUGCCAUCAAAUUUUCAUGCAGACAAUCUUGUUGAACUCAACCUCCGGUUCAGCAAAAUAAAACAUCUUUGGAAAGGAAACACAGUAUUGCUAUUAUUUAGUUAUAUUUUUUCUCUAGACUAAUUUUAAUUUUUUUUGAAGUUUAUUUAUUGAAAUAGUUUUUCUUCUGUAACAGACUGCUAGAAAGUUAAAGGUCAUUAAUCUCAGUUAUUCCAAGCAUUUGGUUGGUAUUUCAAGCAUCUCAAGUGCACCAAAUUUGGAGAUUCUAAUUCUAGAAGGUUGUACAAGGUUACUUACGUGUUUCACCCAUGCUUAAUGUUAUUAUUAGUCAUUAACUAACUAUUUUCUUGAAUAUAAUAGGGUGCAUAAGACUCAAGAGUCUUCCAAGGAACCUUCAUAAGUUGGAAUGUCUUCAAACUCUCUUAUUGAAAGGGUGUUCAAAUCUAAAGAGCUUUCCAGAAAUCAAGGAUGAUAUGAAAAAUCUGAAAGGCCUUUAUUUGAGUGAAGCAGCUAUAAAAGAGCUUCCAUCAUCAAUUGGACAUCUACAGGCCCUUGAAAACUUGGAUUUGUCAGGUUGUGAAGACCUUGAGAGUCUUGUGAGCAUUUGCAAUUUGAGCUCUCUUCAAACUCUCAAUGUGAACAAUUGUCAAAAACUCGAGGGAAUAUUAAUGUUGGACCUAGGAGGUGAUUUAUGCUCCUUAAGAUCUUUACAUGUAACUUGUCAUGUUCUAAAGUCAGGAGUAAUCUGGAGUAAUGGCCACUUCUCCUCAUUAAAAACACUAAAUCCACAGUGCGGUCAAAGAGAAGAAGAGAUCCUCGAUCAUAUUUCCCCCCUGUCAUCACUGGUAGAAUUAUCUGUAAGAAACUCCUCUCUUAUGGAAAGAGAAAUCCUCAGUGAUAGUUUCCGCCUAUCCUUAUUGCAAGUAUUAUCUUUAAGGAACCUCCAUCCAUUGAAAUGGGGAAUCCUUAGUUACAUUUCCCAUCAAUCUUCAUUGGUAGAAUUAUCUCUUAGUAAAUGUAAUCUAAUGGAAGUCGGAAUCCCCCAUGAUAUUAGGAACCUAUCUUCCCUGCUAAGUUUAUCCCUAAGUAACUGCAAUCUAAUGGAAGGAGAGAUCCUCAACCAUAUUUGGCAGCUAUCAUCAUUGGAAAAAUUAUCUCUGGAUAGGAACCAUUUUAGUAGCCUUCCUGCUGGCAUCAGUCAACUUUCCAAUCUAAAAGGCCUUAAGUUGAGUCACUGCAAGAACCUUCUACAAAUUCCAGAGCUUCCAUCAAGUGUACAAUUUUUGGACGCACACUGGUCGGAUGGUAUUUCAUCAAGGCCCUCAGUUCCGCCGAUUCGUUCUCUGAUCAAUUGCUUCAAAUCAGAACUAAUUCCGGUAUGAUUCUCAUGGCACAUUCCUUUUUCUUUGUACCCAUUGGAUUUACAUGGUGCUUUUGUGCAGGAAAACUGGAUUUCUCUUGGUGGUUCUUUUUUCAUAUGCCAUGGAAUUAGUAUUGUUAUUCCUAGAAGUAGCGGAAUUCUAGAGUGGGUAGAGUAUCAGAAUAUGGGAAGUUAUCAAGUAACAAUAGAGCUCCCUCCAAAUUGGUAUGAAAAUAAUGACUUGUUGGGAUUUGCUUUACGCUGUGUUUAUGUUGCAUCUCCCAAUGAAUCUCAGUAUGAAUCAGCUCAUACAUCUGAGGAUGAACCCAAUAAUCGAUUUGCCUUUACAUCUGAAAUUGAACGAUUGGUGUUCUUUUGUAUUUUGAGUGUCCGAGGAAAUAAUCAAUCAGCGAAGGUGGAUGUUUUCUCAUUUGAAUCUCGCAGUGUUAAUGAUGGUGUAUCAGAUACAGUGUGGUUGAUAUUUUAUCCCAAGGUAGCUUUUAAGGAAGCUAUUAAGGAGUCGUAUCGCUCUAGUCAAUGGACACACUUUACGGCUUCAUUUGCCGGUUUCGGAAGAGUGGAAGAGUGCGGGAUCCGUCUUAUAUACACAAAAGAUUUUGAACAGAAGCGUCCAACAAUGGCACAAGGCAGUACUUUUCAUGGGGAUUUUGGUGGGCAUGGAUCAGUAAAAGAAUAUACUAAUAGUAAAGCUCACAAUAAAAGGAAUCCCACAUAACAGAGCCUAGGAGAGGAGUCACACCAUAAAAGAUUCAGAGGACCCAAGACUGGUCCCAAGUAUUAGGCUUAACCACACUUGCAUCACUAAUGUUCUCUUUACUGCUAAUUCACCUAGAUUUUUCUGCAUUUUCUUCAACCUCAUAUUUCCAUAUGAAAUUCAAUUACAUUUGAGCAUUUCAAUCUCUGUACCUACUUUUUGAAUCAUUUCUAGGGUUUCUUUUUUCUGGAAGUUUGUAAUGUUAUUGAUUUAUGACUUGAUGUUUGGGGAUGUUUUGGGUGGCUUGUUCAUUUUUUUAUGGUGGUGAUUUAUGGAACCAGAGUUUCUUAGCAGGAAAUGGAAUGCGUGUAUUUUAAGAUAUUGGCGUUAUUUGCUUGUGCCCCAUUUGGUUGCUGAGAAAGAGUGGAAGGAGGAUGGAGAAUGAAAUAAUUUUCAAUUUAAUCAAUGAGAAAUUAGAUUUGGGUAUUUUGGGG
rnacentral:lncRNA from 1 species